AUCAACCCACUACAGUGACGAAAUAAGAUUAACUAGUGUACACGAAACUUGGGAUUAAUCGGCAACAACCGAUCCAUCGGCAUCAUAAUUACCAGCAUCAUCAUGAUGAUGGUUGAUACUCACAGCUGGUUCAUCGUCUUCAUUUUGCCCUCCAACGUUUUCAAUGUCAUUGUUUCCAAUGUUUAGCACUUCGUGAUCUGGGAAUACAACCGGCUCGGCUUCUACGGAACCGUCACUUCCAUCAUCUUCGUCAUCUCCAUCAAUCACCAGUGGGUUAGUCGGGUUGAAUCCCAUUAUCCUAUCAAAGUUGCAUGCCGGUGCUUGUUUGCUUCGAAAACAAACUUGCACUCUUCGAACAACGGAAAACCGUUAACCCUAAACAUUCUCUCUUCCUCCGUCUCCUGUAUAUUGUAUGGAAGAAAAGUUAAAUUAUAUUGUUGUUGGGAAUCGGACAAGUGUACGCAGUGGAAAACAAAAAUUUUAUGCGAUUUAAACAAUUUAAAACACAUAAACACAUUCCCGAUAAUUGAAAACAAUUAAUUGCGUACCUUAGCGCUUCCAGCGAAUUUAAAAACAACAUACAUGCUUAAUUACUUAAUCAAAAUUAAAUCAACUAGCAUGCUCGCGUUUAAAUCAAAUAAUCAUGCUCGCAAUAAUAAAAACAAUUUCAUGUAGACACAUAAAAUCAUACAAGUUACUUGUUAGAACGAACAUGCAUAUAUUAAUUUAAACGAAACCGAAUCGAACGACAAUGGAUUCGAAACUUUACCUCUUGAAGCGUCAGGUAGGUGCACUAAGCGAAGCUAGAUUGCCACGGAAACCAAUCCGUGCAAUCCGGGGCACCAACGGCGAUGCAACAGCGGCGAUGAUCCGAGCUAUGGCGGCGUGUGUGGUUCACGCGCUGUCUUCGGGCGGCGCGUGGAUGCGCGUGCGUCGUCGGCUCGGUGGCUGCUCCUUAAUUCUUCGAUUCUUCGAUCUUUCUCCUCUCGGAUUUCACCUCGUAUACAUUGAUCUACUAAAACGUGGCACUAGACACGAAAUAGUUAGAAUAAAACGGAAGAAACGAAAAGAGAAAAGAGCUAAAAAACGGAAGAAACGAAAAGAGAAAAGAGCUACCAAGAUGAUCGGCUAACGGAUGGCCGAUUCCGGCGAGAUGGCGGCGGCGGCGACUGCGGUGGUGGCCGCGGGAGAAGAUGGCCGAGAGUGACAGGGAGCGGCUAGGGUUUCGUGUGUGAGUUAUAUAUUGUGCAUGACCUAUAAAUCAAGUAUUUAUAGUGUCUUGCAUAAAACCCUAACGGGCUUAAGUGUGACCGGGCCCAACAGCUUAAGUUCGUUAGUUCUUUUACUCGCUCGUCUCUCUCAAUUCGAUGAUCGAAAAAUUGUAACAAUUACAUUUUCGGAAUCAUUAUAAUGUCCUCGUUAUUACGAGUGCCGAUUCUCAAUUUCCAACUUUCUAAAAGUGGAAACCCUAAUUCAGUGCACUUUCUAAAUUUGGAAAAUUCCUGAUUUAGAAAGUCCACUAAGAUAUUCGCCUAUUCUUUUUCUUUUCUUACUCUCAUUCAUAAUUCCAAAUUACGAAUCUUGGACCCAAUCAUAUUGACUUCCAAUCAUGCAAAGAUAAACCAUUUUUACCUUUGACCGUUUAUUCAAAGAUCUCAUGUGCACGAGCAGUGUGACCCUCGAUGGUUCAGGUGUAAGCUAGCCGUGGGCCCACAACCCUUUGUGGUCAAAACUCGUCCCUUAGAGUUACGAUUAAGAUUACACUUGUUUCACCUUAAUCACCCAACGAAUCAAGAUUGGUGUCUAGCAACUACGCGUCAUGAUUCCCUAGAUACAAAUGAAGUGCCUGCAAGAACCUUUUGAUAUAGUUAGCGUACAGUACGAUCGCUUCGAUUCAUAUGUCCCGAUCGAACUAGAGGCAUUGGUUCACCGAGACCUCUUUAUUUGUUCAAUGGUCGUGCGAUCGUUCUAAGUUUUGUAAUCGUUACGUGCAUGACUUAGAGAACUGAAUUCUCUAAUCAUCACUUAGUCAGCUCUGGCCAGAAACUUGGAGAGAUUACAAACUAUGAGAACACACAGGACAUCCAAGACUAUUAUAGCGAUCGUAUCCCCGACUAGAAUGCACAGACCUCGCACUAGAUUUCGGACUGCACGAACACUGGCCCUUGGGGUGGUCCUCGGUGGAACUCAGGGACAAGUCACGAUACAGCUGGUCCUUUAUUGAAGUCACGGUGAUGCCUAGGUCAUAAGGACUAAUGGUGUACAACUAUACCAUAGAUAUCUCUACUCGAUUAUUGAGAACCACUUAGAGAUUUCUAGGGUGAGGGAGUUCAGUGAACUCGUCAACUUACGAGCACACACUUAUGCAUGCCGAUAUCACAAUACCAUUUACGGAUGAGAUGCAGUACACAUACACUAAGUGCUAGUCUCUUAAUGAGAAAGGGCGAUAUCCUCAUUUAUGGCGUAACCGUUCGACUAGGAACACGUUUGACAGUUAUAAUACUUAAGUAAAUAGCUCACGAUCCUAACGAUCAAUUACUAGUACUUGUAAUAACUGUAAGGACUAUAUCUAUGCUUGUGACAAAGGGACGACAAAGAUAUAGAAUGCCAAGGUGUUUUAUCAUUAAUACGAAAAAUGUUUGUUUAUUACCAUAAUAAAUAUUAAAGACCACAACUACAUGUUGGCUUGUUGGUCACCUACUCUAACAAUUGUAACAAUUUUUUUGAAACAAACGAGUACACUACAUUUAAGGACAUGGAUUAAAGACUUACUUGCCGAUUCCGUGGCCAAAAACUCCAGUCCAAAGUGAUCAUUUUUGUACAACGGUCGAACAUCACACCAUCCACUGCAAUGUAACUCUUAAACGACAAAAACCUGUUUCGAAACCAGUCCAUUCUGCACUUUAUGGCAAUUUCAUCGAAGUUUUUUUCGAAAUGGAAGUUCACUAGCAGAUACACAUCGAAGAGCAGAUCUUCAUACGUCUCGUUGUUACGCAGAGUUUCUAUGGAUCAGGUACCUUCGGCAGCCGAUUUCAUUAAAAAAUCAUCGUAUUCGAAGGGCCAACUGGGAGUGUUAAGCCUGGCCACAUCCUAUGAUUACGGGUUCUUGGUCUGGACAUGAUCCUACAAUCAUUGAACAAGAAAUGAUAUUACAAAACAGUAGAAUUUACCUCUACAAAAAAGCACCAUAAAAUUGAUACUGCAAACCUUGGUACAUCUAUCCUUAGUUGGUCAGACGAAGAGUUUUUAGGGUUAGGAAAGUGAAUAAUUGAGAUUUAAAAUAAAUAAUCUUAACCACCUCACUAUCCUGCAUUCAUAAUCAAAUUUAAAUUGAAAUGAUUUGUGAUGUCCAAUAGUCAUUCCUGCCAACCAAUCGACGCCCGAGGUGCUGCAAACGCACUCGAUCAACCUUCUUUUACACGUCAACUGAUGUUGCAUAUGAUGCUUCACAGCUUCGAAAACUUAACCACCAAUUCGUAUUUAAUGUUUAUAAUUAUUUCACUACAUGCCCUCCCACUUGUAUGUUUAUUUGUUUUUGCACAUUUGCAAUUGUACCAGUGUCAUUUAAUUUCAACUGCUCCAUUGCACAAUGUAAUUAUGAAGAAAAUUCUCUGCUAUAUCUUUGUGAAGUGAUUUAAGGCUUGUGUUGUCAAUCCUAACAUUAAAUUGUCUCAGAUAAUAUUUUUGGCUGAUAAAUGUGUUCACAUCCUAACCCUCCUCAACCAACGCAAUUUGUUAGGGUUUCAUUGCCUUAUAGUGAUGAAUACAGAACUGCCAAAUGUAAGAAUUCAUUUACAAAUUAAAUUAAAAACAUUUGCAUGGCACCAAAGAAAAAACAAAUCUCUCGACAAGAAGAUUUUUUGUACGAGCUAGAAUGGAGUGAAAGAAUCGAUGAUUAUUUCAUCGAGCUAUUAUGUAUGGAAUCAUGUCUUGGCAAUAUCAAACGUGAAGAGAAGAAUACACUUGCACUUUUCAGUUGUCAAGAAGCAAUACAGAACAAGUUUAACACAUGUUUUUCAUACAAACAUCAAACCAAGAAGCUCGGUUUGUUGCUCAUACAUUUUAAGACGUUCCAUUAGAUUCUUGCACAAGACGGUGUUGUUUAUAAUUCGUCUACGAACAUCGUUUCUGCACCAGAUGGUACUUGGGAUUAUAUUUCGAAGGUAUUUAUUUCUCUGUACAAAAAUACAAUAAUCAUACAAGUAUAUAUAUAUAUAUAUAUAAUGAUGAUGAUGAUGAUGAUGCUAGAGUUAGAUCACCUUAAAGUGUUGAAGUAGGAUGAGCUGGAAGAGCAGAGUGGAUCACUAGCUCACGAGCUUGAUGACCUUGAGAUACCUACAAACAGAGAACACGUGAACUAGGCCGGAGGUUGAUCCGGCGGAAACCCCUCCGACGCUCAAGUUAGACGUGUGGGUAAUGAAAAUAGUCUAGAGAAUACAUGUUGUCGUAUUGCUCAGUUAAUAGGACGUACCUUUAAUAAAUGAAUUAUAUCGUUAUUUAUACAUUAGUUGAGAUUGUUGGGCCCAAACCUUAUUUGAAGGUGAUUGGGCCUCGAUGAUAGUGGUUUUCAAUAUUGGGCUCGUGGCCCAGUAGGUAAAUAAAUUGUAAGCCCAUUGGAUUGGCCCAAUUAGGCAUAUCAUUAAGCCCCCCACUCUCGAGUCGAUGUGGGGGCCAUGUUGAAAUGGGUGUCGGAUCGUGUCGAGAGUAAAAAUUAUAGUAGUCGCUCGUUGGCGUAUGGCCUGAUGGUGUGCGAAAACGCGUAGGAGCGUUUGUCGGAAGGGCGUGAAGGUGCGUUGGCGCGUAGCGCGACCAAGUUGUCGCGAUAUAAGUUACUUGAGUCGUCGAUGUAGUCCGGCGACGAUGUACCGGUGAGUUAUCUCCUCAUGGGAGUUGUCUCGUCGCGGGUAAUAGAGUUGAUCGAGUUAUCUCCUCGUGGGAGUUGUCUCGCGAUAAUGUAGCAGCACAGGACGAGUAAUCUCCUCGUGGGAGUUGUUAUUUAUUGACAUUGUCAAUGUUUCGACGCGUUUCUUAUAUGUGUUUACAUAUAGCCUUGUGCGUGAUGUACUUGAGGAGAUGAUCAAGCUCUCAAGAUUUUUUUUUAUGGGGAUCGUGCCCCUUGUUAGACCUCGUAGGUUGUAAGUAUGUUAAGACCGUGGCCACGUUUUAAUGAAGGACCCGUCGAAGACAAGUAGAGAAAUUUGAGUAAUCAAGCUGGCCAGGCUAUAUAGAUUCCCAUAAUAUCUCUAAGUGUUUCUAGGGUCGUAAUCGUGUUAACUUGAGCUUGUGAUUGUGUAGUGAAUUGCGAGCGAGUUGUCUCCUUGAGAAAGUUGUCUCGCAACGAAGUUGUUGGAGCGUUGGAUGACGCUCGACUGAGGAGCGUGCGGAUUGAGGUCGCUCUGAGCGAGUUGUCUCCUUGUUGCAGUUAUCUCGCAAUGAGUCUUACUACCGAGCGAGGUAGCUCCUCAUGGGAGUUGCCUUGCAACGGGUUCGUAGUGUCGAUCGAGUUAGUUCCUCGUGGGAGUUGUCUCGCUGCGGGUUUUAGUAGCGAGCGAGUUGGCUCCACGUAGGUGUUGUCUCGCUGCGGGUUGUAGUACUGAGCGAGUUGGCUCCUCGUGGGAGUUGUCUCGCUAUACGUUCGUAGUACCGAGCGAGUUGGCGCUCCUCGUGGGAGUUGUCUCGCUGCGAGUUCGUAGUACCGAGCGAGUUGGCUCAUCGUGGGAGUUAUCUCGCAACGGGUUCGUAGUUCUGAGCGAGUUGCCUCCUCGUGGGAGUUGUCUCACCCAAGGGUACGUGAUCGCCUCAUCCUAAGUUGUGGAUUAUCCCAUCGGCGCUGCCCCAACCCCCAUCCGGCGACGCCCCAGCCGCCCCAGCACUCGUCCGGCGCCGCCUGAGUACCCGCCUGGCGCCGCCCCAACCCCCACCCCUAUUUCCUCUCUCUUCACCGUCGCCGAACGACAUCUAUGGGCGGUAGGAAAAGGUAAAUAUUUUUUUUCUCGCUUCAAUCAUCUUUCAAUGGUUUUAGGGUUUGUGGGGAAGGUUCCUAUUUGAUAAAGAUAUUGUGAAAAAGACUAUUAAUUCUUAUAAAUUAAUUUUUUUCUUGAUCAGAUUUAUACAGUGACCCUCGUCGGCCUUGUUGGUGGUGGUGUACUGAUCUUGCACUUUUUCCUGGAUAUAGUAGUGACUUACGUUUUAAAUAGCGGAUUUUUGAAUAGUGAAUUUAUGUUUUUUAUAGAUGUGUUAGUAGUGGAUUUACGUAUGUUUUUAGUGGAUUUCGAUAACUUUGUUGUUGAUCAUGUUAUUAUUAAAGUGGAUUACGUUAAUUUUUCGUGAUUGGUCUUGCACUUUUUCUUGGACAUAAUAGUGGUUUACGUUUCUAAUAGUGGUUUACGUUUCAAAUAACGAGAAGAAGAUGAUUACACGGACUAUGCUCUAGGGUUCAUUAGAGGGAAGAUGGUGUCUUUUAUAGUGAGUUUAUAGCUUCAUUUUUCGCAGAAUUUUAAUGUUUUCUUGUUAGAAUUCAUAGUGGUUUUCGAUGUUUAUAUAAUUUUGUAUACAUAGUGGUUUUCAUGUUUAUAUAGUUGUUUUAUGCAGAGUGGUUUUCAUGUUUAUAUAGAUGUUUUCAUAGAGUGGUUUUAAAAGUUAUAGCGGAUUUCGAAGUUUAUAGUGGAUUCAACUUUGAUAAAUCUGCUGGAUGUUUCUUUAAAUAUUAAAAUAAUAAAAAUUAAUCCAAUUAAAAAAAAAUUAAUAAAAAAAUAAUUAAAAAAUAUUUUUUAUUUAAGAAAAGUGGGAAAAAUCAUUUAAAAAAAACCGAAAUUAAGAAAAAAAAAACUAUUAAAAAUGAAAAAAAUAAAACUAUUUUUUAAAAAUUCAAAAUAAAAAAAUGAAAUAUAAAUAACAAAAAAAAAUAAUUUGAAACAAAAAAAACCGAAAAUAAAAAAAUUACAAAAUAAAAGAAAACCAUUAAAAAGAAAAGAAAAGAAAAGAAAAAAAAAAGAAUUUAAAAUGGCAUAAUAUGGGAGAUAUUAAGGGGAUUAGUAUAUCUAAAAAAAUUAAUUAAUUUUCCUUAAUAGUAAAUGAGGGUAUUUUGGAUAAUUCAUGUCAAUUGUGUUUAUAACAAAUAUCAAUUAAUAAAAAUGAAUUAUCAUCAAGUAGAAAUUGAAUUCGGGGUGUUUGUCAUAUAGCCCCUUAAUUAAAAGAGGGAUAUCCAACUUUUUUGUCUUUCAAAUAAAUCCAGCUCAUUCAAACUUAUUUACAAAUAAGGAAAAUUCUUGUAAAUAUACCAAAUUAUCCUUAGAUCAUUGAAACCCAAUUCAACUCCAAUUUCAUGAUUUACACCACAAUUUAGCACAAUUUCACCAAUUAACCAAUUUUAACCCUAAUUUUAAUUUUGACCCCAACUUUGACCCGCCACCACCGGAGACCGUCGGUCAGCCGCCGGUCUCCGGCGUUGACCUUUUUUUUUUAAACCUUUUUUUCUCUGAAACUUUUUUCCGGUAGGUCAACCGUACUUUUCUUAAAAAAAAUAUUAUAAUUAAUAUUACUGUCUUGGCUGCUAAAUUAACUGUCGGAGACAGUAAUUUAACUGUUAAUUGACUUUUUUUUUUUAAUUAAUAUUACUGUCUUGGCUGCUAAAUUACUGUCUCCAACAGUUAUUUAACUGUCGGAGACAUUAAUUUAACUGUUCAUAGAAUAUUUUUUUCUUAAAAAAAUAUUUUAAUUAAUAUUACUGUCUUGACUGCUAAAUUAUUGUCUCCAACAGUUAUUUAGCUGUCGGAGACAGUAAUUUAACUGUUAAUUGACUUUUUUUUUUGAAUUUUAUUUUCUUAAAUAAAAUUAUUUUAAUUAAUAUUACUGUCUCCAACAAUAAUUUAACUAUCUGAUACAAUAAUAUUACUGUAUUAAUUAAUUUUAUCGUUUUGGCGUUCAUUUUUAUUGUCUUAGGCUGUAAUAUUACUAUAUCCGACCGUAAUAUUACUGUCUUAUGCAAUAAUAUUAUUGUUUGGACAGUAAUAUUAGUAAUAUUACUGUUCCGAAAAAUAAUAUUCAUAAUAUUACUGUCCCAGACAUGGGGUAUUUUGUUUAAAUCCGGGGUCAAUGUGUAAUAUUAAGGAAGUUAGAGCAUAAUGAAUGGAAUUGACAAAAAAUAUAUUGAGGGUAUUUUUGACUAAGGACAUGGGGAUGUGUUUAUUUGACAAACUGUUUUUUUUUUUUUUUUUUGUGAGACCAAUGUGCAUUUAAGUCCCUUGUGAUUGGUUUUUUUGUCAUUCGCCCUAUUAUAUUUCAAGCUAUAACCACAUGUGUUCAUUUUUGGGUCUGCAGUUAGACACAACCAUGGGCCGGUUUUCGUCUCGGAACCAGCCCGAACCGGCCCGUUGACGAACCGGACCGGCCCGUUGAUCGGUGAACUGGUCACGGAACCGUGAACCGGCCCGUGUACCUCGAGACGGGCCCGGUUCUAGAAAUAGGUGAUCCGUGAACCUCCGGGCCGGCCCAGCGGUUACGUUCACCCGGAUUUAAAAAAAUAAAAUAAAAAAAGCUGAAAAAAGCUUUAAAAAUCUGAACUAGCCCGGUGAACCGGCCCAGUAAACCGACCGUUACUUGCUCUUUUUUGAAUUUUUUUCCACCCCAUUUUUUCCUAUAAAUUUAAGUUCAAGUCCUUUUAUUUAUUUCCUUUUGUUUUUUUUCUAUUUAAAGUAUUAUUUAUUUAUUUAUCCAUCAAGGAUAUAUAUAUAUAUAUAUAUAUAUAUAUNNNNNNNNNNNNNNNNNNNNNNNNNNNNNNNNNNNNNNNNNNNNNNNNNNNNNNNNNNNNNNNNNNNNNNNNNNNNNNNNNNNNNNNNNNNNNNNNNNNNNNNNNNNNNNNNNNNNNNNNNNNNNNNNNNNNNNNNNNNNNNNNNNNNNNNNNNNNNNNNNNNNNNNNNNNNNNNNNNNNNNNNNNNNNNNNNNNNNNNNNNNNNNNNNNNNNNNNNNNNNNNNNNNNNNNNNNNNNNNNNNNNNNNNNNNNNNNNNNNNNNNNNNNNNNNNNNNNNNNNNNNNNNNNNNNNNNNNNNNNNNNNNNNNNNNNNNNNNNNNNNNNNNNNNNNNNNNNNNNNNNNNNNNNNNNNNNNNNNNNNNNNNNNNNNNNNNNNNNNNNNNNNNNNNNNNNNNNNNNNNNNNNNNNNNNNNNNNNNNNNNNNNNNNNNNNNNNNNNNNNNNNNNNNNNNNNNNNNNNNNNNNNNNNNNNNNNNNNNNNNNNNNNNNNNNNNNNNNNNNNNNNNNNNNNNNNNNNNNNNNNNNNNNNNNNNNNNNNNNNNNNNNNNNNNNNNNNNNNNNNNNNNNNNNNNNNNNNNNNNNNNNNNNNNNNNNNNNNNNNNNNNNNNNNNNNNNNNNNNNNNNNNNNNNNNNNNNNNNNNNNNNNNNNNNNNNNNNNNNNNNNNNNNNNNNNNNNNNNNNNNNNNNNNNNNNNNNNNNNNNNNNNNNNNNNNNNNNNNNNNNNNNNNNNNNNNNNNNNNNNNNNNNNNNNNNNNNNNNNNNNNNNNNNNNNNNNNNNNNNNNNNNNNNNNNNNNNNNNNNNNNNNNNNNNNNNNNNNNNNNNNNNNNNNNNNNNNNNNNNNNNNNNNNNNNNNNNNNNNNNNNNNNNNNNNNNNNNNNNNNNNNNNNNNNNNNNNNNNNNNNNNNNNNNNNNNNNNNNNNNNNNNNNNNNNNNNNNNNNNNNNNNNNNNNNNNNNNNNNNNNNNNNNNNNNNNNNNNNNNNNNNNNNNNNNNNNNNNNNNNNNNNNNNNNNNNNNNNNNNNNNNNNNNNNNNNNNNNNNNNNNNNNNNNNNNNNNNNNNNNNNNNNNNNNNNNNNNNNNNNNNNNNNNNNNNNNNNNNNNNNNNNNNNNNNNNNNNNNNNNNNNNNNNNNNNNNNNNNNNNNNNNNNNNNNNNNNNNNNNNNNNNNNNNNNNNNNNNNNNNNNNNNNNNNNNNNNNNNNNNNNNNNNNNNNNNNNNNNNNNNNNNNNNNNNNNNNNNNNNNNNNNNNNNNNNNNNNNNNNNNNNNNNNNNNNNNNNNNNNNNNNNNNNNNNNNNNNNNNNNNNNNNNNNNNNNNNNNNNNNNNNNNNNNNNNNNNNNNNNNNNNNNNNNNNNNNNNNNNNNNNNNNNNNNNNNNNNNNNNNNNNNNNNNNNNNNNNNNNNNNNNNNNNNNNNNNNNNNNNNNNNNNNNNNNNNNNNNNNNNNNNNNNNNNNNNNNNNNNNNNNNNNNNNNNNNNNNNNNNNNNNNNNNNNNNNNNNNNNNNNNNNNNNNNNNNNNNNNNNNNNNNNNNNNNNNNNNNNNNNNNNNNNNNNNNNNNNNNNNNNNNNNNNNNNNNNNNNNNNNNNNNNNNNNNNNNNNNNNNNNNNNNNNNNNNNNNNNNNNNNNNNNNNNNNNNNNNNNNNNNNNNNNNNNNNNNNNNNNNNNNNNNNNNNNNNNNNNNNNNNNNNNNNNNNNNNNNNNNNNNNNNNNNNNNNNNNNNNNNNNNNNNNNNNNNNNNNNNNNNNNNNNNNNNNNNNNNNNNNNNNNNNNNNNNNNNNNNNNNNNNNNNNNNNNNNNNNNNNNNNNNNNNNNNNNNNNNNNNNNNNNNNNNNNNNNNNNNNNNNNNNNNNNNNNNNNNNNNNNNNNNNNNNNNNNNNNNNNNNNNNNNNNNNNNNNNNNNNNNNNNNNNNNNNNNNNNNNNNNNNNNNNNNNNNNNNNNNNNNNNNNNNNNNNNNNNNNNNNNNNNNNNNNNNNNNNNNNNNNNNNNNNNNNNNNNNNNNNNNNNNNNNNNNNNNNNNNNNNNNNNNNNNNNNNNNNNNNNNNNNNNNNNNNNNNNNNNNNNNNNNNNNNNNNNNNNNNNNNNNNNNNNNNNNNNNNNNNNNNNNNNNNNNNNNNNNNNNNNNNNNNNNNNNNNNNNNNNNNNNNNNNNNNNNNNNNNNNNNNNNNNNNNNNNNNNNNNNNNNNNNNNNNNNNNNNNNNNNNNNNNNNNNNNNNNNNNNNNNNNNNNNNNNNNNNNNNNNNNNNNNNNNNNNNNNNNNNNNNNNNNNNNNNNNNNNNNNNNNNNNNNNNNNNNNNNNNNNNNNNNNNNNNNNNNNNNNNNNNNNNNNNNNNNNNNNNNNNNNNNNNNNNNNNNNNNNNNNNNNNNNNNNNNNNNNNNNNNNNNNNNNNNNNNNNNNNNNNNNNNNNNNNNNNNNNNNNNNNNNNNNNNNNNNNNNNNNNNNNNNNNNNNNNNNNNNNNNNNNNNNNNNNNNNNNNNNNNNNNNNNNNNNNNNNNNNNNNNNNNNNNNNNNNNNNNNNNNNNNNNNNNNNNNNNNNNNNNNNNNNNNNNNNNNNNNNNNNNNNNNNNNNNNNNNNNNNNNNNNNNNNNNNNNNNNNNNNNNNNNNNNNNNNNNNNNNNNNNNNNNNNNNNNNNNNNNNNNNNNNNNNNNNNNNNNNNNNNNNNNNNNNNNNNNNNNNNNNNNNNNNNNNNNNNNNNNNNNNNNNNNNNNNNNNNNNNNNNNNNNNNNNNNNNNNNNNNNNNNNNNNNNNNNNNNNNNNNNNNNNNNNNNNNNNNNNNNNNNNNNNNNNNNNNNNNNNNNNNNNNNNNNNNNNNNNNNNNNNNNNNNNNNNNNNNNNNNNNNNNNNNNNNNNNNNNNNNNNNNNNNNNNNNNNNNNNNNNNNNNNNNNNNNNNNNNNNNNNNNNNNNNNNNNNNNNNNNNNNNNNNNNNNNNNNNNNNNNNNNNNNNNNNNNNNNNNNNNNNNNNNNNNNNNNNNNNNNNNNNNNNNNNNNNNNNNNNNNNNNNNNNNNNNNNNNNNNNNNNNNNNNNNNNNNNNNNNNNNNNNNNNNNNNNNNNNNNNNNNNNNNNNNNNNNNNNNNNNNNNNNNNNNNNNNNNNNNNNNNNNNNNNNNNNNNNNNNNNNNNNNNNNNNNNNNNNNNNNNNNNNNNNNNNNNNNNNNNNNNNNNNNNNNNNNNNNNNNNNNNNNNNNNNNNNNNNNNNNNNNNNNNNNNNNNNNNNNNNNNNNNNNNNNNNNNNNNNNNNNNNNNNNNNNNNNNNNNNNNNNNNNNNNNNNNNNNNNNNNNNNNNNNNNNNNNNNNNNNNNNNNNNNNNNNNNNNNNNNNNNNNNNNNNNNNNNNNNNNNNNNNNNNNNNNNNNNNNNNNNNNNNNNNNNNNNNNNNNNNNNNNNNNNNNNNNNNNNNNNNNNNNNNNNNNNNNNNNNNNNNNNNNNNNNNNNNNNNNNNNNNNNNNNNNNNNNNNNNNNNNNNNNNNNNNNNNNNNNNNNNNNNNNNNNNNNNNNNNNNNNNNNNNNNNNNNNNNNNNNNNNNNNNNNNNNNNNNNNNNNNNNNNNNNNNNNNNNNNNNNNNNNNNNNNNNNNNNNNNNNNNNNNNNNNNNNNNNNNNNNNNNNNNNNNNNNNNNNNNNNNNNNNNNNNNNNNNNNNNNNNNNNNNNNNNNNNNNNNNNNNNNNNNNNNNNNNNNNNNNNNNNNNNNNNNNNNNNNNNNNNNNNNNNNNNNNNNNNNNNNNCCCGGAGAUGAUUCUUGCCCCCAAGAAUCCGAGUUAGGUUCAGAAUCCAUAAGCUCUGGUGGUGCGUCUGUAGCUGCGGGUGGAAGCUUGGUGACUGAUGCAGUUGGUUUCACGGUCCGCUUUAGUAGGGAAACAUGGAAGACAUCGUGGAUCUUCGCACCCUCAGGUAAUAGCAAUUUGUAUGCCAUUCUUCCAAUUUUUGCAAUAAUUGGGUAGGGACCAUAGUACUUAUUUGCUAAUUUCUGGUUGGCUCGAGAAACAACCGAAUUCUGUCUGAACGGUUGUAAUUUUAGAUAGACUUCCUCCCCCACUUCAAAAGACCUCUCAAUUCUGUGUUUAUCUGCAUACCAUUUCAUUCGAGCCUGAGCUUGAGUGAGAUUCUGUUUAAUUAAUCUCCACGCAUCCAUCCUCUGUUGGACCAUUGCUGUAACUUCUGGAUUGAUGCUGUCUAAAUAGGGACUUAGGGAUAGGUUAUUAGGGGAAUACCCAUACAGUGCUUGGAAAUGUGACAUCUUGAGGCUGGUAUGAUAAUUGGUAUUAUACCAGUACUCAGCCAAAGAGAGCCACUUCAUCCAUCUGUGAGGGUGCUGGCUAGUACAGCACCUGAGAUAAUUCUCCAAGCACUGAUAGAGUCUUUCUGUCUGUCCAUCACUCUGAGGAUGGUAUGCUGAACUCAUAUUCAGCUGAGUCCCCAAUAAUUUAAAUAACUCCACCCAAAAACUGCUAGUGAAAACCUUAUCUCUAUCAGUGACUAAGCUCACUGGCUGCCCAUGUAGUUUAAAAAUGUUAUCUAAAAAUAAUUUAGCCACAGUAGCUGCACAGAAAGGGUGAGAUAAUGGCAAAAAAUGUGCAUACUUGGUAAAUCUAUCAAUAACCACUAAGAUAACAUUUUUACCCUCAGAUUUAGGCAGACCUUCAAUGAAAUCCAUGGAGAUGUGGGUCCAUGCUCCAGUAGGAAUCUCAAGAGGUUCCAACAGUCCUGGGUAUGGGGUGUUUUCAUGUUUAGCCCUGUGACAAACAUCACAACCUUGAACCCACUCUAUAACCUUGGCCUUCAUUCCAGGCCAAUAGAAAAUACCCUUUAACCUUUGAUAGGUUCCCAACAUACCAGAGUGCCCACCAAUUGUUGAACUGUGGAAAAACUCUAGUAAUUUAGCCCUCAAAUCUGUAUGUGAGCCAACAUAAACCUUUCCCUUGAACCUCAGUACCCCUUGUACAACUCCAUAGUCCCCAUAAGCUGUGUCAUCAAUGGCCUUAGCUGCCAUUAUCUUGCUAACCUCAGAGUCUCCUUUAUAGCUCUCCACAAUUUCCAGUAACCACCUUGGCUGCACUGUAGAUAUGGCAUUAACACUAGCUGAGUGAUGUUCUUGCCUAGAUAAUGCAUCUGCCACCUUAUUCUCCACCCCUUUCUUGUAUUGUAUCUCAUAGUCCAAUCCAAUAAGUUUAGAAAUCCACCUCUGUUGAAGGGCAGUGGUGAAUUUCUGAUCCACAAUGUAUUUAAUACUUUGUUGGUCUGUUCUGAGGAUGAAGUGAUGGCCUUGCAAAUAGUGCUUCCACUUUUGAAUAGCAAGAAGAACAGCCAUAAAUUCCCUUUCAUAAAUAGAUAGGGUUUGAUGAUUGGCAUUUAAGGCUUUGCUCAAGAAUGCAAUGGGCUUACUGUCCUGCAUCAGUACUGCUCCCAGACCAGUAGAACUGGCAUCAGUUUCUACUAUAAAUGGUUUGGUGAAAUCAGGCAAAACAAGAACAGGGGAAGUUGCCAUAAUUUCCUUGAGUUGUGUAAAGGCCAGCUCAGACUCUGGUGUCCACUUGAACUGCCCUUUUUUAAGCAUGUCAGUGAGGGGUUUGCUCACAAUACCAUACCCUUUAAUGAACUUCCUGUAGUAGCCUGUCAGUCCUAGGAAGCCUCUGAGCCCCUUGACAGUAGUAGGUUUGGGCCAAUUCACCAUACUCUGAACUUUAGUUGGGUCAGUGGACACUCCAUGUGCACUGAUAAUAUGGCCCAAGUACUCUAUAUUGGUCUGUCCAAACUGGCAUUUGGAUUUCUUGGCAUAGAGCUGAUGAUCUCUCAAUAUUGUCAAAGUGGUGUCUAAAUGCUCCAUAUGCUCUUCCAAACUUGAGCUGUACACCAGUAUAUCAUCAAAGAAUACUAACAAAAACUUCCUCAGAUACCUUGCAAACACCUGAUUCAUGAGAGAUUGGAAUGUGGCAGGGGCAUUACAAAGCCCAAAUGGCAUCACCAUAAAUUCAAAAUGGCCAUGGUGGGUUUUGAAAGCUGUUUUGUACACAUCCUCAUCUCUCAUCCUAAUCUGAAAAUAGCCAGACCUCAAGUCUAUCUUUGAAAACCAUUUAGCUCCAUACAGUUCAUCUAAAAGCUCAUCAAUGAUUGGUAUAGGGUAGUCAUGUUUAACUGUCAUGGUGUUCAAAUAUCUAUAAUCAACACACAUCCUCCAUGAAUUGUCUUUCUUCUUAACCAAUAAGACAGGAGAUGCAAAAGGGCUUUGACUUUGCCUAAUGAUUCCUCCUUGCAACAGUUCUUCAACAAUCUUUUCUAUUUCAUCUUUGGCAGAGUGUGAAUAUCUGUAGGGAUAUAAGUGUUUAGGUAGGGCAUCAGGCUUGAGUAUGAUUUGAUGUUCAACCCCCCUUACUGGUGGUAGCCCUUGGGGCUCAGCAAACAACCCCUCAUAUAUUCCCAACAACCUCUGGAUCUUUUCAGGCACAAUGACAGCCUCACUGUUGGUUUGAAUUGUGCAAAACUGGCCCCCUUUUCCAAUAGAAUCAGCCUCUUCCUUGCCCAUUCCAGUGUAUACAGUCAGCAACUUGCCCUCCUCAAAGUCCUCUCUAGCAGUAAUCACCACCUUCUGAUCCCCUCUCUUGAGCUUAACAAACCUUCUUUUGUAAUCAAACUUCACAGGACUGUUCUCCCACAACCAAUCACACCCUAGAACAAUGUGAAACCCUUUGAGGGUCAGCAACCUCAGAGGGAAAGUGAAUGGCUCACCUUGCAUCAUCCAAAUUAGGCCAUUGACAACCCUUUUGCUGACAGUCUUGGAACCAUUUGCCAUUGUCACAGUCAUAGGGCUAGUUUCAUCAAUGUGGCAAUGGAGCUGGAUAGCCAAAACUUCACUGAUGAAACUGUGGGUGCUUCCUGUGUCAAUGAGAAUGUUCAGAGGUCCCCCUUCUACUUCACCAACUACCUUGAUGGUUUUCACACCACUAUUCCCCUCAAUGGCAUUCAAAGAUACCUCCCCAUCACAGUUAAUCUCUCCUCUUUCUGAGCUGUCUUCUCCAGCUAUGGUGAGUAAAUGUGUUUCUUCCUCUUCAUCAGUCAUAAUCAUAUACAAUUGAUUAAACUUGCACUUAUGGUUUUGGCUAUACUGUUCAUCACAGUUAAAGCACAGGCCCUUCAUUCUUCUGGCCUUCAUUUCUUCCCUAGUAAGUAGUUUCCUAGGUGGCAUGAGGGCUGGUGGGGUAUAUUGUGUCUUAGUUAGCUGGUUCUGGUGUGAAUCAGAGUUUGAUACUGGUCUCCUUUGCUGGUUCUGGUAUGGCACCAUUUGUUUCAUUCCACCUUUAGCCCUCCUGGAAACAGCUUCUAGGGUAGCCUCUUGUUUCCUGGUCAUUUCAAUAGCAUGUUGAAAUGAUUUGGGUUCAAACAAAUCAAAGAAUUUCUGAUUCUCCUCAGGCAGACCACUAACAAAGAAAGUCAGAAAAAACUCAUCAUCAUAUUCUCUAGUGUUGAACAUCAACAAAUAAGCUCUAAGCUCCUCAAAUUUAUCAAUGUAGGCCUCCAAAGAGUUUGUAACUCUCAACUUGCCAAUCUCAGCUAACACUUUAGCUUCCCUCAGAUCCUCAAAUCUAGCAGAAACUAAGCCAACAAACUGAUCCCAAGAAUAAACCCUAUUAUUCUGUGAGAUAUGCCCAUACCAAAUGGCUGCUCUACCCUCAAAAUGCAAAGCAGCUAACACCACCUUUUGAGUGUCAGGUAUGUUAGACACCAACUGGAAAUACCCUUGACACUUAAACAGCCAUGUUCUAGGGCUGCUACCAUCAAAUCUGGGGAAUUCAAUCUUAGGGUUUGGGCUGUAAUUACCAGAGAAAGGGUUUGAGUUUACCAUCACAUCUUGCCCCCUGUUGUUUUUGUAUUCUUGAGGCCUGGUGAACUGCUCUGGUUGGGCAGUAAAUGGUGUUGGAUUUGUGCCUGAUGCAGAUCCUUCUCCCAUAAUGGAUUUGUCUCUAUUAUACAUCUCUAUUCUCUCCGCUAUUUUGCCCAACUGAAUUUGAAUGAUUUCAAAUGAUUUCUUUGUUUCCUCAUGAUUUAAGCUGAUCUGUUCCUGCAGGUUUGUUUCCACAUCCACUCUCUUGUCCAUUUCCUCCUGCAGCUUCUGCUCCAACAGUUUCCGGUGUGCUUCCAAUCUGGUGCCGUCCGCCAUCAGAUCAGACCUUGCUCUGAGUACCAAUUGUCAAGAUCCACGGAUGUAAUAAUAUUUGUUUAUUGUAAUUUAUGAUAAUAUUUGUAAUUACUGUAUCAAUUUAAGAAACUGAGAUAAGAAUAGAAAGACUUGGGAAGGAAGAAAGUAGGAAAGGAAAGGAUUAGUGAAACUUUUUCAUAAAAAUAUUCAUCAUCCCAGCAGUAGUAUAAAUACCCCUUCCAAUACAGGGAAUAUUUCUUACCCUAGCCCAAUAACACAAAACAUCAGCAGAAACUUAAAACAAAACAGACAAAAUAACUAUUGGGCUUAAGACAAACAAAUGGCCCAAUAAAAUUAAACCAGUAACAUAAGUGGGCUGCUAAAUUCGGCCCUUUGCCCCGAAGUCCGGUGCAUCCAAAACGACAUCGUUUUGUCCUUCAAUUUCUUCUUCAAUUCCCGAUUGUGCCAAGACUCCUCCUUUAGCAAUUCUAGGGUUCCUCUUCUUCUUCAGCCCCCAAUUCACCCCAAUCCUGUCCAUCUUCGUCUCUUACAUUCGAAUCCUAGGUCCACGCGGUUUUCUUACACCCCAGGAUGUAACACACUUACUGAAUGAACAAAAAAUACUCUUGUGCAUGUAUUAAAGUCGUUCGUGUACACGACUCGAAUUCAUAUUUGAGCCUUGUUGAUCAUGUAGUGUAGCCUAUAAUCAUCUUCCUAUUGUUGGAUUGAUUAAAUAAAUUAAAAUACCUAAAAGCCAAGUGAUGAAAAGAAAAAGGAGAAAAAAAUAAUUAGAAGUGUGCCUCGGUAAGUGCAGAAAUAUUAAUGAAUUAAUUAUUGUAUUGAACUUGAUUUCUGCAAAAAGAAGACAAAUAACGGUAUUGUAACUUGUAAGUUGUAACUUGUACUGUACACCCCCACCCCCUCUCUUACACACAGAGAGAGAGGCACAGACAUAAUAAUAAAGAAAAAAGACAGAGAGACAUGCAGAAUUGUGGAGACCACGUGUUCGAUGAACAAGAAAUCCUCCACAGCGCCGCUAAAUUGUAAAUUAUGUGACGUCAGCCCUAUAUACACUAUACUACCCACAGGAACUUCUAUUUAUUCAGAGACCUCCAUCCUUCCCCUUCACAAUUCAUUUCACUCAUAUAAUUAUUAUUAUAUUUAAUUACUCUUUAAGGUAAUUAAGAGACACUGCUGUGUUUUAAUUACUGUCUACUGAUCUCUCUCUCUCUCUCUCUCACUUCUUUCUCUCUCUAUAUAUAUAAUUUCUUAUACUAGCUAUUUGUUCAAUUUUUGUAUAGCAGGAAAAUAAAUGAUGGGAUUGAGGGGUUUUAUAGCAAUUGCAUGUUUGUUAUUUCUCUUGUCAAUAAUAGUAGCAAAUGGCGGCUCUGAACGAGGGUGGAAUGAUGCUCAUGCCACUUUUUAUGGUGGUGGUGAUGCUUCUGGAACCAUGGGUAUGUAUUUAUGAAUGUAUGUAUGUAUGUAUGUAUUAAUUAGUUGAAAUGUUAUGUUUCUCAAAUAAAUGAAACUUGGUCAGAAAUCAGAACGCAAUUUUCAAGAUUUGUCGUUUUUCUUUGAAAAUUUUCGACUAUGGAACAAUUUAUUUGUAUUUUUUUUUCCAUUCCAAAUUUUGCAAAUUCCAAUUUUCGUUUUUUAUUUUAGUUUUUGGAUCAGAAUUGGAAUUAUUCUCGCAUACAAAUUAAAACAAUUUAGAACUUCUAUUAUAUAAUUCAAAUCCGAUUCAAAUUUUCAUGUAAAUUAUCUAAAACAGUUUGCAACUUGGCUUAAUUUUAAUAUCUUUAACAUUUCCAAUUCGAUUUUUCUUGAAUUGUUAAUUAAGCCAUGGAGUGAAUUAAGUUGGUUAAAUUGGUGGUUAUUAAUGAAUUAAUUAAUUGCAGGUGGGGCGUGUGGGUAUGGUAAUUUGUACAGCCAAGGGUACGGUACAAACACAGCAGCACUGAGUACAACACUAUUCAACAAUGGGCAGAGCUGUGGAGCUUGCUUUGAGCUAAAAUGUGUGAAUGAUGAAAGGUGGUGCCUCCAAAGCUCAAUUGUGGUAACUGCAACUAAUUUCUGCCCUCCAAACAACGCCUUACCGAACAACGACGGCGGGUGGUGCAACCCGCCCAACCAACACUUUGACCUCUCUCAGCCCGUUUUCCAACAAAUCGCCAAACAAGAAGCCGGGAUUGUGCCGAUUCUUUAUCGAAGGUAUGAUGUAUAAUCGUAAAUAUAUUUAUACGUAUCUGCAUAAUUUAUAAAAAUAAAAUAAAAAAAUACACUACUUUUCUUUUUUUGGUGUUAGUACUGAAGGAACCAGCAGCUAUAACUAGCUAACUGUAUAGGUGCAAUGGAAAAAAUUACACUACUUUAUAUUUAUGGCGGCUCAAUAUUUUUGUGUAUUUUACAUAAAUGUGUAGGGUACCGUGCCAAAAGAAGGGUGGCAUUCGGUUCACGGUAAAUGGUCACUCCUAUUUCAAUCUCGUCUUAAUUACCAACGUCGGAGGCGCCGGUGAUGUACAAUCGGUCUCGAUAAAAGGUUCAAGGACAAAUUGGGAACCAAUGUCUCGUAAUUGGGGGCAAAAUUGGCAGAGCAACUCUAAUCUUGACGGUCAAAGCCUCUCGUUCAAGGUCACCACCAGCGACGGCCGCACGGUGGAGUGCAGUGAUGUCAUCCCCGACGGUUGGUCGUUCGGACAAACCUUCAUCGGAGGACAAUUCACUUAGAAUAAUCUAUUUUCGAUAUUAAUAUAGGAAAUUGCACGUACGUGUUUUUUUGAACGCUACGUGAAAUAAAUUAGGGUUGAGAAUUGGAAGAGCUUUAUUAUUACAUAAGCUCGAACCAAUUUGGGUGUUUUUCAUAAUGUUGAUGAAGUGUUUUAUGUCUUGGUCUUUCUUUUAAUGUAAGAUUUAAGACAGAUAUUUUGGCAGUGAUUUAGGUUCGGGUGAAUUCCAUUUUUUCCUCUUGUACUUUGUCUCGAUAUCACUUUAUCCCUUUCUACUCUCGAUUGCAUUGAUUUGUCUCCAUGUACUUGAAAAAUUGUUUCAAUUCAAUGUGGUCAUCGUCGUUAGUUUUAUGACCUUUGACCUUAACACCGUUUGAUCUAGGUCCAAAAAAUUACGAAAAAAUCACCCCUCUCAGUUUAAAUAAUUAUUAAAAAAAUAAAAAAAAAAUUGUGGUUGGCGUUGGUCACUAUGUUUUCUCGUUGUCUUGAAUUUUUAUUAUUUUUUUUUUGUUUUUUUUUAAAUUAUUUAAACCGGGAGAUGUGGUGUUUUUGUAAUUUUAGAGCUUAGAUCAAUCGAUGUUAAAGUCAAAUGACUGGGUGAAAAAUUGAUAUAAUCGAGAAUAGAACAGGGUAAAGUGAUACCGAACCAAAAUAUAAUCGGAAAGUGGAAGUUACCCUUUAGAUUUUGAUUUAACAUCAUAUCACCACCCGCCAUUAAUUACUUCGUAGCAUUUACCCCUCAAGCACUAUUUAAUUAUAAUACUUUCAAAUUUUUUAUAUUACCAAAAGUGAUAACUAAAAAAAAAUAAUUAAACUAUUUUAUUAAAACAUAUUCAUAUUGAUAAUUAAAUAACAUCUAAUUGUUGUUGGACCAAUUAAUCGAAUAUAUUCAUGUCGAUAAAUUUUAAUAAAUCAAUAUAUAACUAAUAGUAAUCUUAAGUAUUUAAAUUUAAUUUAUUUCAUCAAUUUCUAAAAAUAUAUUUUCAUUAAUUAUUAUACAAUAUAUAUAUUACUUUUUAAUAAUUUAAUUUUAGUUACUUUUCAAUUUUAUAUGAUCAAAUAAUUAUUAGAUUGUAAUGUUUAUUAUGUUUUAAAUUUUAAAAUAUAAAAUAAUUGAUUUUGAGGGGGCCAAUUGUACAAAUAAUACUUUAAGGGGCAAGUCUUUACAUAAGUUAUACUUCAGGGGUGAAAUUGUAUUUAACUUUUUUAAUUUUAAUUUUAUUUUUUGGUAGUCCAUAGUUUUGUGUAUUGGGAAAAGCAAAUUUGGUGCUUUUCUCAAUGUUGAGUGUGAUGAAGCUUCCUCGGUAAGAGUGUUGUUUCAGAUGUUUUUUAAAUUGUAAACCGUUGAUGUUGUCUGUAUCUAGGUUUUGCCUUUUGUCUACUGCAAUAAAAAAGACCUAUGAGCCCCGGGUUUUAUUGUCAUACUGUUACCUCAAUCCACGAGCUUUCUAUUUUGUGAAUUACUUAUAUUAUUGGACCAGUAUACUUUGCAAUAAAAUUCAAUUUUUUUUCUUUUCAAUAAGUUCUUAAUAUGUUUAAAGAAUAAUUUUGUGUUUUCUAUUGAAUUGAAUUCUAUUUAUUACAACUCUUAAUUCAUGUACAUUUAGUUUAAACCACACACUACUUUUAUCACACAUAUUGGCAUCUUCAAUUGAGUAAGCAAACCGGCAAAAUAUAGACACUGCAGAAGAAAUCCAACACCAACAAAUAUUUAGAAGGGCCCUAAAUUUUCAGAUUGUUGUGAAAUCUCCAAAUUUGUUCCUAAAUAAUAGGUAUAUUUGGAAGUGUUUUGAAACUUAUUUAUUUUGAUUUUAUUUUGAGGAAAUAUGUUUUGUUGGAAAGAAUUUGAGAAUGAAAGUAAUGUUUGUUUAUAAUUUGGAAGAAGACAAAAUACACUAUAGCAGUCAAAUCAUGUUUAAAGGUGUUAGAAAAAUGUAUUUUAGAAGAAAAAAAUUGAAAGAUGAAGUGAUGUUUAUCUAUUUUUUAGUGAAGACAUAUUUUACUGUAGCAGUAAAAUCAUUUUACUGUAACAGUCACAUCAUGUUUGAAGGAGAGAGAAACUUUUGAAAUUGUUUUGAGAAAAUUAUUUGCAAAGUUUAAUAAAUAUAAUUUUUGUUUUGGGGAAUCAAUGAAACCAAAAUAAAAAUGCUUCCAAACAUUGCCUAGAUGUCUUUGUUUGGGGAGACUCACAUUUCUUGCAUUUAAAUUUUGAAAUUUCUUUUUCAAAUAAAAAUUAAAAUUUGAAUGAUUUGCAAAUAUAAUCGUUGGUUUCCAACGGUAAGAAAAAAAUGAAAAAAACAUAAAGACCUCUAAUUAUUCUUCAUCUUUUUUAUCACUUCUAAAUUUUCUAAUUGUGAGUUUUUUGUUUUCUUCAAUGCUUGUAGAAAUUUGGAGGAAUUUCACUGGGCUUAUGAGAAUUGAAGAAAUUAGAAGUAGAUGGUUGGGUAGGUUGUCAAUACUUGAAGAAAUUUGUAGCAGAAUAUUUUUUUCCUCUAUGUUUCUGGUGUGUUGAUAAACAAGGAGAAUAAUAAAAUUAUGGGAGGAAGGGCGUGCUCUGUUGUGCUUAAUUAAGUUUAACUAAUUAGAGAUGAGUAAACAAAAAAUAAAAAAGGAAAAAAAAAUAUGUGGGGUUAAAGGCAGUGGAAAUUAGUGGGUGGUUACAAAUAUUUUAAUUGAAAUUAUAUCCAAUGAUUGUGGUUCAACAUUUCAUAUCUUUAAAAAAAAAAUCAUUUUUUUGGAUCGAAAUAUGCAUUAAAAAUAAUUAAGAUUGUUCAAAUAAACUUUAAUUUUCUACAAUCUCGUAUAUUAAUAAAAUUUUAGCCCUAAUCAAAUUACUAUAUAAAAUAAUCCAUAACAUAAUUUAAAGACUCAAAAUUAUAGAGCCCUCCAUUAUAGAAUUAUGCUUUUUAGAGACUCUAAAUUCUACUAGGUCUCUAAAAUAGAAUUUGGUGAUCCGAUCUGCUUACUCCAUUGGACAUACCCUAAUGAAUAAUCUACGGAUGGCAACGGGUAGGUUUUGGAACGGGUCUGUCUAAACCCGAAACUCGACCCGUGAAAAUAUAUAUAAAACCUAGCCCCGCCCUAACCUGUCUUAGCUUAUACCUAGAUUUGCCCCGACCCAUAGCGAAACUAAACGGUUUCGACCCGCCAAACUCGAUGAACUCGUUAACAUCAAACAAAAAAUUUAACAUUUUUUAACUUUUAUAAUAUUUUGCUUGUAUAUUUUAAUAAAAGAAUCUCAAAAUUAAAAUGCAAUUUUACAAGUAAUAUAAAGUGAUUCAUAAACUUCUCUAAUUAAUUAUAGGGGUCAUAUGAUAUAACCUACUCGUACAAGUUUCUUAGAGGUAUAAAUUCACUUUUUUAUUCACUAUUAGGGAUAACCCCUCAUUAAGGUUAAUACCUCAUUUACCCCUAUUAUAUUCAUAAAAAUAUAAUUAAAUUAUUGUUGCAUAAUCAAAUCGGGCUAAUCUCCCCUAAAAUAACUCCCCUUAAAUCUCUAACCAACUCGCCCAAAUCUCUGAAUGCAAAUCACGCCAUUUCAUUUUUUUCAUUCCUUUACAAUCUUUUUCUAAUUUCGAUUUAAAAAUAUUGUUUUUUUUUUCUUUCAUUUUUCAUUUUUUUAAAUGGUUUUUUACUGCAAGUUUAACAAAAAAUUGAAAUCCACCACAUACUCACUGAAAACCACUAUAAAUUCUUCAAAACCCACAAUGCAAUUAACGUUGGAAUCACUAUGUAAUUAUCGUAAUCAACUUUAAUAUUAAUGUAAUCCACUACAAAUGUAUCAAGAUCGAAUAAAAAUUUACAUAAUCCACUACGAAUUAACGUAAUCCAUUACAAAAUUAUCAAAAUCCACUACAAAGUUAUCAAAAUCCACUUUAUUGGUUAAAGUAAUCCACUAUAAAAUUAACUUAAUAUAUGGUUAAUCCACUACAAACUUAUCGUAGAAAAACACUUAUACAUCAACAUCAAACUUAUCAAAAUCCACUACAAACUUCCGAAUUUAUGAUAGUGUUGCUCGUGGUUUUUGUUAGGUUAGAGUGACCCUUUGAUAAACACUACAAACUUAUCAUCACCUAACAUCGUCCCACUUGCUGCAAUCACUUCGUUUGUGGAAGAACCUAAACCAAAGAAAGAGAAGACAACAACGUGUCAGUUUAAUUCAUUCAUUAAAAAUCGGUCUCCAAAGCAAGAAUUUAAAAUCCACUAUAAUCUCGUUGACAUCGAUUUCUUCUGUUUGUGCUUUCUCUUGCAUUUUUUUUUUCCGCCACAGUGGUCCUUCAUUCCGUGAAAAUCAGAAGAAAGAGAUGGUGGAUGAAUUUCGAUCGCGCGAGAGAGAGAGGGGGAGAGAAAACUGGUGUGACUAGGGUUAAACGAUGCGGAAUAUGAGUUUGGUGGAGGGUAUAAUUGUACUAUAUAAUUUAAAAUAAAUUAGUGAUUUAUCUUAAAAAGCAGAAAAAAAAAAUGGACGCCCACUAAUAGUAAAUGUCAUAUCAGGGGUUAUGUCAAAUAAUCCCUUAAUUAUAUGUUCAACUUCUACAAUAAAUAAUGUUCAAAAGGUAGAACCGUCAGCGGUGGUCUACAAGUAAUAGAUAUGACUUGCGAGAAAUUAGACAAUAAAAAAAAAAUGGGUAAAUGAGAAUAGACACGAUGGAAAUUGAAAUUUUGAUAAUUGAAAUCGAAAAUAAUAAAUAGAAAUUCGAAUAGUUCAAUAGCCCGUUAUAAAACCCGUCUUGUAGCGAAGUGAUUCAUUCAGCGUCCAGGAAUUGUUUUUUUCUGAAACUUACUGUCCAAUUGUUAAGCAUGCUAUUAUUCUCCUAAUAGUUAAACUUGUUGUAGCCAAUGGUUGCCACUUACACCAACUAAUUAAAUAUUAACAAUGCCUUCUUGCAGGUAUCUCAAACUGAUGCGACUUUGUACCGGCAAACACUCGAGCCCUUCAAUAUUUGACUCUCACUUGACUUAGAUAUACCAUUUGCAGUUAAUCAACUAUCUCAGUUCAUGCAUUGUCUAUCUUCGCGGACUUGGACUGUUGUGAAACGCGCUUACUUCGCUAUCUCGUUGGCACUAUUGAGUAUCGAUCAUGGACUCAUGUGGCAAAAAGUCACCCCAAACACUUCAUCCCUUUGUCGAUGUAGAUUGGGCGCGAGAUCCUACAGAUCAAACAUUGACAUCUGCCAAUGUUAUCUUUUUUGGUAUCAACCCCAUCUCUUGGAGCUAUAAAAAGCGAGAAAAAAAAAAGGUCGCAAGGUCGUCAACCGAGGCUGAAUAUUGUGCUAUUGCAUCUAUUGCGGCAGAGUUAAAUUGGAUCAUGAAUUUGCUUCAAGAAUUAUGAGUUCUGGUGGCUUCUAUACAUAUUAACUAUUGUGACAACAUAAGUGCCACUUAUGUUUGCACAAAUCGUAUAUUUCACUCACUAAUGAAACUUCUAAAUUGAAAAGAAGAAGAAGCAAUUAAUGAUUCCUUAAACUUCUAAAGUAACAAAUUAUUUGGAACAUAAAUAUUCUUUUCCAAACCAACAAAUAAUAUCGGAAGGAAGGAGUAAUUACGUGUAUUUCAAUUAAUUAAGACUGAUAAAUGAUAGAUUGAAAAAACAUGCAACUAAUGAUUUAUCAGAAUUUUAAAAUGACAAAUAAUUUGGAACAAACAAAAUUCUAAAAUGACAAACAAUUUGAAACAAACAAACUCCCAAGUAUGUGAAGUUCUUUGUGUUCUUGAUCACGAACUCCCAGUUGCAGUCUAUUUAAAAUCAUGCACUGUUUUUUGACGUUCUUAAUAGAUUUGUUGUUAAAGUUUUGGUUAAAUUACGGCCAUCCUCUGAGGUAAAGAUAAAUUAUGAAACUCCCCCUCAUGUUUGAGUAAUUACAACCAUCCCCUCAACUAUGAGUUUUCUUACACGUCCAUACUUAUGGUGUCAAAUUCAACUUACUUUUCCAGAUUGCGAGGAAUGUUUUAUAUUUUAUACUCGUUUUGUGCAAAAAUGCAGUUUCUAUACACAACAAUCUGAUAUUUACAAGCCAAAAGACACCUUAUGAUCAUCUUGUGUCAAAAGUGGUUUUUUCGUAGUUUGACGUUACCUCGGGGGUGGCGUAAUUUGCCCUGAAUUUUAUUACAAUGUCUGAAAAAGGCGCAUUUAGCAACCUGAAUGUGGAUGGUUUUUGCCUGAAAUUUGAGCUGUAUUGUAAACAAUGAAUGGACCAAAUAUUGGAUUUUUUAUCAUUUAGCAAUAAUUAUUUUUAGCCAUUACAACAAUAUAUGUUGCUACACAAUUCCUUCUUUUUUAUUUUUCUUUAUUUUCUUUAUUAUUUUUUUUCCCACCGUUGCUCGAGCCGUCAAAUCAGUUUAGGAUUCGACGGGCUGAACUAAAAACCUGUAAGAAAGGAAAUUGGCAAACACACAUGUCUGUUUAUAGGCAGCAUUUUCUUAUUGAAUCUAAUUUCGCAGUCCGAGGAGGUUAAAUAGGUACAUCUCGAGCAACAGCACGUACGAAGUAACUUUUGCAAUAAAAGAUCUUCCAAACUUCCGGGGGCAAAAUGUGUACGAACCAGUCUUCUACUUAAUACCUGAACUAAUUCGGCGGCUGCAAAAUAAUAAACAAGUAAAACAGAUAAAUGAGACGAAAAGAUUACACAAUGUUCAAACAAGUUGAUCUUUGUUUGAUUCCCAUUGUUGCCUUAGCAACAUUUAUUGUAAAAAAAAAUUAGUAAAUCGUAGAAAACCGAAACCGAAAGUUAUAUAUUGGUCAUUAUUUAUUUUUGAGUUAAUUGCAUUUAGUACCCUUGUGUUACACCGAAUUGUAAAAAAAGUCCUUGUGUUAUAAAUAUUAGGAAAAAAACGCCCUACAAUGCAUUUAUUUAGCGCAAACCCCCUAAAUGGCGUAUUCUUAGAGGGUAGUUUGCUAAUAAAAUUGAAUCAUAGGGGCGAUUUUGCUAAUAUUUAUAACACGGGGAGUUUUUUGACGUUAAAGAAAUCAAUAAGCUAAUCCACAACUUAAAUUCCAUUACAAAUGUACGAGGAAGUUAGAACAGGCUCACCUGUGGAUAAGAGUUCUCGUUCAGCAUAGAAAUCGCACACGAACCAGCUGAAGGAACCAAACCGUGCGGAAAAUUGUUGUAAACAACAGAGCCCCGGAGUUCGAAAUUACUGUUUAUUUGAUAUUCCAUUGCACCCGGUUGGAAAUUCGCCUCUUUCGUAGGGUCCACCAUCAACUCCGGGAAGCUUAGGUUUCCGAACGAAUGGUAUUGGUAUUGGUCGGGAAUCGGGAGCCUCAAGCUGGCGGAGUACGUGUAGUCGUCAAUAGUUAUGCCGUCGUGUCUAUCGUUUUUCAAUUCUCUUGAAUUGUCGAUAUUUAUGUGUUCCUUCAAAUCGCCAAAGUAGCCGGAGCAUGUCGGAAACGAUGCAUCCCUCGUGCACUCCAUAUCUCUGAAAUUCGUAAUAAAUUGAAAUUACAUUUGAAGUUUUUUAUGAUUCAAUUAAUAUGGAGUAAGCUAUUAUCGGCCCUAGUUUUUGAAUAAUAUAUAGGGUAAAUUACAACCACCCCUUGGGAUAUGGUCAAAUUACGAAAAAACCCAUCUUGUUUGGAUAAUUACAUUUAUCCCCUCAACUAUGAAUCUUCUUACACCUCUACCUUUGUGGUGUCCAAUUCAACAUAAUCAUCUAGAUUCCAUGGGAAGUUCUCUAAUUUGUACUCGUUUUGUGCAAAAAUACAGUUUCUGGUGCACCACAAUCUGAGAUAUACAAGCCGAAAAACAUAUCUUAUGAUCAUCUUGCUUCAAAAUGUGGAGCUCGAAGGGGAUAAAACAGGUACAAAAUUGAGAAUAUUCCAUAUAAUCUAGAAGAUUCCACUAAAUUUGAAACCGCAAGGAUGGACGUGUACGAAGAUUUAUAGUUGAGGGGUGGUUGUAAUUACCCAAACAGGAAGGGAGUUUUCGUAAUUUGACCAUACCUCAGGGAGUGGUUAUAAUUUACCCUAAUAUAUAUAGGAACCAAACAAUAAUAGUAUCGUAUGCUUAUCUAAGGAACUUUAAGGCCACGUUUGGAUUAUGUGAUUAGCUACAUAAUUGGACUUUAUUGGAUGUUUAGGUCUAAUGACUUUUCGGGGUCGACACGCAUGUGGAAAAAAAUAGCUCUGAUCUGGGCUGAUUAGGAGAAUAUGUAUAAUCGGGUUUUCAUAAGAUUAUUAUUUAAUCUUAUAUUGGUUAAUCUUAUCUUAGGAACCAAACGAAGGAUCAACUCACCGAGUAGUCAAGAAAUGGGGCUCGUUUGGUAGUAUCAUAUGUUGACUAUCGCCACCCGGAAGCCAUGAUUGGUUUCCGCAACCCUGAUCACUCGUCGUCGCUAUGGGAAACUGCAUCCCCGUUUGGAACUGAAAUUUGAAAAAAAAAAAUUAGAACGUUAUAAAUUAAAACCCUAGCAAAAUCUCCACAAACCUAUAUCACAUGUGUGAAAAGAAAUAGAAAGAGAAAGAAAACGGAAUUUAUGUAGUAGUAUUUAUUGCGUCGUUACCUGGUUUGUGCAAUCGAAUGGAAUAUGCGUGUCCUUCAAAAACUUUUCCUCCUGAAAGAAGACGAGAAUAUUUAAAACGGCUCGUAAAUACAUUUUUAUAUAAUGCAUUUCUUUUUUUCUUAACUAUAAAUUUCUAGCACUUGAAAUUUAUAGUUUCGAAAAGUCUUGCGUAUUACAGACUAAAGAAACGGAAUAUACCUUAUGCAUGCGAGUUCUGUUUAGUGUUUCCCUCAACGAGUUUUCCAUCUGAUUAAGGUGUUCAAUAUCUUCAAUUUUGUCGGGAUUCGCCCACCAGCUUAAAUAAUAAAAAAAAAUAAAAAUGUCAGUUGAAGCUUAUAACUAAAUCACUAUGUAAAUCGUUGGUUAAAGUUCUGUAAAAUUUUCAAGAUUUGCACCUUAUUCGUUUAUGUAAUUCAGCAAGUUGGCUUUGCAGCAUCCUUAAUCGGUUUUGCAUUUCCUAUCCAAAAAACGAUUACCAAGAAAAAAAAUUUAAAAUAUUUUUUUUUUCUAACUAUCUGAAUCUCGUCUCGAAUAUCACUUCGAUGGCUAGUGAGAGAUAAAUAAAUACCUCUAUUGACGGAGUACUGCAAAAAAUAAAAAUAAAAAAAGACGAAAAGUUUAGUGAGAUAUUAUUAUUACAAUGGGAUUAAAGUAAAUAAAAAUUAUCGAACAAUCGAGUUUGUCUACCUUGUAUCAAGAAACUCCUCUAUAUCGACAUCCUGGUCAAGCUUCUUGAAGUUUCUCUUUAAAGUCUAUCAUACGUCGAUUUAUCCCAAAAAAUCAGCUUCAUUAAUUUUAUUUUCAAGAAGAUGAAAAACAUAUAUUCAAUAUUAAAAAAUAAAAACUUACUUCGAGACUCUCCAACCUCCUGUUAGAAUUUCAAAAGAAAAAAGAAAACGGGACGAAUUAAAAUAAUAUCACAAAUAACUCCGCAAAAAAUGUCGAAAUGGGAGAAUUUCUAUCUACCUUUUUGCCCGUUCUUUAGGUGUGAGUUGAGCGUAUUUUGUAAUCAUUUCAUCAAUGUUGCUAAAACCGAAAAACGAACAAAAUAUUAGCGAAAUAUUUUUUAUUUUUUAAUUAAAUUUUUUUUCAAACAUCAACGAAAUGGCAAUAUAGUUCAAAGAAAAAAUAAUCAAGAAAGAGUGGAAAUAACUAACGAUAAGUACAUUUAACGUAUCCUUUCUCAAUACUUACACUAAUAUUAUUCCGAUUUACCGUGUCGUUUAAGUCUAAUUCACUUAAAACUAUAAAAAUUUCUACCACUCGAAAAAUAUUCCAAUGUUUCGAGCACUUAACUUAAAUUAACCGAUACAACACUUCACGAUCACUCAUAUCACUUAAAACAUAACCAAAAAAAUUCGAGUAAAAGAAUACAUUUACAAUACGAAUGUUCGACAAAUUACCUUCUUUGUCCUCGGAAAAUAGACGGCUUCCCAGUCGGAGAAAACAUAAGAAGAAUAAUAUCAAUGUCGCAUAAAACCGAAAUUUCUUGGGCUUUUUUCAAUAUUCCUGCCCUUCUUUUCCCAUAAGUAACCUGCCUGCUGCUCAGGCUCUCCAAUCUCUGUAUUUUCAACUUUACCCUUCCCAUCCUACAAAAUUACCAAAAUGCCCACUGUAAAUUAGUUUCAUUUUUCCCCUUUCUUCAUGCAUACUACACUUAAAAAUAAGGAUUCAUCUCAUUAAAGAACUGGAAAUUCAAAACCCACAAAUAAAUCAAGAAUCUUUCCUAAUUAAUCAUGCACAAUAAUUAAUUAAUUCACAACCCUAACCUUGAAGUAAUAUCCUUCAGAAAUGCCCAAAUUGGAAUACACCAUUCAGUAAUAUUUCCUGUAUUUCCAAAUUAAUUAAAAAAAAUUAAAAAAUACGAAGCGAAAAUUAAAGAAAAAUGAAAAAUACAGCCCACGGCGGAGUAUCAGACAAUCCCAUUUAGGGGAUUUCAAUGGAUUGAUUAAAAAAUUAAAAACCCUAAUUUUAAUUUUAAUUUUCUUGGUACAGAGAUAUGGAGGAAAUGCAGAUGGGGAAAAAAAGACCUAAAAAUGGGAAACCCAAAUGAGGGGAUGAACAGUAGGUAUCAUAAUUUCUGAUAUGUAAAUAGAAAGAUUAGAAAAAUAAAAAAAAAUAAUUUUGAAAAGGAGGAGGAGGAGAGAGAGAGAGAGAGAGAGAGAGAGAGAGAGAGAGAGAAGGCUAAGGAGAAGGAUUGAGGAGCAGACAAGAGGUUGUACUUUGAUUUCGGCUUUUAAAACUCGCGGGAGAACCGAACAGCUUUUUUGCUUGCAUACGUGUUGGGACUAAAUAAAUUAAGAAAUAAUAAGAAAAAAAAAAAGAAUAUUUGAUUAUAUUUUUGUGUAAAUUACAUAUAUGCCCUCUUACAUUGACUUUCAGUCAACUAGGGACAUUAUUUUUUUUUUUUCCUUUUUUUUUCAAAUAAACCCACCACUUAGAGCAUCUCCGACCGGUUUCACUAUCUUUUCACUAAAUUCCAUUUUUUGUGGUGAAAAAAUGGGUUCAUCUCCAACGGCAGCACACAAUUUUACCAGUUCACCAUUUUUGGUGACAAAUUUGUGUUUUUGGUCUCCAAUAGGUUUCACCAAAAUUUAGACUAAAUAUUAAAAUAAUAAUAUUUCACCAUUUCACCACUUAUAGAAAAUGGAAUUUGGUUCGGUCUCCCACGACAUUUCACCAUAUAUGCCCCAACCAAAAUUAUAAAUCUAAUGUUAAUCGUAAUUUUAUUAUAUUUUAUUUCAUAAAUAUUAAUUAUAGAUCCAAUGUUAAUUAACACCAAUGUAUUUACUAGGAAUGGUAAACGAGUCGAGCCGACUUGUGAGCUCGAUGAGCUGGCUCGAGAGAAACUCGAACUCGAACUCGAACUCGAAUUUUUCGAGCUCGAGCUUUAGCCACUUUUUAGUUGUUCGUGAGCUCACGAGCCGGCUCGUGAGCCUUAUUUAUUAUUAUUAUUAAUUUUUUUAUAUAUAUAUUAUUUUUUAUUUAAAUAAUGUAUAAUAAUAUAAAAUAUUAUAGAAAUAAACAAUAUAUAUAUAUAUAUAUAUAUAUAUAUAUAUAUAUAUAUAUAUAUAUAUAUAUAAUUACAAUUUAUUGUUUAUUUUUUAAUUUUUAAAUAUUUUUUUAAAAUAAUAAAAUAAUAAUUAAAAAAAAAUAUUACAAAAAAAAAAAAACUACAAAAAUGAGCUUAGGCUCAAGCUCGAGCUCGAGCGUCAAAAGAACGAACUCGACGAGCUUGAGGUCGACAAAAUAGACUCGAGCUCGAGCUCGAGCCUGCCAAAAGAGGCGAGUUCGGCUUGUGCACACCCCUAUUAUUUACGAUCAAUAUGCUAAUAUGUUGGUAAUCAAGUGAAAUUAGUUAAAAUCGUCAUUUUAUAUGCUACUUAACAAAAUGGUGUUAAUUAUACAAAAUCCUAUUUUCACUUCUAUAUUUGGUAGGAAAUAUAGGAUUAGGUGGAAAAAAUAGGAAAAUGGUGAAUCGGUGGGAGAUGAAAAUUCCUUCACCAAAAAAAUUUGUGGAAAAAUAAGAUUUGAGUAUAUGGUGAUAUGGGGGUUGACCGCGGUGGGAGGCUUAAACCAAAUCUCCAUAAUUUUAGGUGUAAUGGUGAUAUAGGAAUUUCGGGUGGGAGGCUAAAUACACUUAAAUUAGAUAAGAAAAUGGCGAUAUAGCGACCAAUCGAAGAUGCUCUUAUAUAUUCAUUACUAAUAAAUGGAACUCUAAUUUUUGUAACAAAAUUACAUAUAGUUUUUAAAUACACUCAGUUCAUAUUUUAAAAUUCUAAUUUAACCUCAAUUCAACAGUUAAAAGCCUAAAGGAUAAAACUACUAACAUUCUUUUUUUUUUUCACUUUAAUACCACCAAAAUAAAAAUUAGAUAAUUUUAUAUAUAAAAGAAAGAAACGCUGGCCAACGCUAAAAAAACCUAAUGGUAUUUUUGUAAUUAUUUAUUUUUAAUAUUUUUUUCUCUACUAUUUUCUAACUAUAAUUUUUAGCAAUUAUCAAAUUAAAACCAACCCGUGAAGAAUCCUACCCUCAUGGUACUUUUGUAAUUAUUUAUUUUUAAUAUUUUUUCUCUACUAAUUUUUAACUAUAGUUUUCAACAAUUAUUGAUCUCCUAUUUUUUUUUAUCAAUAUAUCUCCGAUCUUAAACGAUAAGGAUAGAAAUUCCAUUUGUUAAAUGUUAAUCUAUAUUUGGAUUAUAAAUCUUAAUAUGUAAGAUUUAAAAAAACUAAUGUUAUGUAAAAUAUGAAUCACACUUUAUUAUUAAAUUUUACUAUAUUAGUGUACUAUAUUUUCUUAGAGCAACUCCAAUGAGGUUAUCAAACAUGGUAUUCAAAUCUUUAAUCGUCAUUCACACAGUAAAAAAUAGAAGUUUUUAACUCCAAUAGGGUUAUCAAAUGAGUGUUCUAUUUUGAUAAUUGACCUCUUGGGUUGUGUUGAGUGUAUAUUUUACACUCAAUGUAUACUUUGUUACGAGAAUUUUUGUAUACUUUUAUUGAUUUAAUGGUGCUUAAGGAGUGGUUUAUUGUAUUUUAGGUACAACUUGACGAUUUGGGAGUUCCGAGGAUGAAAACGAGCCAAGAAAGGUCAAAAAGGGGCAAAAACGGAAGAAAACAAUCGGAUUCUGAAAAUUGGCCUAGCGCGGCCGUACCAGAUUUAGCCUAUUUUUGGCGCGGCCGUGUGAAAACACGCUGGAAGUAAUUUUGGACUUUUAAUCACACAAGGAAGCCUAAAUCUUCUACCAAGUUGAGACAUCUAUAAAAGGACAAAUACCAAGCACGAAUCAAAAGACUUUUUACACAAUCUUGGAGGAAGAGGAGCGAGAGAACGGUGAAUCGAAGACGGAGAAUUGACAAAUCUUCAUCAGGAUUCUUCUUUCAUCUAUCUUUUCUUAAUCUACUUCUUUUUAUAUUUUUAUGAUUUUUUUCUUAAACAUGAGUAGCUAAACUUUUAAUCUAGGAUUUUGUUGGAACCCUAUGUGGUGAUUCGAACCUAUUUUUCUAAUAUUAUGCAAGUUUAAAUUUCAUGAUUAUUUCUUCUAUUUGAUCUUAUUUAGCGCAUGAACCUGUCUAAUUUAUGUUGUUAUAUGUUAUUGUUAGAAUUGAUUGACAUAUCGUUUUAAUAAUUAUAACAGGGAUAGAAGAACCUUCGAGUAGUUUUCACAGGAUGAGUGUGUUAAUUGCAUGUAUUAUCGUAGACAUAUAGAUAAUACCUUAGGUAGCCGUUUACGAGACUUGUUAUUUAAUGCUUUAUUCAUAAUUGGUUUGCAUAGACAUAUAGUGAAUCGGUUAUAAAUAGCAGACUCAUAAUACACGCGACAGCGGGUUAUGAGUAAUUUAGUGUAUCGGGUUAAUAAUUAGGAAUCGUAACUUGCAUGAUAUAUAGAGGUCUAAUUGGGUGAUGAAUUAUCGCAUAGGGGAAGAUAAAAUCCUAGAUCCGUUUUUAUAUUGAUAUUUUCUCGUAUUUAUUUGCUUUCAUAAUUAGUUUAGUUAUUUAGUUGGUUAAAUUUGACAACCUUGCGUAGGCUGGAUAAAAAUCAUAAUUGUUAGAAUUUGGUACUUAGGAUUAGAUGAUUUGAGUAUUCCCUGUGGGAUCGACAUCCGACUCUCACGAGUCCACUUUUACUACUUGUUUGCGAUACGUGCACUUGCGUGUUAGGUAUUUAGCCCAACAAGUUUUUGGCGCCGUUGUCGGGGAAUACGGCUAAAUUAUGUAUUUAUUCUAAUAUCAAAUUUGAGCAAUUUUUCUUACUCCAGCCAUUUAAUUUUUAUUUUUAUUUAUUUAUUUAUUUUUUUUUUUGUUUUUUUUUUGUUACAUGUCUGGUUACAAUGUUCAGGCACCUCAAACGGAAUAUGAAUGACUUCCAUGUGACGAAUAGCUCCAAAACACCUAUGAUAUGCCUCCAUUUUGUUCAGCAUGUGGUGGAAAUCAUUAUUCCGAUCAAUGUUGGGGAUCACCAAAAGCGACAAAUUUCGUCGAAAUUACCAACAGAGAUUAUUGGAACACUCACACCAACACAUAUGAGCAAAGCUUUCAAGACCAAGAUUUGAACGAGUUUCAACAUAGAGAGCCAUAAUUUUCUUUUCCAAAUUAUUAUCCAUCGCAGCAACAAACCACUAAUGAACAACUUGAUUUGGUAUCUCCCAUUUCCGAAUUCAUGAAGUCCACUCUAACAUCAUUUCGAAACAUGGAGAUACAACUGGAAGAGAUGACGCUCAAAUUAAAAUCUGAGUCUCUUGAAAAUAUUCCAGACGAAAUCGGCAAUGGUCAUAUCAAAGAAAAUUCGGGUGAAGCCUACGAUGAGAAAAAUCUUCUAUGUUCAUAAAAUAGUGUCGAUAUGAGAGAAAUAGAAAUUACGAAGACACUUGAGCAUGAUGAAUCUGAGAAUGCAAUCGAGCUAAACCCCAAAGAUGCCUCAGAACAAGAGAAGAAGGAGAUGGAUGUAAUGAUUGAAGAUAUUCUAGUUGUGGACCGUAUCGUAGAUCUAAAUGUGGAUUUGAAGGCAUCAAUAGUGGUUGAUGAGAAGGCUAAUGUGUUUGAGGUGGAGGUUAUACGCAUACUGGAGAUUUUUGUAUACCGAUUUGAGGAAGCGGAUGACGAACAUCCUACCUUGGUAUUGUACCGAUUGCUUACUAACAAAUAAGGGUGCCAACUAAGGUGGAUGUGGACACUCCCAUAUUGCAACCCUGUCCAUGCAUUGGUUGAAAGAGAUGUAGUAAAGCAAAUUAAUGGAUGUGCAAUCUACAAGGCUUUGGAUUGGACAUAGCAGUUUUAAGAAACAAAGUCUGGCUGAAGACUUAAAACUUAGCGCUUCUCGGGAGGCAACCCGAGCAUUUAUCGAUUUUCGUAUUUUUCUUUGCUUUUAUUUUUCUUAGGAUUUUAGCAUGCGCAAACUAAUAAUUUAAUCUUGUUUUAAUUUUCAGGUCGAAAAUCAAAUACUAAGGGUAUCAGACGUUAAAGGUGGAGCAAACGAACAUCAAAGAGUGCAUCCCAGAGAAGGACCUUUCGACUAAUCAGGUGUAUUCUAUCCUUGAACCUUGUUUUAAUUACAUUGAGGGCAAUGUAAAUUUUAAUUUUGAGGGUGGAUAAUUACUUGCUUUUAUGUGCUUUAACUUUUUAGUUUGCAUGCCGUAGGAUUUUUUUUUUUAGUUUAGUUAUUUUAGUUUAUUUAUUGCUUUCGGAAAAAAAAUAUAUAUUGAGAUAAAUGCUUCGAUGAAUCAUGAUGAUGAAAGAUGGUUGAUGUUUAAUGAUGAAAUUGCUUGAUUUAUCUUGAUUGUGACCGAAUUUUGGUGAGCUUUCGAUUCAAAGUGUUGUAGGAAGGAGUCAUUGUUAGGAAUCAUGAAUUAUGCCUUGCUUUGGUUGAAAGUUUUGUGUUUUAAAAAGUGGAAUUAAUUUAUGCUAUAUCAUAUGCUAUUCGGGUUUAGAACUUGCCUUAGGAAUUUACAAAGUGAAAUAUUAAAUUGUUGAGCAAUUUGGGAAGUGAUUUGGUCCAUCUUUGAACCGUUUGAGCCUUUCAAGCCUAUCUUUAAAUUUUUAUCAUUCGAACCUUGAUUGAGCCUUGGAGAAACGGUGUUCUUUCUUUUAGCCGAACUAGCAAUGUGCAUGUGCGUUGCACGUGUCGUAAUAUUAUUAUAUGGUGAAAAUAAUUUUUCUGUAUCCAUAUUAGAUUACAAUAUGCCUUUUAUAAAAUAUGAGUCAAUUGGUUUUAGACCAAAAACAUAUUGCUACUUCUGUAAAUAUUGGAGAAAUGUAAACUACAUCAAAUCAAACUUUAAUGCCUCUCUUAUCUUUUUUGUAUUGCAUAUACAUUGAAAUUCAGGUGAAUCCUAGGAAAACAUAUUUUUCGAGAUUUAUGAUCAAAUUUGCAGUCAAUUACGAGAUUUUGUUUAGUAUUGCUAUUGUAAUAUGGUAGUUGUUAAUUUAAUGAUGUCUAUGUGAAAUCAUUGAAAACUAAUACAUCUCUUAUAACUCUCUGGUGUGACAUCAAAUGUACUCAUGAUAACCAAAAUGCAUCAUCCAAUUGUAAUGUUCCUCAUGGCACACCUAGUCCUUAUACAACAGACUCUGCUUAUUAUGGAUUACCCGCUCUUUAACCAAUUCCAUUUUUUUUCUUAUUGAACAAUGAAACACACAUCAGAAAAAUAAACAAAAAAACUCAGAAGCUUGUGCAUUAACAUAAUUUUCAGCUAGCAAUGAGCAUGAAUGUAAAUUAUGUUCCAAACAUACUCUACACAAAUUUAAUUGGUCAAUAUGCUUCACAGUAGUGUAAAGAGAAGGUUAGGUUCGUGCAACCCUUACAAAGAGUAUCACUCCACAUGAACGCGAGUCUAGAGUAGCUCUAUAAUGGUCUCGAUCGUUUAAGAGUUAGAGGAUUUAGAUAAAUUCGAAACAUAAAAGAAGAGAGGUUCUCAUAAACAAAAAAGAGACUUGCAUAUUUUAAUAACAUACUUCAUAGCAUUUUGACUUUGACAUACUAUGUACCAGGCCAUCAUCCUGUCAAAGUAAUGACAUAAUAAUAUCACAAAGUGAAACUAUGUCUAAUUAUAAAGAAGAAAUAAUUCAUGGAAGAACUUUAAAUAUUUUCCAUAAGUUUGCAUACAAUGAUAUCUUUGAUAUGUCACAAAGAUUGAAAGAUAUAUCUCAAGUGAACUUGUAUCUCAAGGGUUGUAAAAUGUGCCUUCUUUCUUCUAGAGCAUUGAGUUGAUUGUCUAUUUGAAUGCAUUCUAAAAGAGCGUAUCAAGAGCAUAAUCUUGACUUGUAUACAGUAAAACCUGCUACAAUUCUAAAUAAAACAAUGAAAUAUAUUAACGAAACUAAAACAGUUUGUCUUCAGCCAUUGGUAUGUCAUGAAAUAUCAAAACAAAGAACGGACUACAUGUACAACCAUUUCUUCACUUAGCUUCCUUAAACUAUCUAUUUAGUAAAACCAUUCGAGAAUACAAGAUUGAGCUGAAAUUUAUGCCUAUGCAUUUUGAGUGGCUUCAUUUUUCCCUUCAACUAUCAGUUUCAUCAUCAUGUGACUCCACCAUGGAUUGGAGAAUCCAUUUGUUGUUGACUCCACCUGUACGGUUGUACCUCCCCUGCCUGCUAUGUCUAAGAAAUGUGAUGUACAUCCAACAUCCUUAUCUUGUAGUUUUGACGGAUUACAUCGACUUGCUAUAAAGGGGAAAAAAAAACCAAAUAGAACUAUUGAAUGACCACCUCAACCAAAAACUUAAGCUAUUAUUAUUUAAUACUAAUAUCUCCAAUUCGCCCCCUAAAGUUCAAGCAAAUUACAUUUGAAGUCUUGCACUUGAAAUAUUUGAAAUGGAUGGCGGUAGGAUUCGAACUCAUGACCUUUCAUUUGGUCUGACUCUGAUACCAUGUUGAAUGACUACCUCAACCGAAAGCUUAAGCUAUUAGUGAAGUGUAUCAUUUGUCACUAAUAUUUCCAAUAAUAACAGUGAUAAAGCAUAUAAAGUAUACUGGCAUAAUUCACUCUAGUAUCUCCUUGAAUGGCUCGUAGAUUUUCUAUAAUAAUAUCUCCCAGAAACUCACCUGAAUAGUAACAGGAACCAGAUCGAAGAUUUGUGUUAAAGAAAUUUAAUAUCUAAUAACAUUAAUUUUUUUUACGAGAGCACGACAACGAAUACAAGUGUUUUAUAUAAGAUGGGAGGUAUUGUCUGCAGGAAGGAGAAGGAGACUGAUGAUUCAAUCAGAGCCUAAAACUUAACUCAUGAUUUUUAAUUUGGAGUAACAAAAAACUUACUAAAUUGAAAAGGAAACUAUCUAUAGCCAUUGGACCCUAAUAUUUACAGAGAAAAAAAUAUGAAUUGAAAAAUAUAAGAAGUUCAUGAAAAAAUAAAAUCACUAAAAAUUCAAAUAAUAUAGAAGAUAAAACAAACAACGGGCAUUAAAAUUUUCGCCAUCAAAAUAAAAAUCACGGAAACAAUUUUAUAUAAAUAAAUUACAUGAGAAAUAACUUUUAAUUCCAUGUUAUAUUUGUCUACCAUUAGACAAUAUAAAACCAUCUGUGAAGUGCAUAAAACUUAGGGUAAAUUCCACUUCCCCCCUUCUACUUUGGUUGAAUAUGAUUUUACUUGAACAAUUGUCUCAAUAUGGCUCUUGCCGUUAGUUUUCAGACACUUUGACACUUAACACCAUUUGAUCUAAGUCUGNNNNNNNNNNNNNNNNNNNNNNNNNNNNNNNNNNNNNNNNNNNNNNNNNNNNNNNNNNNNNNNNNNNNNNNNNNNNNNNNNNNNNNNNNNNNNNNNNNNNCAAUAUAAUCAUCUAAUGCAAAACUACCAAUAGCAAUUUAAACCCCUGUUUAACAGAUUAUUUCCUAUAUAUCCACUCAUAAUUCAUAACAUUAACAAAGAUAAUAACAUGGCAGUUCAAUCCUAUUAAAUAAACGGGAUGUGGAAUACCAAGAGCCACGUAAAUCAAAAAUUAAAUUAUGGUUUCUAGAAAAUGUAUAGCUUUGUCUUGUUGAAGAAAGACUAACAACUUUGAUGAGAUUGGAUCACUGGCUAAACCCAAAGUCAUGCAACAUGACCUUUGGAUUAAGCAAAUAAAGCAGCUGCAUUAUCAUAACAUUUUCUUUCUUUUGUUAUGAGUCCCUGAUAAUGUACAUACGUGAAUUUGAGAUGACAAGAAGAAGCCAAUUGAAAUAGAAAGUACUUACAAACUUCACGUAUAACAUUCUUAGUCACAAACUAUAUUACAAUGAAUCUUACCUGCCAAUACAUAAAUACAGAAUUGAACGGAAAAAUAAAAUGUAAUUGCAAGUAAAUUUAGUAGAUAAAAGUUAAAUCAAUAAUCCCAAUGCAUAGACCAUUAAUUAUGAAACUGACACGUGUUUUGAAUUACCUGAGUAGAAAUAAUUUUAAAUCAAUAAUCCCCAUGUGAAUCAAUAAUCCCCAUGCAUAUAACUCAUGCAUGUUUCAUUAGGUUAAUUAAUUCAAAUGAAUAAAAAAAUUUAACUUAGUACAUAGAAGUGCGAAAAAUAUGCAAAAUAACUUACAAACUUUAUUAACAGAGGUUCAAUCCGAUCUUGAUAUGGAGGAUUUAUUCCUUCAUUAAUCUAGAAAAUUUUAUCAAUUUCUCAAUAUUUAGGGUUCAAACUAUUAAACAUAUAACUAAAACCAAAAAAAAAAAAAAAAAGAAGAAGAAGAAGAAGAAGACGAAAAAGAAAUCGAGAAGACCAAAAAAAGAUGAAUGAGAACUUGAAACUCGAAGUUACGAUUAUUUAUUUCUUUCUUUGGUUUAACUUAUGCAAAAUUGAAAUUCAUAUUGACUUAUCGAGACCAUUGAGUUUCUUUGAAUUUCUUAUAUGACUAACAGUUAAUAGAUACAUGAGUUCAUCUUUUCAGAUGCCUUUAUACAUUGAACUCUAAAAAUAUCAAUUAUUUUCAUAAACAUACAUUAAAUGACUAAUUAUAAAUUAAUAUUAAUUAUUUUAAUUUUGAUAGGGACAUUUUGGUCAUCACAAAAAAGGGAAGAAACCUCCCUUAAUAUUCCCACUUUUAUAAGUAAAAUAGAAUAAAGUGGGUAGAUUAGAUGGUGAUUUCUUGAUAAUUAUCCCUUGGAGCUUGGUUGAAAAAAAAAUUAAAAAAAAAAGAGAGAAAAAAAAUAAAAAAGAAGAAGAAGAAGAAACAUAGAAGGGGAAGAAAGGACUUGAGAAAGAUUUUAAAGUAACAACUCGAACCAUCAUGUUAAGAGCAAAAGUGAAGACUUUUGAACUCUUAACAAAUUGAGUUAAGUAAUAAGUCCUUCGAGGUGAAGCAAUAAUUCCAAAAGCUAAAUCUUAGCGAAAAAACCUCGAGUCAAGAACGAGAGCUAAAAAUUCCGUCAAGUGCAACUCUUAGUAACCAAUUGUGAGAUGAAAGGAGAAGAGUAGCCACAUUUACCCAUACUUUCUACCUUGUACCAAAGCCCAACAUUUGAAAUCCAAAACGUCCCAAUGAUCCCAAUAGCUCAAGUAUUUGUUACUAGCCGAGUAAAGAAAUUUGGUGAGUCUUUGGAGUUGAAUAUUAUUAUGUAAGUAUAAAUUUUCUCCAUUUUUAAUUUACAGAUAUGAGAUACUUGAAGCGAUAGCAUGGUUUGUGGUUUUUGGCAAGGGUGAGUGAAUACGUAUCUUUGAAUUACGAGCUUAUAAAUUUUUUAGAAUUGUCAUGAUAAUUGCUAGUUCUGAAAACGUGAAGAUUGACCAUUAAUCUAUGUGAUGAGGGGCAUUUGUUGACAGUGUUGCUUUGAAAGUUGCUAGUUUUUGCUUGAGGACAAGCAAAAGUUCAAGUUUGGGGGUGUGUUGAGUGUAUAUAUUUUACACUCAAUGUAUACAUUGUUACGAGGAUUUUUGUAUAUUUUUAUUGAUUUAAUGGUGCUUAAGGAGUGGUUUAUUAUAAUUUAGGUACAACUUGAUGAUUUGGGAGUUCCAUAGAUGAAAACGAGCCAAAAAAGUCAAAAACGGGCAAAAAUGGAAGAAAAUAAUCGGAUGCUGAAAAUUGGUCUGGCGCGGCCGUGCCAGAUUUAGCCUAUUUUUUGCGCAGCCGUGCCAACUGCAAAAUUUGGGCAGAAAGUUUCGGCGAUUCUCGCGCGGCCGUGUGAGAAUUGCAUUGAUUAUCACGCGGCCGUGUGAAAACACGCUGGAAGUAAUUUUGGACUUUUAAUCACACAAGGAAGCCUAAAUCUUCUACCAAGUAGAGACAUCUAUAAAAGGGCAAAUACCAAGCACGAAUCAAAGGACUUUUUAUACAAUCUUAGAGGAAGAGGAGUGUUAGGUAUUUAGAAAGAAGAGGAGAAGAGGACUUUUUACUCAUAACCCGCUGUCGCGUGUAUUAUAAGUCUAUUAUUCAUAAACGAUUCACUAUAUGUCUAUGCAAACCUAGUACGAAUAAAACAUUAAAUAACAAGUCUCGUAAACGGCUACCUAAGGUAUUAUCUGUAUGUCUACGAUAAUACAUGCAAUUAACACACUCAUCCGGUGAAAACUACUCGAAGGCUCUUCUAUCCAUGUUCUAAUUAUUAAAACGAUCUGUCGAUUCAAUCCUAACAAUAACACAUAGCAACAUAAAUUAGCUACGUUCAUGCGCCAAAUAAGAUCAAAAUAGAAGAAAUAAUCGAAGAAUUUAAACUUGCAUAAUAGUAGAAAAAAGUGGGCCAAAAGUAAAUUCUUCGAUUUGUACCUAAAAUACAAAUAAUAACCAUUUGAAGCACCAAUUAUCGUUAAAACCAAUGUUAUCAGAACCGGACCGGACAUUAAACCCGUGAGGCAUUCGGGUCAUGGUUGGACCGGUUCAACCGGAGUCAACCCGGGUUUUUUAUUUUUUUAUAUAUUCUAUUUAUUUUUUAAUUUUAUAUACACAUAAUUACAUCCAAAUAAAAAUUUAAAACAUUAAACAACAUAUGAAAAACUUCACUUCAAUCCAAAAAAAUAUCCAUAAUAAUAAUGUAUCUCAUCAAAAUCAUCCUCAUCACAUAAUUAAAAUUUAAAAUAUAAAACUAAAACAUAUAAAUAGUUAAUGUCUUUUGCAUUAAAAUUAUUUCUUGUACAAUAGAUAUGGUAUUAGAAAAUAACAUAAUUUGAUAUAUACGAUAUUAAAUGGUGAAAAAACUACAAGUGUAAAUAGAAAUUUUAAAUUCACAUCUAAACAAAAAUUUUUUGAAGAAUUGAAAUCUAAACAAAAUUAUUAUCACAUGAUUAAACAAAAGAAUUUAAAAAUUGCACGAUUCAUCCACACGAAAGAGGGUACCGGCAGGUUGCGGGGGCGGCGGUGGCUGGCGGCGGCCGGCGGUGGCUAGUGGUUUGCGGCGGUGGCUGGCGGAUUGGGAGGCGGUGGCUGGGUGCGGGAAUAGUGAAGGCAGAAGAUGUACAGACUUGUCAAACAAGUCUGUUGAGUGUUGACGUUUAACGUGUUUUUUAAUUCAAUUUUUUUUUUAAACCUAAUAAUCAAAACAACGUCGUUUUGAUAAAGUAUUAAAUUUUUUUUUUUAAACCUAAUAAUCAAAACGACGUCGUUUUGAUAAAGUAUUAAAAAAAAUAUAUAAAACGCAACGUUUAGGAAUCGAACCCGGGUCAGCGGCCGGUUCGCCGGGUCCCGGGUUCCACCCGGUCAGACCAGGUUUCUGGUAGUUGACCCCGUUUUUGAAUUUAUGUGGGUUUGGGGGUUAGACCGGACCGGUUUUCCGGCGGGUCGCGGUCGAACCGGUCGGACCGGCCGGUCCGGUCCGGUUCUAAUAACAUUGGUUAAAACACACCAAAAGCUCCAAUUAAAAGGUACAAUUAAGUGUAAAAAUAUACACUUAACAAGGAGCGAGGGAACGGAGAAUUGACUAAAUUCAAGUCCAGUUAGUAUAUAUAUUUCUACUCGCUUGUUUUAAAGUUAAAAAUAUAAUUACAAUAAUCAAAUGACUCGUGCAACGCACAGGGGCAUGGUUACUGCUUAAAAUAACAAAAGAUGCUUUGGACAAUUCAAUACAACGCAUAAAUGGUGUCUGAAUAUAAGAGCUAAUAGCACACAUCCCCUGUGUUAUUUCUAAUUGGCAGAAAAGUCCCUAUGAUAAAACAAUUACCAAGAAACCCCCUAUGUUGUGUUAAAUAUAUCACACAACCCCUUAAUUCAGAUUUUACAGUUGACUUAAAGAAAAUGACAAAAAUACCCUUACCAAAGGGAAAGGGGAAGAGAGAAAAAGAAAAAAAAAAUUAAAAAAUUAUGAAAUGUGAUGACUGAUGAAAAGCAAGCAACAAACCUUCAACAAACCAUCUUCUGUGAUUUGGCUGCUCCAUUAACUGUGAGUUUUCAAGCUUCCAAAAUCAUGAAACAUCUCUUUCUCUAUUCUCUCAAGAAAGUCCACAAAGUGAAUUUAAGCUAUCAGUUGGUGACUAGACUCAAAAUAAAGGUUGAAAGCAUCGUCCAACAUCGCCGCCGACCGCCUUUCGCCACCGGCUUUCCGUCAUCAUCAAACCACCAUCAAAAUCCCAUCACCUCACCUUCCCUCCGUUCGUUGAAACAAGAACCAAUCAACUAAUUAAAGAUAGUUCAUUUAUUUUGUUUUAUUUUUGUAUUCAAAUCGAAUGUCAACCUAAAACAUGGAAAUGGAUUGUGAACUCCCAAAACAAUAAAAUUAUGUUGUUCUAAUCGAAUUAAGUUAUAUCUGGGGAAGGUGUUGUAUUUUGUUUAUGGAAUCGUGGGGUUUGUGGGUGGCUUGAAGAAUGGAGAAGGGCUGGUGUAAUCGACGGAGAUGGAGUAGUCGAGCUUCUACCUGUACCAAAAGGUCUCAGCAGCUCCCUCCAGAAAUUGGGCUCCGGCUUCUCCUCCUCCAAUUAGUGCGUGAACAUGGUGGUGGAUUCGAAACAAUUGGGGAUGAGCUGAUUUGGAGAGAUGGUGUUUUUGAAAUUGUCAGGGACUGAAUCGAAAAUUAUGAAAAUUUCAUUUUGGUUCAUACAAAUUUCUGGAUGAAUAUGUAAUUUUUGAAAAAAUGAUUAAAAGGGUAUUUAUGUAUUUUCAGGUCAAAAAACACACCGCCAAUCGCUCAACCCACGCGUGCAGCACACGAAAAGCUUUCAGGGGGGUUUUUGGCUUUGACUAUCUUUUAUAGGGGGGUAUUUGCUAAUUAUUUUAACACAGGGACUUUUAAGACAAUUAGAGUUUACACAAGGUUAGUUUUUGCAAAAAACCCAUAUAAUAACCUAGACAAUCAUAUAUAUAUUGAAUCUUUAAAAUAUUGUUUUCUUUCAAAUUAUCUGCUCCAUCUAGCUACUCACCACAUCUCACAUGCAUGAAUCCUUCAAUAUGUUAUUAGUGAUAUUAAUUUAUUACAAGUUGGCUAUAAAUUAUGGAAUUAAAUAUUAUUUACAUCCCAUUAUUAAUCAAAUCUUGAGUCCUUUAAUUCAUCUCAUCUUCUCCCCACAAAUUAAAGAAGCUCAGACAACACAAAAAUUUCAAUGGAAACCGUAACGAAUAAGUAUGUUGUAACAACGAGCAAUAUCGAUGGAGCCCCGAACGAAUCAAACUUCGCGAUUUGCGAACAAGUUGUUUCCUUGAAAGUACUACGACAGCCGGCUGGUGAGGGUUCCGACAUCGUUGUCGUUGUGAAAAAUAUGUACGUGUCGAUCGAUCCGUACCAGAUAAACCGAAUGAAGAGUUACAGUUGUUCGCAGGGAACUGUUUCUGCAGCAGCUGCUCUUCUUCCUGGACAGGUUAUCAUUCUUAUAAUAUAUAAGCAAUUCUUAAUGUUUAAUUUGUUUCACUGUUUUUUUUUUUUCUUUGAUAAAUAUGUUUUCUAAUUCUGUAAAUAAUUUUCAAAUUUAAACAAGUUUGUUAAGAUAAAAUAUUUUAUUUUAAAAAUAAGUUUGGCUUGGGUUUGAUUUUAUUUUAAUACACUCGGGAUUAACAAAUUCUAUUAAUUUAGCGAAAUGUUAAAUUAUCGAACUAAUAAUUUACUAUGUUAUUACCGAGUCGAGGCCAGAAAAAAUUAUUAUUCAAGGAAGGUUAUUAAUUUAUCGAGGUUAUAUUGUAUCAUUUUGUACAAAUUAUUUUGAGUUACACCCUAAUUGAAAUAAAUGUGCAAAUAUUAGUAAUUAUAUUAGGGUAAAUUACACCCACACCCCUGAGGUAUGCUUAAAUAACUUUAAGGUCCAUGUGGUAUCGAUAAUUACUGUCACCCCCUUGAAACGUAGUUAUAAACUCUAAUGGGAUAAUGCAUUGGAUACGUUAUCACGAUAGAGUUCUAACGGACUAUUGGUUUCAGGAAGUGGUGGAGACAACAAAGAGUUAUGGAUGAUUUAAGAAAUAUUGGGGGAGCCAUGUCACAUCAUAACUCCCCAUAACUCUAUGUUAUCUCCACCACUAGCUAAAAUUAAUAGUCCAUUAGAACCCUAUCGGAAUAACGUAUCCAAUGCAUUAUCUCGUUAGAGUUUCUAACUACGUUUCAGGGGGGUGAGUGUAAUUAUCGAUACCAUAGGGACCUUAAAAUUAUUUAAGCAUACCUCAGGGGUGUGAGUGUAAUUUACCCAUUAUAUUAAGAUAAAAAUUGUUACAGGCAAUUAAUGCAAGUGGGGUUGGGAGAGUGGUGGGUUCUACACAUCCAGAAUUUAAAGAAGGGGAUCUUGUUUCGGGAGCCCUAAUAUGGGGGGAAUAUACCCUUGUCAAAGGCAUUUCUUUACAGUGGUUGCAGAAAUUGGAUACAAAUCUCUCAUUUCCACUCUCUUAUUUUGCUGGAGGAGUUCUAGGUAUUAUUAUUAAUUAUACUUUAAUCAUCAUAUAAAUUCAUUUAUAAUUUUGUCAUUUUUUAAGGGCAAAUUGCACGUCCCCCUCUAUAAAUUUCUAAUGUUUUGCACUUUACCCUCUCAAAAUUUGGAAAUGCGAAUUUCGCCCUUCAGAAUGUUAUUCUUAUUGCACAUUGUUUCGAUGGAUUGUUCACUGAAGUUGAGUGAAUAUGUUGCACGUUGCCCCUUUUAAAUGUUAUUUUUGUUGUACCUUGGCCCCCCAAAAAACAUUAUUUUUCUGCAAAUUGUCCCUGUUAAAAAUGUUGUUUUUGUUGCACAAUGCUCAACGAAAAUUAGCUUUUGGGGCAAAGUUCAACAAAAAUAAUAUUUUGAUGGGGGUUAUUCCAUUAUUUUAUUUUUUAGGGGGGAAUGUGCGAAAAUGGAAAAUUUAUAGGGAGAAGAGUGCUUUUUUUUUUUUUUUUUUCUUUCUUUGUGAGAUUAUUACUAUUAACUUAACCAAUAUUCAAAAUUUACAAAUCCCCGCCCGUGUUUCGACCAAUGGGUGAUAGUGAGAUUCGAAUUCACGAUCACUGGUUCUUAUUUCGUUAAUACUUUAAAGAUUUAUUUAAAAUUAAUAUUUACUUUUUCUUUUUAUUAAUUAGCAAGUGUCUUAUAAGAUGUUGUAGGAGGUCACAACGUUUCCAAAUUCGAUCAGCCACCUUCGUAAAUUAUAGGGAAAAUUACGGCCACACCCUAAAGUAUGACCAAAAUAUGAAAACCCCUCUUGUUUGGAUAAUUAUUGUCACCCUCUUCUUUAAAUAUUUUUACAUAAAAUUUAUGUAAUUCGGUUAUUUUCCGAAUCAAAUUGUAUAUUUCGUUCGGUAAACAGUAUGAAAUGUCGGCGUACCGAAAAUUUCGAUUCGAUUUUACCGAAUUAACAUCCCUAAAUUUACCUCUGGAGGGGUAUUUUCGUAAGAUAAUACAUAGUUGAUGGGGUGACUGUAAUUACCCACACAUGAGGUGGUUUUUCAUAAUUUAACCAUAAAUCAUGGGUGGCCGUAAUUUGCCCUGAAUUCUAUACUGAUGGAAAAUUUAUUAAUUUGCAAUAAAAUAAAAACUUACAUACUCAAACUUGUUUUGAGUAAAUUAUGGUUUUAUUCUUAAAUAUAUCAAUAAAUAUUGUAGGAAGCAGCGGGCUUACAGCAUAUGGAGGGUUUUUCAAAGUGUGCAAGCCUAAAAAGGGAGAUAAAGUGUUCGUUUUUGCUGCUUCCGGUUCGGUCGGGAGUUUAGUCGGACAAUACGCCAAGUUGUUUGGUUGUUACGUCGUUGGAUGCGCAGGAACUAAACAAAAGGUGCAUUUUUGACGUCGUUGUUUUAUUUUAAUUAACUAAUAUAAUCAUAUAUAUACUACUAGCUAGACAUGACCAACGGUCGGUCCGAUUUUGGUUCAAACUGGCGGUUCUGGUUCCAUAAUAUGAAUUAACUGAAACCGGACCGCUAUUUACUGUUCGUAGACGGUUCUCACACCCCCGGUUCCAGUUUUGAUUUUGUAAAGUGGGUUUUCUUGUUUUUUUUUUUCUUUCUCUCUUUCCCACUAUUUUCAAGGAUAAAUUUGUAAUUAUUAAACUAAUAUUUAGCCUAUUUCAGUUAUUUUGUUACUAAAAAAUUGAUUCCCCCCCCCCCCCCCCGCCCCCCUCCUCAUUUUCCUUAAUUUCUUGUACAAUUUAUUUUGUUCAUAACAAUAAAAAUGGUAAAUGUCCGAUUAUUUAAAUGUUCACCCGGUCCGGUUCCGGUUAGAACCGGAACCGGACCGGUGGGCCCGGGGCCAUGUCUACUACUAGGUAUUGUACGUAAAAGAUGAAAUAAAGCUUUUCUUGGUCGAAUAUAAUGUUUUGUAGGUGGACUUACUAAAAGAUGAACUCGGGUUUGAUGAUGCAUUCAACUACAAACAAGAAACUGAUUUGAACUCAGCUCUUAAAAGGUACGUACUAACCGAUAAAACCUUAUAUUAUUGGUCGAAUUAACUACACGCAAACUCAUAAAUUAUAAUCGACAUAUGCCUAAUUAUUACAAUAGGUACUUCCCGGAGGGGAUCGACAUAUACUUUGACAACGUGGGAGGCGAAAUGCUCGAAGCGGCAAUCAAUAACAUGAACGUUUUCGGUAGAGUAUCCCUUUGUGGAGUUAUAUCCGAAUAUACGGACGAUAGUAAAAGAGCCAAACCCGACAUGGUAGCGGUGGUCUACAAAAGAAUUAAAAUAGAGGGUUUUCUGUCUGUCGACUUUAUGGAUAUAUACCAAGAAUACAUUUCCACAACUAUAAUAUAUCUUCAGACGGGCGAAUUGAAGGCCGUCGAAGAUAUCUCGGACGGUCUAGAUAGCAUUCCGACUGCCUUUGUCGAUCUUUUCCGUGGCAAUAACGUCGGAAAAAAGAUUGUGAGAAUUUCUCAAGACUAGGUUUAUUUUUCAAUUUGUAUCUUCAAUACAAUGUUAUGUAUUGUUGGUUAGCUCUCGUGUAAUAAAGUUAACCCCAUUUAUGUGAUCAUUUCAUAUUCACGUGGGAAAAUAUUGAAUCCACAUUACCCAAUAUGAUCAAAAUUUUAAUUAUUUAUGUCUAUUAAAUCUUUUCUAGCAUUUGAAUUAUAAUCUUGAUUGUGAAAUGUUUUAUUGUUUUAAGAAUUUGAUUUGAGAUUGGUGAUGGUAAUAAGGAAACUGAAAAAUUAAGAAGCUCGUGAGUUAUCUUUAUAUAUAAAAGAAAAAAAUGCUAAAAAUCUUAAAGGCAUUUCUUUAUUUGUCUAUAUUUUUUUUUCUACUAACUUUCUAACCAUAUUUUUUAAUUAUUAGCAAAAUUGAAACCAAAUCGUAUGGAAUUCUUCCAAUUUCAAUCUCCUAUUUUUUAUCCAUAUAUCUCAAAUCUUGACAGAUAAUUUGUUUUUUCUCUACUAAUUUUUUGAAUUAUUGUUACUUUUUCUUUGUUAUCUCAAUGGAAUGGUUUUCCGCUUUCUUUGUUGAUAAGCGUCUUGGUAAGUAUUAAUUUUUUUUUUUAAUUUUUUUUUUAUUGAAUUGAUGGUUGCAAAAAGCUCCGUCAUGCUCAUUAUCGUUACACUUUAUAUAGUUUUAUAAGAGGGGUGAUAAAUGUCGUCCAAUUUUAUAUACCGUUUCAUCAAACGUAAUUUUGAUCAUUUUUUAUUAUGAAUUUGGUAAACUGAAAAAAUAGAAUUUGUAAUUCUUUGAGUUAGCUUUCCAAUCCAAAUUGUAUCUCCGAGAUCGAAUAUCGGGUGAGAAAUAUAUGCAUGAAUCAAUGUACACUGCCACAACUUUGAUGUUUUGAUCAGUUGUAUAAAAUUUAAUAUGUAACUUGUUUAUGCAUAACUUUGCCUUUACAUAUUCAAUCUAGCUGAUUCAAAUUAGAUUAGAACGCUAUCUCAAUGGACUACAGUUUCCGUGUUAUGAAGUUUGCCAAAAUCAAAAUAGAAAAGGGUCAAAACCAUCUGAAUUCAAUCAAGAGCUUCUAAUCUUUGUAGAGAAAUAUAAAAAUUAAAUUAGUUGAUUAAUUAGAUAUUUCAAUGGGAAGACAGAUCUUACAAAGGUCUUUAAACGUUUCAAUGCCGAUUUUGUCACACAAAGCAAGUGGUCUGGUAGAAAAAAUCGAGCGCAUAAGAUGCAUGAUUCUGCAACGUAUUUGGUUGAAAACACGGCCCUCCAGAUUUAAUUUCGUCGCAACUAUAUCUAUUACAUGCGUAGGUUAUAUAUCUUUGCAUUUUCUUGAAAGGUGUUGAUAGUUUGACAAUGCACCAUGCAUGUUUCGCCCUUAUAUUCAUGUAAAAUAAAUUUUUAACAAGGUUAAUUUGUUGAAGAAUUAAAAUAAAUUGUUAUAAAUAUAUAAAUGAAAAAUCGAAAACACAAAAUUAUGAUCAUUAAAGCUAUGACAGCUAGCAAUCCGGAUUCUUCGUAAAAAAUGGUUUUUAGUUGUUCUCCUUCUCUCUCAUUUUCCUCUCCAUAUGCUCUAAAUCUCUAUCCUCUCAUCUUCUGCAUUGUGAUUUCUACAUGUAGUUGUUGGGCGUUUGCGUCGAUUGCGGCUGUCGAAGGCAUAAAUUACAUUCGGAAUAAAAGAUUGAUCCCAUUGUCCACCCAUUAAUUGGUGGAUUGUGAUACGGGAAAUAAACAUUGCGAUGGAGGAUAUAUGCAACCGCAGCGUUUCAGUAUAUCAUGGAAAAUGGGAUCACAACCGAUAAUAAUUACUUGUACGAAGACAAAUACGGAAACUUUUGUCAAAUCGAAAAGGUAUACUUAUAUAUAUAUUUUUAGUGAUUCAAUAUUGUACGUAGUACUUAAUGUUUUUAUAAUUAACUUAUUCUUGAAUUUCUAUAUAUUGCAUAAAAAUAACCCCACGGUGCGGAUAAAACGCUACAGCCAAGUUCCUCCCUAUCGUGAAGAUUUGCUAAUGAAAAGAGUCGCUAGGCAACCGGUGACCGUAGAGAUCGAUGCAAGGAGCAUGGGCUUCUGCCAUUACUCAAAAGUAAGUUUCGUGUAUUCAUCGAUAAAUUAAAUAAUAUAUUUUUUUAAUUUAAUUUAAUUUAAUUGUUAGGGGGUGUUCGAUGGGCCCUGCGGAACAACACCAGAUCAUAUUGUUACUAUAAUUGGGUACGGAACAACCGUGAGUGGUACCGACUAUUGGCUGGUGAAGAAUAGUUGGGGCCGCAAUUGGGGAAAACGAGGCUAUAUUCGGAUGAUCCGUCGUUCAAAGGGCAGAUACGGUCGCGGGAUUUGUGGUCUUGCCAUGAGAGCAUACUGAAAAACUUUUAUUUAUUUUAUGCGGAAAAACCUUAAUCACAGAAUCUUGAAAUCAAAUUCAUCUUAAGAAUAUAAUCACGUAAUAGAGAUUAUCGACAUACCGUUCGCCAUGGAUUCCGAUAGAGAUGAUGAACGAUAGCAAUCUACAAGCCGAGCCUAGCCAGGCCUCCUUCGAAUCUCCUUGAGAACUUUAUUCGUAGCACACCUUCUUCUCUCUAUCUCUCUAAUAUCACAACUCACGAAUAUUUCUGUAAGUGAUGGAAUUCUCAAUUGUGUCUGAUGGUUGAGGAGAAGAGCUGUGGAUUUCUUUUAUAGACGAGAGAAGAGGGCCACGAUUGAUUUGUAACGGCAGAAGACAAAUCCCACCCAUCAUGGUCUUUUACUGCCUUCAACGUUACAAAUCAAUUACCAUAAAAUCACCUUAAUACCAUGAUUUGAAUUACCCACAAUUUAAUUAAUUAAAAUAAAGAUUAGUGGACCAAAAUUAAAAACGUUUUAAAACGUAAACUAACAUUCUCCCACUUGGUCCACUGAAUCGAUUAAGAAAAAUAAGUUUAAAAAAUAUUUGACUCGGUGGGUUCUUCAUACAAAACAUUUGACACGUGAUCACGAUUUUAAAAGAAAAUUAAGGUGAUUACCAUAAUAGGUAAAUAGAGUACUUUAAUACUAGAACUAGUUUGAGUUAUUAAUGUGAAUCAUAGCGGUUAUAUGAUUCAUUCAUCAUAUUCCCUUCUAUGUAUCACGCCACUAAUAACCCUUACUAUUCUAAUCCAUAAUAGCCCCUUUAAUUUUGUCUUGUUAGGACAAACCCUGUUAAAUCCAAAUAUAAUAUGUGCACACAUAAUUGGAAACAGGAAAACAGAAACAUUUCAUUAAAUAAAUUAAGUGUCAAUUACAUAAUCAUAACUCAUUAAAUCAUGGAUUGCUCAAAAGACCCAUUCUAAUAACAUGUUCCUCAUAUGUCUUUAUAGGCAAUCCCUUGGUUAAUGGAUCAGCAACCAUAAGAGUUGUACUUAAAUUUUCUAUUGACACUUGUUGUUUCUGGACUCUUUCUUUAACAACCAAGUACUUAAGAUCCAUGUGCUUGGAUCCACUUGAAUACUUUCCAUUCUUAGAGAAGAAAACGGCUGCGGUGUUAUCACAAUAUAUCUUCAAAGGCUUAGCAAUUGAGUCAACAGCCUUAAGCCCUAAGAUAAAAUUUCGCAACCACAGUGCAUGACUCGAGGCCUCAAAACAUGCUACAAACUCAGCCUCCAUUGUGGAAGAAGCAAUAAUACUUUGCUUUACGCUCUUCCAAGAGAUUGCUCCACCAGCUAGUAGAAAUACAAAGCCCGAUGUGGACUUUCUACUAUCUACACAACCAGCAAAAUCGGAGUCUGAAUAACCAAUAACCUCUAGUUGGUCCGAUCUCCUAUAAGUAAGCAUGUAAUCCUUUGUUCCUUGAAGAUACCUCAUAACCUUCUUUGCUGCUUUCCAAUGAUCUAUUCCCGGAUUACUUUGAUAUCUACCAAGUACUCCCACUGCAUAACUAAUAUCUGGUCUAGUACACGUCUGUGCAUACAUCAAACUUCCAACUGCUGAUGCAUAUGGAAUCAAUUUCAUUUUCUCCUUUUCCAAAUCAUUCUUUGGACAUUGCUUUUCACUUAAUUUAUCACCUUUCGUGAUAGGAGCAUUAAUGGCUGAACAAAACUGCAUAUUAAAUCUUUCAAGAACUCGAUUGAUAUAUUCUUUCUGAGACAAGCCUAACAAUCCUCGAGAUCGAUCUCUAAAGAUCUCUAUCCCAAUAACAUAAUUUGCCUCACCCAUAUCAACCAUCUUAAAAUUCUUGGAAAGAUAAUUCUUAGUUUCGUGAAGCAAACCAAGAUCACUACUUGCUAGUAAAAUAUCAUCCACAUACAAGACUAAAAAGAUAAACUUGCUCCCACUGACCUUUAGAUAUAUACACUGAUCAACAGUGUUUUCCUUAAAUCCAAAGGAAGUAAUGGUAUCAUUGAAUUUUAUAUACCAUUGUCUAGAAGCUUGUUUAAGUCCAUAUAUGGAUUUCUUUAAUUUACAAGCCAAGUGUUCAUUUCCUUGUUUUGCAAAUCCUUCAGGCUGGUCCAUAUAGAUAUCUUCAUCUAAAUCCCCAUUCAGAAAAGCGGUUUUCACGUCCAUUUGGUGUAACUCCAAAUCAUAAUUAGCUACAAGAGCCAUAACGAUUCUAAGAGAGUCUUUCUUAGAUACUGGAGAGAAAGUUUCUCUAUAAUCAAUGCCUUCUUUUUGAGUGAAACCUUUGGCCACUAAUCUGGCUUUAAAUCUUUCGAUAUUGCCCUUAGAGUCACGUUUGGUCUUAAAGACCCAUCUACAACCGACUUUCUUACUGUUCUUAGGCAAUUCGACAAGUUCCCAGACACCGUUAUAGUCCAUUGAUUUCAACUCUUCAUUCAUAGCAUCAAUCCAUUUAUUAGAAUCUUUACUUUUCAUGGCUUGUGAAUAUGAAACUGGAUCAUUUUGAAUACCAAUAUCAAAAUCAGAUUCUUGUAGAUACACCACAUAAUCAUCGGAUAUGGCAGACUUCCUUUCCCUUUGAGAUUUCCUCAAAGCUACCGGCUGUGGUGGUUCUACAGUAUUCCCAAUAAUAACAUCUUCAUGAAGUGGUGAAUGGAGUGGCGAAUCAUUUGUUUCAUCAACCUGCUGUAUAGGUUGAAGAGUAACGUUAUCUUGAGGGAAAUAAGAUGGUAAAAUAUCCACCCUAAUUUCCUCAAGUUCUACCUUUCUUGAUUCAAGACUCCCACUAACUUCACCAUUCUCUAAGAAUUUGGCGUUUCCAGUUUCAACUAUCCUCGUAGUAUGGUUAGGACAAUAAAAUCUGUACCCUUUUGACUUUAGUGGAUAACCAAUAAAAUAUCCAGAAAUUGUUUUAGGGUCCAAUUUCUUUUCAUUUGGAUUGUAUAUUCUAGCCUCUGCUGGACAACCCCAAACAUGUAAAUGUCUUAAACUAGGUUUCCUACCAGUCCACAACUCGUAAGGAGUUGUUGGGACUGCCUUACUGGGAACCCGGUUUAAGAUAUACAUAGCGGUUUUCAAGGCUUCAUUCCAAAAUGAAAUGGGUACAGUUGAAUUACUUAACAUACUCCUAACCAUAUCCAUGAGAGUACGAUUACGACGUUCAGCAACUCCAUUCUGCUGUGGUGUUCCAGGCAUUGUGUAUUGAGCACAAAUACCACGCUUUUCUAAGAAUUUAGCAAAUGGGCCAGGAUUUUGUCCCGACUCAUCAUAUCUACCAUAGUAUUCCCCACCCCGAUCUGAUCGUAUAACUUUAAUUUUUCUAUCUAAUUGUCUUUCGACUUCCGUAACAAACACCUCAAGCAUGUCAACGGCUUGAGAUUUUUCAUGAAUUAGAUAGAGAUAACCAUAACGAGAUAGAUCAUCAAUAAAGGUGAUAAAAUACUUUUCUCCACUAAAACAUGGAAUAGGUAGCGAGCAGAUAUCUGUAUGGAUUAACUCAAGAAGCUCUUUACUUCUUGUGGCACCCCUUUUAUUGUGUUUGGUUUGCUUACCCUUAAUGCAAUCAACACACAUUUGAAAAUCAGUAAAGUCUAGAUUUUCCAAAAUUCCAGUUUUUACCAAUCUUUCGAUUCUUUCCUUGGAGAUAUGCCCCAAUCGUUUAUGCCACAAGAUAGAAGAAUUUUCGUUAUUUAGGCUUCGCUUUACGCCAACUUCCGAAUGAGUGGUUAAUAAUGAUUGUUCAAACUCAUGAUUCAAAGAUAUUUUAUAUAAACUAUCACAUAAAAUACCGGAACCAAUUAUUAUUGAAUUAAACAUAAAACUGAGUUUUCCACAACCAAUUAAAGCUGAAUAACCACAAACAUCCAGUUUUGACAAAGAAACCAAAUUCCUAGAAAACGAAGGUACAUAAAAAGUGUUUUCAAGAUCCAUCUUGUGACCCGUCUCUAAUAUGAGGCGAUAAGUGCCAACAAACGCCACUUUAGAUUUGAGACGGUUCCCCAUAUAGAUGUACUUUUCACUUUCCUCCGGUUUCCGAGUUGUAAGGAAUCCCUGUAAUGAAUUUGUGAUAUGAGUUGUAGCACCAGAAUCAAGCCACCAAGUAUAAGAAGGAACUUCAAUAAGAUUUGAUUCAUAACAUACAAAAGAAAGAUGAAUACCUUUCUUUUCGAACCAAGUCUUUCGUUUCUCACAAUCCUUCUUUACGUGUCCCUUCUUGUUACAAAAGUAACAGGUGACAACAAAAGCCUUUCCAUGACCCUGACUACUUUCACCAAGUUCAUAUCUUUUGUUUGGUGAAAAUUUCUUUCCACUCUUCACAAAUUUCCCUUUCUUCUUCAUACUUCCAUGAGUUACAGCCAAUGCAAAGUGAUUUCCUUCUUGCUUUAAUCUCACUUCCUCUUGAAUACACAUACUAGUCAGCUCAUUCAAAUUCCACUUAUCUUUUUGAGUAUUAUAGUGGAUUUUGAAUGGGCCGAACUUUGAUGGAAGUGAGUUAAGGAUAAAUUACACAAGGAAGGACUCUUCCACUUUCAUGCCAAGAGCUCCAAGUUUGGCAGCCUUAUCAGUCAUAUUCAGGAUGUGUUCCUGAAUUCCCUUAUCACCACCAUAUUUCAUGGUAGUCAAUUCAGCCAUGAGUGUCCCUGCUAACGACUUGUCCGCUGAUUUAAAGCGUUCUUUAAUAGCCGUUAACAGUUCCAUAGCAUUGUCAACCUCGGGAAGAGAAGUCUUAAUGUUAUUAGCAACAGUCAUUCUAAUAAGCAUAAGACUAAGCCUAUUGGACUUGGUCCAGGCUUCAAUUAGGCUAACUUCUUCCUCACUGUUAGCAUCCGUUAUUUCCCCAGGUUUUUCAGUAAGCAAUGCUAGGUCCAAAUCCAUAACACCCAAGGUGAAUUGAAUUUGUUCAUACCAUUCGGAGAAAUUUGACCCACUGAGAGUCUUAAUACCAGAAGCAUGCGAGUACAAUGAAGUAGGAAUAGCAACUGAAAUAAAAUAGCAAAUAUAAUAAGGUAAAGAUAAAAGGAUGCUCACAUAAGACCUUGAGUCAAAUAAGAUGAACUAUUGAUAUCACUACAAGUUCGCCUUUGGGUGAAAUACAGCAUACCUAUUGUUCACUCUAUAUUGGUGUAAAUGAUCGUUUAUAACACCUAAGUAGGGUCUAACAUAAUUUGUCUCACUCGUCAAUUAUUCAUGUUACCUUUAGGUAAACAAUUCUAAUUGCUAAGUAAUACAAAUUAUGAUACCCUACCCAGUUCAUAAUUAAUUAAAAUCGACUAUCCUUUGAGCUAGUCUCAAUUUCUUAAUUAUGACUGCAAUUUGAGAAUAUUAUAAUCUUUAAUAUCAUGUAAAUGAUUAAACUUUCAUAUAGUUCUUAUAUUUAUUAGAUUUUACUAAUUUAGGUCACUUUAGCAACUACAAGAUUAGUAAAUUUCAUAAAUAUAAAACUAAUAAUAUUCUCUUUAUUUUAUUUGAGUGAUAUAAUCAUAACAGUAACAACAUAAAUCACAAAGGUAAUUUACUGCAUAGGAUAUUAACAUAAUGCACAUAUAUGCUUAAUAAUCUAAAUCUCAUAUACUCAGUGCACAAAACUGCAUAAAUGUGAUGUAUAAUUAUUUUAUUGGUAAGACAUGAUUAUAUCAUUAAUAAAAUAUUUAAGAUAUAAUUGAUGCAUAGAUAUAUACAUACAAAUACAUAUGCAGCAAAUCACAUGUAUAGAAUAAUUAUAUGUAAUAUGAUUCUAUACGCAUAUGCAGAUACAUCAUAACAAUAUAAUAAAACAAACAUGAGGACCCACGAACAAACAAUUUUAUCAUGCCUCUCGUAUUAUAAUAAUUAUGUGAGUCUUUUCUCCAGAUUAAUCGAACACAGAGAACACAUAAUUUAAUUGUAUAAUUAAACAAGAUUCUCUUAUUUACAAAAAUACAGAUUAAGAUAAAUAGUCAAUUAUCAUGGUCUCAAUAUACUAUCCAUAGAACGACAGUCUAUCACAAAACAAAACAAUAAUUUUAUCUCAAAAUUUAAAUCCAUGAAAUCAUACAGCCGUAUAAUUAACAUAUAAUAUAUUUGAGUUCUAAGAUAAAUCGAUUUCAAAACCCUGCUCUGAUACCAAUUGAAAAACUUUUAUUUAUUUUAUGCGGAAAAACCUUAAUCACAGAAUCUUGAAAUCAAAUUCAUCUUAAGAAUAUAAUCACGUAAUAGAGAUUAUCGACAUACCGUUCGCCAUGGAUUCCGAUAGAGAUGAUGAACGAUAGCAAUCUACAAGCCGAGCCUAGCCAGGCCUCCUUCGAAUCUCCUUGAGAACUUUAUUCGUAGCACACCUUCUUCUCUCUAUCUCUCUAAUAUCACAACUCACGAAUAUUUCUGUAAGUGAUGGAAUUCUCAAUUGUGUCUGAUGGUUGAGGAGAAGAGCUGUGGAUUUCUUUUAUAGACGAGAGAAGAGGGCCACGAUUGAUUUGUAACGGCAGAAGACAAAUCCCACCCAUCAUGGUCUUUUACUGCCUUCAACGUUACAAAUCAAUUACCAUAAAAUCACCUUAAUACCAUGAUUUGAAUUACCCACAAUUUAAUUAAUUAAAAUAAAGAUUAGUGGACCAAAAUUAAAAACGUUUUAAAACGUAAACUAACACAUACUACCCGACGAAAGACGAACUAUAUACCUAAGUACUCAUGUAAUAAUCAAAUCUCAACUUAUAUAUAAGUACUCUGCUACUGUCAUAAUUAAUUAAAGAUUUUAUAUUAUCACUUACAAGUGUUCUGUUAUUUCUAUAUAUUUUUACUGUGUCAAUUUUGCAAAUUUCUGAAUGCUGCACAACAAUUUCACAUGAAGUUUAAUUUGCCAAGGAUUAUAAAGUAGGCUAUUUAAUAUUGGUGCAUAAUUUAGCUAAUUUAAAGAACCAGAGAGUGGUUCAAAAUAGUUGCAUUAAGACUGAUUUGCCCUUUUUUCUAAUAAUAUAACAUAAUCGCAAUAAAAUCGGACCACCGUGCUACGUCAUUCGAGUUUAGUUCACUCAGAAUAUUAUUUUGUCGGUUCCUAUAGAUUAUAAAGUUAAUCGAUCACAAUCUAGAUAUAAUUGGACAAUCCAUUUGAAUAAAGAUUGUAGCACAUUUUAAAGUAAUUAAUCUAUCUUUGAUUACAUUAAAUAUUUUUAAGUAAUUAAAUUCUAAAUUCACGUGCAGAUCAAGUGUAACUCACGUACAAAUCUCGUGCAUAUUACGUAUUUAUGUGAUUAUAUGCGCAAAUCCGUACUUAUUUUAUAAGCGGUCACUUUAGAAAAUGGGUAAUCAUUCAAAAUACAAUGAAGAUGAUACUCUUUCAUAUUAAUUAUAUAUAUAUAUAUAUAUAUAUAUAUAUAUAUAUAUAUAUAUAUAUAUAUAUAUAUAUAUAUAUAUAUAUAUAUAUAUAUAUAUAUAUAUAUAUAUAUAUAUAUAUAUAUAUAUAUAUAUAUAUAUAUAUAUAUAUAUAUAUAUAUAUAUAUAUAUAUAUAUAUAUAUAUAUAUAUAUAUAUAUAUAUAUAUAUAUAUAUAUAAUUUUACAAAUAUAUUUUGAGAAUUAAAUCAAUUGGGUAUUUUACAAAUAAAAUUUUAAUUGUCUUUUUUAGGGACAGAUUCUAAUUAUUGUGAUACUUUUUACAAAUUAAAUGUAUUUUUUGUUUUUUGAAGUCAACAUAAAAUUUAACCUCCUUACGUAAUUUUAAAUUUCAAAAUUAAUUGUUAAUAAGGAAUGAAAAAAAACACCUCACAUUUAUGGGCGUUGAAGAAUAUCAACAAGUUCUGGGGGGCGAUUGUCGGGUGGCGAAGGGGCUGGAUUGUGCUUCGGCAUCGAAUUUUUAUGAUUAUCGAAAGACCGAUAAUCAUAAAAGCCGUUAAAAUAGACAAUAGUGUCCAUUUCAACGUGUUUUUGCUGCCAAAAUCAAUAUAAUUCCUGUUUCCGAAGUCCACCGAUGGCUUCUCCAACCAACUCCUUUGGACCUCUUCCAAAGGAGGGUGCCUCCGGUGGGAAAGUGUCGGCCUAUCGAACUCGGACUCGAUUUCUAUAGGUUGCAUUUUUUUAUGCAUGAAAAAUAGGAGAAAAAAUACGCGAGUAUAAAUUAUAAUGGACUUGAUAAACACAAAACAAGUUUCCAUUACUUUAAAAUUACAAUUCUAGAUAAGAUAUUAUAAAGCCAUGUUAAAUAUCAAUUCUAAAUCCAUGUUCCAAAAAAUAGUAUAACACGUUUUCAAAAUCCUUCAGUUACACCAUUCAUUUCUCAUGAUUCAUAUUUUCAAUAUCAAAGAAGAGAACUUUUUAGAAAAUGGAAACAAAGAGAGUUAAGGUGACGUUUGUUUAUGUUUCCAAACUCCCUUUCCAGUUUUAUACCAUGCAUAAAACCGGGAUUAUGUUUGUUUAUGAAUUUUCACUUGGAAAUUCCUAUUUUUCUUAACAAUUUUUUCCAAUAGAAAUACACUAUUCAUAUUUUUCCCAAUUUUCAAACCUACAUUAAUACCUACUAACCUAUUUGUCUCUCCUCCAAUUUCUCUCCCUUCUUAUUAAUAUUCAGCUAGUUUUCCACCUUUCUUUUACACUUUUACACCAACUCUCUCAGAUCUUUUAAUUUAUUUUUAUAAUUCUAUUAUUUAAUUUUCUCCCAUAUCUCUUAUCUGUAAUUAAUAUCCUUGUUAGAAGAAAGAUGAACAACAACAACAACAACAAUAAUAAUAAUAAUAAUAAUAAUAAUAAUAAUAAUAAUAAUAAUAAUAAUAAUAAUAAUAAUAAUAAUAAUAAUAAUAAUAAUAUUCAAUCGUAUAUAUUCUACUUUUGCAUGUACUUUCGUAGAGAAAACUCACCACAACUAAACAUAUUCCCAUUUCUACACCUAUAUAAAACUAAAAAUACCACUUCAUCCAAACAUAUUCCUAUUUUCUACACAAAAACCAAUACAUCUACUUUUUCCAUCAGAAAUUAUGAAAAUUAUAAAAUCUCAUUAGAAACAUAACCAAAAUAUAUAUUACCUAAUUCAAUUUUUGUAACUUAUUUGGUACAAUUUUCAAAUCAUUUUCACUUCCAAAACAAGUUUUUUUUUUUUAAUACAAGCUCGAAUACUCCUCCCAAUUUACGAUUUCCGGAACUAAAUUAACACCACUAAUACUUGUAGACAUAAUUUGACUACUACAGUAAAAAAAACAUAAAACAAGAAAUUUUGUACUUCUGUCCUUUUAUAUCAAGAUUAUUUUUGUUGGAAUAUUUGUAUUUUGAAUUGAAAAUUUUCUAUUUACAUCAUAUUUUAUUUAUGAAUACAUUUAUACUGAAAAAAUAUUUAUUUAAUUCACCAAAUAACGGAAAGUGCGUUAUCAUACCUCACUGCUAUUUACAUCAUCUUUCAUUUUAUGAAUGCAAUAUUUUGAUCUAUAAACACACGUUCGCCAACAUAUUUUUACAUGUUUUUCUUUCUCUUAUUAGAAUAAGUUGUUAACGAGAAAAUACGAGUUGGUAAAAAUGGUAUAGUUCAAUAACUUUACCUCGACCAAAUUUACGUGCAAAUCAAGUGUAAAUCUUGUGCAUAUUACGUGAUUAUACGUGCAAAAACGUACUUAUUUUUAUAAGCGAACAUUUUCAAGAAUGAAUAAUGAUCAAAAUAAAAGGAAGAUGAAAUUCUUUCAUAUUAAUUUGUUGAUGGUAGGUAGAGAGACAUAACAAAAAUAUUUAGUAUGGUAAUGUGACAUGCAAAAAUAUUAUACACUUUAGAUGUAUUAAAUAUAUUGGGAUAUAGUAUUAUUGUAGCAUUAAUUAAAAUGAAAUUAACUUACAUUUCUGGGCAUUGAAAAAUAGAGGGCUUUGUAGAGGAAUUUUUGGAAUUGGGAUGAAUUUCUAGACUCCAAAAAUUUUGGAAUUAGUUUUGUACUUUCGAACAUAUUUGGAAAGUUUUCUACAAAGAUCAAUUCCGAUCCGUUUCAGACAUUCACCCAAGUCCUAUAAGGACACCAAUUUUCGGCUAUAGUGACUUGCACUACCAAAAAAAGGGGCUUUUGUGACGGACGAUUGCGUCAUUAAAUUGAAGAAAUUCCGUCAUGAAUACCUUUUUGUGACACAUGUGUGACGGAAAGUGUCCGUGGGAAAACCCCUCGUCACUACUUAAACUGUGACCUAUAUAUUCGUUUGUCACAUAUUUUGUCACGGAACCGUUUGUCACUACAAAAUACAUUUCCGUCACAAUUACCAUGUCCAGGGUCUAUAAAAUUUGUGACGGAAUGUGUCACAAAUAUUUUUUUAGUCGUUAGUAAUCCGUCGCAUAUUAAUAGGCCACAUUGUUAUUUAUCCGUCACACCUACUGUCAUAAAACCAUCACCAAUGUUCCGUCGCAAAUUACAUGUUACCAGUGUUCGUCACAAAUAUCAGUUAUCACGUGUCCGUCACCAAUACAAGUUAUCAGUGUCCGUCACAUAAUUCCGUCACCAAUGCCCGUCACACAAUCUGUCACACAUGGCGUCCCACACAUCCGUCACCAAUGUCCGUCACAUAAUAUCGAUCACAAAUGUCACACAAUAUCGGUCACUAAUGUCCGUCACACAUAUUGGUCACACAAACGCCGUCACCAAUGUCCGUCACCUAAUAUCGAUCACAAAUGUCACACAAUAUCGGUCACCAAUGUCCGUCACCUAAUAUCGAUCACAAAUGUCACACAAUAUCGGUCACCAAUAUCCGUCACACAUAUCGGUCACACAAAUGCCGUCACUACAUACUUGUCACACAACAUCCUGUCUCAAAUCCCUCACAAUCUUUUUACUAAAUAAAUUGUAUUGCGUCAUCCAACAGUCACAUUUUCAUCACAAAUCAUUAAAAUAAUAAUUAUGAUUUAUUUAUUUAUUUAUUUUAUUUUGUAUAAUAAUUUCCAGAUUAUGAAUUAAUAUUCAAAUUUAAUCAUCCACAAAAUAACAACAUUAAAAAAACUAAGAAAAUCCCAAUAAGAAUGUAAAUCUAAAUAAAUCAUCACACGGGUAUGAUUCCCAAUAGUUCCAACAUGAGCACAAAUUCCAAAACAUAUAAUCUUAACAAAAUAAUGUAAAAAGAAUCUUAACAAGACAGAAUGAUCAUAUCAUAGUCUAAAUGUUUCAUUCACCACGUAUUUGUACUCCGUACAUGUCCCCUUGUUCUAGACUUUCGGUGGCUUACAUUUCCUUCACCCAUCCUGCAGAUAAUCAUGAAAAUAAUCUAUAAGAAAAUACACAUAAAUAACCAACUGCAAAUAAUUAUAUGAAAAAAAAAAACAUACAUAACCAAUGAAAAUAAAAUAAAUAAAUAAAAAAUAAUGACACUACGAUAUAUCAAAUAAAAAUAAUAUAAAACUUUUGAAUGUAUAAGCCACUGAGAAUAACAAUGAAAUCAUAGCAAUUUACCUCAUCGUCGGUACUAGUGGAAUCCACGUAGUGCUGGUUUGUGUUGUUUUCAGAAUCAGAGUCUUCAAAUUCUUCUUCCUCCUCUUCUUCCUCUUCAUCAAUUCCUACAUCUCCUGUUGAGGUCAUCGAAUCAUCCCUAACUUCACCGGGAAGUACUUCUACGGGAUUUAUAGUAUUAUCCAAUAAAAUAUCAGACCGAUCUAAAUCUACUGUGAUAGGAAUUUCAUAUGGUGAUGACAUUAUCUCUUCUUGAAAAGGAUCUUCAACAAUUUUGGGAUUGCUUUCUUCGUGUGUUUCUACUGGUGGCAUAUUUAUUCUACUCCUAGCUUUUGUUUUGCAUACAGCCCGCCAAUCACUUCUAUCUUUUCGUGUAGAUGGAAAAGAUGUGUAAAAACUUGUUGUGCUUGUUCAGCUAAAAUGAAAGGGUCAUUUGUGCUAAGCCUUCUUCGAACAUUAAUCUCCACAACACCAAACCGUGGAUGCACUCUAACCCCGCGGUCAGAUGUAUCAUACCAAUGACAUUUAAACAGAACAACUUUAUUUCCACUUCCAAAGUAUUCUACCUCCAUCACCUCUUCCAACAACCCGUAAUAAUCAACUUCAUUUGCAUUCCAUGAAUUCCCUAAAACACAAACACCAUUAUUCAUUGUUGAUUUAUGUUGCCCAUGUUAGGUUGUGUGAAACUUGAACCCAUUGACAUAAUAACCUUUGUAUGUUUUAAUCCAUCGACUAGGUCCUUGUGCUAUGCAUUUAAUAUUUUCCUCAAUUGUGCUAUGAUCAUUCAUGACCUAUGCAUCCAUAACAUCAUAAAUUAAAUACCAUAUUCAAAAGUCCAACGAGAUCAAAGACUACAUUCAUAGCGUUCCAAUUUCAAGGUACAUAGAUGAAAUCGGACAAUAUAAAUAAUAAUAGAACGAAACAAAUAUACAAAAAUAAAAUACAAUAACUUACAUAAGUUCCUAUUCAUAUAUAUUUGUAAUCUUCAUUCAAAUAAUGAUGACAUACAUGAUCAGAAGCAACCACUUAUACAGAGUCAUCGAACAUACGAAAAAAUGACAGAUUUUCUAUCUUAACUUUGAAAAUUCAUACCUCUUUAACUACUGAUCCAAUUAAUCUAAAAUUUUUACACAACAUUUGUAUAUAUAUGAAUUGCAUCCCAGUAUAACAGUUUGAAAAACAAUGAAGUAGAUUAAUAGUUAUAAAUUAAUUUGUGCAGUGCUACAGUUUUAUGAUUCAAAACACCAGGGGCUACUUUAAAAUUUUGUAAAAAAACACCCGUUAGUUCAAAAACCUAAAAAAUUUACAGUAAUACAGCGAUGAGAGUCUAAAAUAAUAUCCAAGUGGAAUUAAUGAAAUAUGAGAAGUAAAACAUUAGAUAUUGAACAAAAUGUCCAGCUGACUGAAAACUAUCUUGUGUUUACAAAAAGGCUCAUAACUUUGUUAUUUCAACUCUGUUUUUAACCUAUUUUAUAUCAAAUAAAACAUCAGAGCAUAGAAUAUUGGAAUAUAGAAUUUCAUUAUUUUUAAGAAAAGAAAAUAUGCAGAAAAAUAAGUUAUGAAAUUCGGCCAGAAUACAAGUUAGUGUCAAAUUCAUGGUUCCGGUUAGCAUAAUUGAAGUAAAGUAGAAAAUCAUCAAAUUUCGUCAUAUAAUCCAUAUGCAUGCCGCAUACAGCCCCAUGUUCAGUCAAUCCAUGAAUUAUAUCACAUAGUUGAGGAGCAUCCUCAUAACAAUAACAAAAAUAAAGGCAUAUAGGUGACCUCGAACACAGAAACCCAAGCUUAAAUCCAACAAUUAAAUAGAAAGUAUCUAUGAAAAAGAAUACAAAUGUAUAUGACUUACACUUACAUAAUCUUGCAACCAUUGAGGGAAAUUUGUAUCACGUAAUCUUCCUAAAGCUUCAUCAGUGAGAGAUGGACAUUGUUUCAGCAUUUCUUCAUCAAAUUGCGUAUAAGAAUCAAACAUAUAGCAAUGUUAAUAUAUAUUUCAUUUUAAAUAUGCCAGUAUUAUUUUCCCACAUAUAUUAAAAGAGAUACUCACUCGACAAAAGGAAUGAUCUCACUACAAUUCAAUAGAAUAUAUCUAUGUGCAGCAAUCAUUUCACUUUCAUCUGUAAAUAAUCGACCAACUUUCUGACUUCCGAGAGGUCUCCCUGGAUGAUUGAAAAGAGAAAGACGCCCACCAAACUCUAUCUCUCCACCAUCAUCAUUUCUUGGGAGCCGAGUUAAUCUGGUUUCCACGUUAGACUCAAAAUAAAAGGAGCAUAAUGUUGAAACUUCCUCAAUUAUGUAUGCUUCUACAAUAGAACCUUCAACUCUAGAUCGGUUUUUCACCUUUUGCUUUAAAUGAUGUAGAAAUCUGAAAUAUCACAUCCAUUUCGUAAUAUAUAUAUAUCACCAAAAAAUUAAAUGAUAACAUGAGUUAACAAUAAAUUUGAAUAUGUAAAUGAAUACCUUUCAAAUGGAUACAUCCAUCGAUAUUGGACAGGUCCACAUACUUUCGCUUCAUAAGCCAAAUGAACAAGAAGAUGUUCCAUUACGUCAAAGAAUGAUGGCGGAAAAAUCUUUUCAAGUUUGCAAAGAAUCUCGACAAUAUUCUUCUCUAGUUGUGACGUAUGUUCUACAGUCAAUACAGUUGAACAUAAGUCCCUAAAGAAAACACUGAGUUCUGAUAUAGCUUCCCAAACUGGUACGGGCAAUAAAUCACGAAAAACAAUUGGAAGCAAUCUGUGCAUAAAUAUGUGACAAUCAUGACUUUUUAAUCCAUAAAACUUCCAGUCUUUCUCAUUCACAUUUCGGGCUAUAUUUGAAGCAUAAUCGUCCGGAAAUUUUAACUUUUUAGUCCAAUUGCAUAUUAUUUUUACUUGUUCUGGACUUAAAGUAUAUGAUGCUUUAGGUUUCAAAAGGUUUCCAUUUCGGACGUGGAACAAAUGUAACUCGGGACGAUCACAAAGUUGCUCUAAAUCUUUUCGUGCAUUUGCAUUAUCUUUUGACUUUCCCUUCACAUCUAAAACGGUAUUGAAUAUAUUAUCAAACACAUUUUUCUCUAUAUGCAUCACAUCUAAAUUAUGACGAAAAAGAUUAGUACUCCAGUAGGGCAAAUCCCAGAAUAUACUUUUUUUUUUACCCAAUUAUGUGUAUCGCCAAAUCCUAACAGGUCUUUAGGGUUGCCAAAUUUGUCAUACGUCCGAGAUGGGAGUUGACAAACUCGUCUAUGGAUUUCUUCACCCGAUAACCGUGGUGGCGGAGAGUCUUUUUCAGCUCGACCUUUCAAAAACUGACGUGUCUGUCUUCGAUAAGAAUGACUUCGUGGCAAAAAUUGACGAUGACAAUCAAACCAUGAUUGUUUGCGUCCUUUUGCUAAACGAAACGAUUUUGUUUUCUCCAUACAAUAAGGGCAUGACAGCAAACCAUGAGUACUCCAAGAAGACACCAUACCAUAUGCGGGAAAAUCAUUGAUCGUCCAUAAAAGAGCAACUUUCAUUUGAAAAUUUUGUUGUUUGGAUACAUCAUAAGUUUGCACACCUUCACUCCACAAACCAUUUAAUUCAUCGAUUAGAGGACGCAAAAAUACAUCCAACUUUUUGCCUGGAGAUUUAGGUCCCGGGAUAACCAUAUUCAAGAAAAUAUAUGGUUGUUCCAUGCACAUACCUGGGGGAAGAUUGUACACCAUAAUCAUAACGGGCCAACAAGAAUAUGGAGCAGCAGAGUUGCUAAAAGGAGUGAACCCGUCAGUACAUAAUCCGAGACGAACGUUUCGUGGUUCUGAUGAAAAUGAUGGAUGCGUUUGGUCAAAAUACUUCCAUGCUUCACUAUGAGAAGGGUGUGCCAUAAGUCCGUCUUCACACUGAUUUGUUGAGUGCCACGUCAUUUCUUUAGCUGUAGUUUUAGACAUAUAAAGUCUCUGUAAUCUGGGAAUGAGCGGUAAGUAUCGCAAUACCUUACGAGGUUUAUCUUUUCUAUAACUAACAUUUUUGGGCAUGUACCUAUCUUGACCACAAUAUAUGCAUUUUGUCUUCUGUUUAUUUUUUUUAUAGUAUAACAUGCAAUUGUUCACGCAAACAUCAAUCUUCUCAUAACCCAGUCCAAGUUUUGCAACCAUUUUCUUUGCAUUAUAUAAGUUAGCUGGUAACUUUUCAUCACUAGGCAACAUGCUCUUAACCGAUGACAUGAUUUGAUCAUAACAUGGAUGUGACAGGUUGAACUCGGAUUUUAUAUUUAGCAGCUGAGACACUGCCGAAAGCCUUGUUUGUCCCUUGCAACCCUCCCACAAUGGUUCAUUUGCAUCCUUCAAUAAAUCAAAAAAGUUUUUGGCAUUUGGAUUUGGUGUUUGUUCUAUAUUUAUUUGGUUCUCAUCAUUAUCAAAAUCCCAAUGAAAGCCAGGUCCUAUAGCAUCCAUAACCAUUGUUCUCAUUCCAGAGUGUUCAUCACUUCUAGGCUCAGAAUGUUCUGGUGUAAGAUUUGGUCUCCAUGGUUCACCAUGUGCAUCCCACGUAGUGUAAUCAUUUUUAAAUCCAUUUAUUUUGAUGUGAUGAUGCACAUUAUCUCGAUUGUUAAAUUUUCGAUUGCAGCACUUAGAACAAGGACAUCUUAUCUUACCAUGAUCAACUACAUUUGGAUAGAAAGAGUCCCUUCUCUCUCUGUUAGGCGAUUUUUUUGUGCUUGUUUGCAUUUUGCUUUCUCUCUCUCUGUUAGGCGAUUUUUUUGUGCUUGUUUGCAUUUUGCUUUAUAUCUCGGGUCACUAAACAGAUUAUCACAAAGUGUUACCCAAUCAUCUUUCUUCAUACAAUAAGGGACAACAGUCUUCCACUUUUCUACAUCAUCACCGAAUAAUUUUUCAGCAUUUUUUUUAAACCGAUAAAUGUUGUUUCAGAUGUUCAUGUUUGCAUAGUUCCAUGAUUUUUUUAUCCAACCUCAUGCAUUGGCAACCAAUUGAAAUGUUCCUAUUACAUAAUCAAACAAGUUAGCUCGUAAACCAUUUUUUACAAAUAUUCAAAUAUUAGUCAUAUAUAAAAAUAAAAUCAUCCACAAGAUAAUAACUCACUCGAAAUUUUUGAAACAAUCGAGUCUUUGUUUCAUUAGGAACCUUCCCCCAAGAAGACCAUGCACCAAGAUAUUCACGGGAAAUAUUCAUGAUCUCGCGAGUUACACUAAAUGGAAUAAAUCUGCGAUUAAACGCGAGGUAACGAUAUAAAAAGGUACCAAAGAAAUUUUUAUUUUAACAUUGAAGUGAGAAAAAAAAAUAUGUUAGUCGUACCCAAAACCGUCUGGUUGUAUCCAAGGUCGAUCUUCAGCAUUGUUUGGUGCUUGACUUAAACGACUUGCCCCCCUUACUCUUGAGGAGUUUUCAUUUUCUCCCUGAUUUGAUUGGCCUUCUUCUGAAACAAAUGUACGAGGGUCGUCGGACUCACGUUCAUCUCUUAAAGACAUGAACUCAUUCUCCAUCUCUUCAUCAUGCUCAUCAAGAUCAACCUCUGGAGGGGGUACACCGGUUGCGAUUGAUGGUUGUGUAACUGCACCUCGUGUUUGCUCCAUGCCUCUAGAUCUUCGACUCGUCUGAUCAGUAUCCAUGGAAGGAUGAACCUCUGAAGUAGGAACACCAGCCGAUCUAUUCAGUGUUGUUGCACCUUGUUCCGGCAACCUACCUCUGGAUCUACUAGUCUCAAUAUUUGUUGGAGGAUCAUCCAUCUCAAUCUCUGAAUCAAUUAGCCUUAAACGUGUUGUUCGUACAUUUGUACUUUUACCACGCCCCCUUCCUCUAAUUCGUCCACUAAAUCCUUUUGCUCUUGUCCCUGACAUUCUGCAUAAGAAUGUUACUGUCUAAACAAUUUUUACUAACUAAAACAAUAAUACUGUUGCUUAAACCAUGCAUCCAAAAAUCAUGAAAACUUUAACAAAACACUAACUUACAUGCCUGUAAUAUUCCUUCAAAAUAGUUUACCAAAAUAAUUCUCAAAUAAUCUGUUAUUAAUAAAAGUGCAGACAAUUGUAGUUACAUAAUCCUCAAAAUUAUAAUCAAGUUUAAAAUUUUAGAACUAAUUAUCCAUUGGUCCAAAUACUACAAAACUAUACAAUAAUAAACCUUACGAGUCUUUGGCCAAUUAAAACUGGAAUCAUUCUAAUCCAAUGACUAUAACAAUUAUUGUUUAACAAUAUAAUAAAUUGGCGAAAAAAAUUUAGUUAAGAAAAUAAUAAUAAUAAUAAUAACAAUUCAUAUUAAUUAAUCCAACAUCAAUAUUUUGAUGAGUAAGUCAACAUUCAACUACAUCAAAAUACAUAUAAUUGUUACCUUUAAAUUUGUUUCCACCCUUUUUCUUCUUUCUGUUCUCACUCUCUUGCUCUUCCUAUGUUUCUCUUUGUUCUUUCUAUUCUUUUUUUUUCUUCUCUUCGAUCAGUCUUUUCUUAAUCUUCUCCAGCCCCUUUUCUGUUUUGCAAAUACCGAUUUUUACUCAUGAUUUGUUACGUGAAAACAAUUCAAGUCAUUAGUUAGGUUUAGAACGUGUAUAUAUUUAAUGAGGAUUGCAUUAUCAUGCCUCUAACAACCUGCUUAAAAAUAGGCCCUUCGAAAAUAUAAUAUCAGUGUUGUUGCCGGACUGGACUGUAUAAUAUAUUUAUGGUACUAACCUAUAAAAUCUUUUUAAUUUUUAUUUUAUAUAUGAAUUGAAUAUGUAUUCUAUAAAAUUAAAUUUCAGAAUUUGUAAGAUUGACAAAUUUUGCUAUCUAAAUAUUUUCUAAUUUAUCCUUAAAUUAGCAAAUAAUAAUUUUAUAUUUGAAAUUUUCGUGUAUGUUUUAUGUGCAUGGAUGGCAUGUGGCUAGAAAGUGAAAAUAGAAAAAAAACUAUUAUUGAAAAUUAUAUUAAAAAAAUAAGAGAAAGAAAAUAGAAAAACAAUUUAUUGUUGAAUAUUAUAUAAACAAAUAAUUUUCAUGAGUUGGAUAAUAAUGUGAAGAGAGUGGUUGGCAUGAAUAAAAAUAUAUGAAAAUAAAUAUUUUAAAAAUUUAAAUUUAAUAAAAUAAAAUAACAGAAAAACCCGGUUGAACUGAGUAGAACCGGUUCAAUCGUGAUCCAAUUAGUCAUCCAGUUCUACGUCCGGUCUGAUUUAAAAACAUUGGAGAACAUGACAACAAUUUGGCCAUAUAUAAUUAUUUUUAUUGAAAAAAAAAAUAUAGUGAAUAAAUGUAUAUAGUAUGAAAAAUAUGGCAAAUUAAUUAGUAAUCCAUUUGAGAUUGUGAUGGGCUUAUAAAUUGUGACGGAUUUGUGACCGUAUCAACAUAGUGACCGAUCAAUGACAAAACUAGAAUGUGACGACUUUGUUACCAAAUAAAGAUAGUGACAAUUCAAUGACGGAAAAUACAAUGUGACGACUUUGUGACCGCAUUAUGCAUGACGGAUUUCUGACGACAAAGAUAUUGUGCUAGAUUAAUAAAGGACAUUAAUAAAUUAUUUACAUCAAUUAUAAUAUUAUGACAGAUUUGGUGACAAAAUCAAUUUCCGUGAAAACUUUAGUGACAAAACGGUUACGGAUUUGUGUGUGUCACAACGGCCGUCACGCACUCAGUCACAUAGAUGUCACAAUAAAAGACGGAUAUGUUUUCUUAAAUUCCGUCACAAAUUUGUCAAUAAUUUUGUCAUUUGUGUGUGACCGAUUUGUGAUGGAAUUGAGUUUGUGACGGAUAUGUGACCAAUAUUAUUCAAGACGUUAUUUCUAUGAAAAAAUAAUGACAUAUAUGUGACCAAACAAAUUUCUGUCACAAUAUUAGUGACUGAUAUGUGACAACACUAAUUUCCGUCGAAAUAUAAGUGACAUAAAUGUGACCGACAUCUGGCUGUGACAACAUUCGUCGCAAAAUUCGUCACAACCUCGUCACAGUGUAAUGAUGAUAUUUUCUGUUGGCAUCCGUCACAUAUCCAUCACUUAGUCGUCUGUCACAAAUAGUGACAGAUUAGGGCCGUCACAAGCUUUCCGUCACAAAAGGCAUGUUUUUUGGUAGUGUUGGUGGAGAAGGAAUUAAUUUUUCUGUUACUUUGUACAACUCUUUCCAGAGCCAAAUAUAUACAAUACUUGGUUGGAGAGAGAGAUAGGAUUCUAUGUACCUGAGUUGUUUCCUUGGGGGGAUUUGAAGGUUAAGGGAUUGAUUUCAAAUGAAUGAGGUACGAGUCAUCGGCGAAGCCCAUUCUGAUUUAUUUUUUUCUUACUCGUGCUCGUUGUCGCUGUUGAUGUUGGGCUAGGAUUGGAUCUGAGUUAACAAGAUUUGGACUAUUGGGGAUUGGGCAUUGCCGUCGAUAUUAAGGGGAAGAUGAGAAAUGAGCAUGCAAUAUUCAUUGUUAUUAUAGAGGAUAUUUUUGACUUUUCAUAUUCAACAACACACUCAUAGCCGCACAAUCCACGCGUGUAGCACACGAAAAGCUGUCGGUGAUUUUGUUGGUUUUGACUAACUUUCGUAGGGGUAUCAUUGCUAAUUUUUUAUAUCAAAAGGGCCUUUUCGACAAUUCAAAAUCAUACAAGGUGGUCCGUGGAGAAAACCCUAUAAAGACAAUUUUAAAGAGUAGUUAAAUAUGAGAAAAAAAAAGAAGUGAAGUUUAUGGUUUGUGAGGGUUUAAGAGCAUCCAUUUUAGAUGCUCUUGUAUCCGUGAACUUCCCUUGUGGACAAAGUCAUGUGAGUACCUCGAAGUUGUAAAUAUGCCUUUACACUCCAUAAUUUAAUUUAAUGAUUUUCAAAGAACCGAAACCCGACGCGUGCAUAUUCGUUCAGUUGUCAUCUUUCCACUUCCCAAAUCUUGUGAAAAUACAAAGGGGUCUCGUUAAAAUUUUACGUGUCAAUUUUGAUGAGAAUGUAAAAUCUAAUGGCCGGAACUUCCACUCGUAUUCGCCUAUUAUUCCUAGUUGUUCUAUGCUUUUCUUACGUCAUAUGCAACAAUGGCGCGAUCCCUUUCACAAGUAACUUAUCCUUCGAUUCUCCGAGUGUUCUUCCAUGUUCAAUGUGUUUUUUUUUCUUUUUUUUUUUUUAACUUUUUGGAAUUGCAGGAAGUAGAAACCUGAUGAAGGAACCUCAAAGUUAUGAAGUUGGAAAAGUGGUACUUCUGUCGGUACUCAACCUAAUUAUUGUCUUAAUUUACUUGCAAUAUCCUUGUCCUAAAUAAUUAGUUAAAUGUGUGAUGCAGGAAAAGAUUGUGAAAAGCUGGAAAACGGAUAGUCGAAUAUUCAGAAGAAUGGAGAUUGAGGUGAACGACUAUCCGGGUUCUGGGGCGAAUAACCGCCACACACCAAGGUCACAAGCAGGAAGAAGUUGUACAAUUGAUUGCUAAACAAUGUUAAUUAAUUAAUCUUUGGGUAAUAUUUAUUAUAUUUGUUUGUUUUAAACCUGUAAACAUGGUUUUGCUUUAUCAGAGUCUUUGGAUUAAGUAGUUGUAUUUUGAGGAAAUUGGAACUAAUUAAUUGUUAGCAGAUAUAGUAAACUCAGCACCGCCAUUUAUAUUGUUGCAGUCGAUGAAGAAAUUAGACAUGUCGUGUUAAUGAUCGUUUUCAACGGUGGAUGGUCGGCCGGUGAGUGAUGGAAAGAAACUUAGUGUAUGUGUGAGAGUGUGUUUUAGAGUUGUUGAGAUUGAGGGUUGUAAAAUAAGAUUCCAUUUUGAGUAGUGUCGAGUAGGAGGAACUAUUGAGUCUGAAAUCCUCACAUGUUGAGAUUAUCUUGAAACUUUCUAGACAUGCAUAUAGUACUUCGUAGUUAGUACUUAGUACUUGGCAGGCCGGUUUUAUAAACAAACAACAGAAGCAAGAAAUCUAUGUAGCACGAAAACUUCUUUUAUGAAUUCUAUUUAUUACCACCAUUGACUUUUUUUUUUUUUGCUGUUUUCUGCCAUUGGCCGGUCAAAAUCAUAAUAUUGUUGCAGUUGACAUUAAAAUUAUUAAUGUUUAUUACAAACAGUAAUAAUACUGUCAACCACAAUAAUAUUAAUUUUUUUUCAUUUUUUUACUAUGUUGACCGGUCAACGUAAUAAUAUUAUUGUGUUGCACAAUAACAUUAUUUUUUAACACAAUAAUAUUGUUGUUAAUAUCACUGUGUUAUACAGUAAUAUUAAUAUACACAUUUUUUAACAUUAUUGUAUUAGACAAUAAUAUAGAAGUAUUAUUAUUGUAUUAGACAGUACUAUAGUUUAUAUUACUGUCAAACAUAGUUAUAUUACUGUUUGUACUAGGCAAAAUAUGUUGAGAAAAAAAAAUUGAUUCAAAAUAAUGAUUAUUAAAAAAUAAUAAAAAGUUUACCACCGGAGACUAGCGAUUGCGCGAAUAAAAUUCGUACAAAAAAAUAUUGAAAAAUAAAGUCAACGGCGGCAGGGUUAAAUUGAGUUUAAGUUAUGAAAUUGGAGUGUAUUAGAUUCUUAGAUGAUAUUUUAUCUUUUAUAGGACUUUGAACAUUGUCUGAGACAGACCUAAUUAUAAAUAUGAAAAAUUAGCAAGAUCCCCCUCAUUUAUGAAAUAUAGUGAAGGAAAAUUCCCCUCUCAAAAGUAAUUAGAGAAAACAUCUUUCCCUUUAAACUAACGAUUCUAAGAAAUCUUAAUUGUGUAAUAUACACUUGAAGAACCCUAAUCUUAUUUAUAUUUAUCUCUUCUUCAUUACACGCAUCUCCUCUUUCUUUUUCUCUGAUAUUUUUUUCUCUUUUCAAUUUCCUAUCCAAAUCUAUUGUUCUCUCUCUCUCUCUCUCUCUCUCUCUCUCUCUCUCUCUCUCUCUCUCUCUCUCUCUCUCUCUCUCUCUCUCUCUCUCUCUCUCUCUCUCUCUCUCUCUCUCUCUCGAUCCGGAGGCGAAGAACAAGAGUUGUUGCCGCCGCUAGAACGACACUCGUUUUCCUUCUCCUUCUCUUGGAGAUGACUUUUUCGUCGACUUGUUACCUAAAUCGAAUUUUGAUGGGUGGUGGUUCUGCUUUGGUUGGUGGUGCGAGUUGUGAUUUACUUUGUUUGUAAUAAAAAAAAAAAAAAAAAAAAACCAUCAAAAUAUCGAAGAGGGGGGUGGUGAUGCGAUAUGGUGAUGACGGGGAGGCAUAUCUAGGGUUUUUUGGUGGAUCGGACAGAUGACGGCGUGGAUAGAGAAAUUCGCGCAGGCUGGACCCUUAAUCGACUACGUAUUUUGGUAGUCGAUUAAGAUUACUCGAUUUUAUGUUUUAAUUCAUUUUUUAUUUUUGCUUAUUGAUUCCAGUUUGUAUGAAUCAAUUACAAUUUAUGCAUAUUAUUUGUUUUGUAAAAAAAAUGUUGAUUUUUGUUUUUAUGUAGUUGUGUUUUUUUUUUUUUUUUUUAGUUAUUUCCUUAAUCAACUAUGUUUUAUCAUAGUCGAUUAAUAUGUUUCAUAGUCGAUUAAUAUAUCUGAUAGAGAAAAAAAGUUAAAAAACAAAAAAUCGAUAUCAAAAAAUUAAAUAAAUAAAAAAAAAAAACGGUUGAUGAGGUAGCCUCACAGUAGAUGAUAGUGUUGAUAAGGUGGUCGAGGCAUAAUGAGAAAAUUGAUAGCUAAAAUUAGAAGUGUACUUUUCUUAAAUGGUGCAGAAUAAUAUGUGUCUCUCCCUAUUAAAAAAGAAUAUUGAAGGAAUUAUAUAAAAGAUCCCCUUAUAAAUAAGCAGGCUAACGUGAACUUGUAUGAAAGUGUCCCUUUGAAUUAUACAGUUCAACGAUCACAAUUAAGUGACCAUUGUGACUAGGGGUGUAAACGAGCCGAGCUCGAGCCGAGCUCGCCUCUUUUGGCUGGCUCGAGCUCGAGCUCGAGUAUAUUUUGUCGAGCUCGAGCUCGAGCUCGAGCUCGCGAGCUCCUCUUUUUUUGGCUCGAGCUCGAGCUUAUGUCAGUUGUGUCGAGCUCGAGCUCGAGCUCGAGCUCGAGCCCAUUGUCUUUUUUUUUUUUUUUUUUUUUUUAAAUAUUUUUUUAAUUAUUAUUUUAUUAUUAAAAAUUAUUUAAAAAAAUAAAAAAUAAAAACUAAAUUGUAAUUAUAUAUAUUUUUAAUAUUUGUAUUUAUUUCUAUAGUAUUUUACAUUAUUAUACAUUAUUUAAAUAAAAAUAACAUAUAAAAAAUAAAAAAAAUAAUAAAAAAAUAAUAAUAAAUCCGGCUCGCGAGCCGGCUCGCGAGCUCAUGAACAACUGAAAACCAGCUCGAGCUCGGCUCAUCAGAAAGCUCGAGCUCGCGAGCUCGAGCUCGAGCUCGAAAAUCUCGAGUUCGAGUUCGAGCUUUUUACGAGCCGGCUCUUCGAGCUCACGAGUCGGCUCGGCUCGUUUACACCCCUAAUUGUGACAAAUCGAUUCGGAUCAUUAUUAUUGUUCAGCGGCUAGGACAGUCAAAAGUCGAAUUAAUGGCGUGGUUUGAACGGUCACUUUAAUUACUUCAAUGUUUUUUAUUAGAAAAAACAAUUAUUGAAAGUCUGACAAAAAUAUACCAGAAAUUGUACAUCUUUUAACCGUAAUAAUAAUACAUUUUUAACGGGAUAAUUAUACUUUUGGUCCCUCAUGUUUGGCCCGAUUUCACUUUUGAUCCCCCUUGUUUUAAAGUGAACAAAGUUCACCUCAAAGUUUCAAUUUUGAACACUUUUAGUCCCCGCCGUUGCAUGUCCGUUAGCAAGUAACGGAAAAUACUAUUUUGGGGCGAAAAUUAAAUUUUUAAAUUUUUUUGGGGCUGAAAAAUAAUUAAAAUUUUUAAAUAUACUACUUAUAAUUAAAAUUUUAAUAAUAUUAAGUAUAAUGAAAUUUAUUUAGUUAAUUUAUUUUUUUAUUAUUAAAAAUUAAUCAUAAGUAGUAUAAUGAAAAUUAAUAUUAAGCAUAAUGCACAAUAAUUUAUUUAGUUAAUUUCUUUUUUAUUAUUAAAAAAUCAAUUACAAGUAGUAUAAUAAUAAUAAUAUUAAGUAUAAUUAUAUAUGACUUGUUCAGCUAAUUUCUUUUUUUUUUUAAUUAUUAUUUUUUUUAUUAUAAGUAGUAUAUUUUAUAAUAAUUAUAAGUAGUAUAAUUAUAAUAAUAUUAAUUAUAUUACAAAAUAAUUUGUUUCGUUGAUUUUUUUUAUUAUGAAAAAUUAUAAGUAGUCUAUUUUAAAUAUAUAAUUAUUUUCAGCCCCAAAAGAUUUUAAAAUUUCAAUUUUCACCCCAAAAUAGUGUUUUCCGUUACUUGGUAACGGAUAUGAAACGGCGGGAACCAAAAGUGUUUAAAAUUGAAACUUGAAGGUGAACUUUGUUCACUUUAGAACAAGGGGGACCAAAAGUGAAAUCUGGCCAAACAUGAGGGACCAAAAGUGUAAUUAUCCCCAUUUUUAACCAUAAUAAUAAAUUUCUUACGAUAGUGAGAAUUUAAGACUUUUAUUUUAUAAACAUAUAAAAUUUUGUAGUUGGCCUCAAUGUUGUUAGAAGCGGACUGGAUCGGCCGGUCGGACUGGUUAGACCGUGACUUGACGAUGAAGCGGUCCGGUCUGGCCUCAAAAACCGAAAAAAACUAAACAUUAGGGUCGAUUGACCAAAAUCCGAUUCGACCAAGUCAAAACUUGGGAACCGGUGAGUCAGUCAAGGAACCCGGUGUUUGGCUAAAACAUAUAUCUCAAACCACCGCUAAGUUAGUUUUUUAUGGCCAAAUUUGAGCUAGUCAUGAGUGGUCGAAGAAUUGCCGGAUAUGGUCAUAGGUGAUCGAAUAGGGGUGACCGAUUGCCGGAUUUAAAGAAUAAAGAAUAGGAAAAUAUAUAGUAUAAACAAAAGAAAUAUAGUAAAAAGUUGGGGUGAGGUAGAUCAAAGUGAAAAUAAUAGGUGGAAAAUUAAAAAUAUAAAUAAAAUAAUAUUUUUUAAAUAUUAAAAUUAAUAAAAUAAUGACAUAUUAAUAAAAAUAAAAACCCGUUUGAAUCGUUUGAUCCUAUAAAAUCAUUAUCCAAAUGGUGGUCCGAUUCCAUAGGCGACCCGAUUCUGACAACAUUGAUUGGCCUUACAUAAUGGUCUUAAAACAUACACAUGCAUAUAACUGAGAUCAUAUUCACAUAACCUCUCACUACAAGAAUGGAAUCAUUGAAUAUUUUGUUUCACCUCUCCUUCAUUACAGUUCACUAAGUUUAUAAAUCUUUAAAUACUCACAUUAUUGCAAAUUUUGCCAUUUCCAUAGCUUCUUAAAAAAAUGCUAAUGUGAGUUUCUUAUCUUGAUCCAUUCUAGAUCUGACCACUGUUUCGGUUAGAACUGGAACCGGAACCGAACCGGGGUCAACGGUUUUAGAACCGAACCAAAACCGGUUUGACCGGAACUGGAACCAAAACCGAAAAAACCGAUUCGGUUCCGGUUCCUCAUUUUCGGAACCGAGAACCGACGGUUCGAACCAUAGUUCUAACCGUUUGAACCAGUUUAAAAAAAAAAAGAAAAAAUAUAAAGUAUUAAUGUCCUCUCUCUCUCUCUCUCUCUCUCUCUCUCUCUCUCUCUCUAUAUAUAUAUAUAUAUAUAUAUAUAUAUAUAUAUAUAUAUAUAUAUAUAUAUAUAUAUAUAUAUAUAUAUAUAUAUAUAUAUAUAUAUAUAUAUAUAUAUAUAUAUAUAUAUCUAUAUAUAUAUAUAUAUAUAUAUAUAUAUAUAUAUAUAUAUAUAUAUAUAUAUAUAUAUAUAUAUAUAUAUAUAUAUAUAUAUAUAAAAGUAUUAAGAAAAAUAUUUCCAAUGGUCAAAUUAAACAAAAAAAAAAUUACAUAUUUAAAAAAAAAUUAAGUUUUUAAAAUAUAUUUUCCACUUUAAAAAAGGAACUAUUUUUAAAAACCAGAACCGGCGGUUCGGAACCGAAACCGGAAUCGAACCGAACCAUGGUCAGGUCUAAUCCACCCGUUAUAGAAUCUUCACAGGUGGUUUUAUUACUGAACAAACUUCUUGUGUUCUAGUCCAAAAUUUGUUAUCCAAUAUGAUACAUGACACAUUUUCAACUUCACUUAGUCGUUUUGAAGUGUUAUUAUAGGUUUCCCACUCAGCAGUCAACACAUUAUCUUCAACUCCAUAAAAUGUCGAACAAGACUUUCAAUAGCAAUAACUAUUGUUGCAAAUAUUGUAAUUCUUGGCCUUACCAACUUUCUAUCUUUAGGGUAUGACUUGAUAAGAUAAACUAUUUUGUUACUAUUGUAAAUAAAAUUUGUAAUUUUCUUUGUCUUUUCUAUUCAUUUUUUUAUUUUUCAUUUGGACAUCUUGCUUAUAUCUUUCAACAUCAAAUCGAAGCUUCACUGUAACAACGUGUACAAUAUCUUGCUCCCUAUAUCAUCAAUAACUUUAUUAAUAAGAAAUAAAAUAAAUGUGUUCUUUAGUUUGUUAAUGUAAUCCAUUAAGAUAUGGUAUAUCAUUGAUUGAUCACAAAAUAAUAUAAAAUUGGUGAUAGAAUGCUUAGUUUUAGUACUACACGAUUUGUUCAACCAUAUUCUGACCAUUUUGUUUUAAAGUGGAUACAUCCUUCGAUUUCAUAAAAUUCUUUAUCUACAUAAGUUUACAGCCAAAAGGACCCUUAAUUCCAAUCUCAGAUUCAACAAUAGUAAUUAUCAUAGGUUGAUAAUAACGUCCAGUAUCAGCACCACCAUGAAACAGAAUAGCAUUAACUAAUAAUUACUUUGAAACGACCUUACCAACUUUGACUCUUUUGAGGAUCGAACAAGUUUUAAAGAUUUUUUUUGUUUUGAUGGAAACAUGAAAGGAUCAACACCACUUGAAUACUUCGUAGGUCCUUCUCUUACGUAGAAACUACAGAAUAUUCCUCGUUUUGCAUCUGAUGUUUGACCUUGGGAUGAAGUACCAACAACACGCCCUACAAUUAAAUAUUACUAAUUAAUUGACAUAUUGUAUAAGUAUAACUAUGUACUAGGAUAUAAAAGUUCAUAUACCAUCAUCAUAUUGCCUACGCGUCUCUUUAUCCAAGGCUAGCGUUUGGGUUUCUCUCUUCGCAUUAUGUAAUUGUUUGUUCUCCAUUUCUGAUAAAUGUUCUUUGUUUGUGUAUUGGCCGGGAACCUUGUUCAUCCUCAUUUUCGAUGGUACUUUCAGUAUCAACGUCAUGAAUGUUCAUAUUUUCUUCUCGAAUGGACAUUAUAGAUGUUUCCUUUCUUUUUUUCAUUAUUUCUCUAGCAGCUCUAGAAUCAUGGAGAUGUUUUCGAAGCAUUACCGAAAUUAUUUUCGGAGUUUUUUACAUGCCACUAUUUCUCUAGACACAUGAGCGAUGCGUUGUUUCAAUCGUGUGCAAAAAUUAUUUCGUGUAGCAACUAUAGAUGGAAUCAAAAGAUUGAAACAACACGUCGCUCAUGUGUAAGGAAGUAGUGGCAUGUAAAAAGGCUCUGAAAAUAAUUUCGAUCAUGCUACGAAAACAUCUCCAUGAUUCCAAAGCUGCUAGAGCAAUAAUGAACAAAAAAAGGAAACAUCUAUAAUGUCCAUUGGGGAAGAAAAUAUGAACAUUCAUGACGUUGAUACUGAAAGUAGCAGCGAAAAUGAGGAUGAACAAGGUUCUCAAUACACAAACAAAGAACAUUUAUCAGAAAUAGAGAACAAGCAAUUACAUAAUGCGAAGAGAGAAACCCAAAAGCUAGCCUUGGAUAAAGAGACGCGUAGGCAAUAUGAUGAUGGUAUAUGAACUUUUAUAUCCUAGUACAUAGUUAUACUUAUACAAUGUGUCAGUUAAUUAGUAAUAUUUAAUUGUAGGGCGUGUUGGUGGUACUACAUCCCGAGAACAAACAUUAGAUGCAAAACGGGGAAUAUUAUGUAACUUCUACGUAAGAGAAGGACCUACAAAGUUUUCAAGUUGUGCUGAUCCUUUCAUGUUUCCAUCAAAACAAAAAAAUCUCAAAAACUUGUUCGAUCCUCAAAAAAAUCAAAGUUGAUAAGGUCGUUUCAAAGUGAUUUUUAGUUAAUGCUAUUCCGUUUCAUACUGCUAGUAGUGGACCUUAUUAUCGAUCUAUGAUUAAUAUUGUUGUUGGUUUAUAGUUAACUUGCAUUCGAUAUUAGAUUUUGGAUCCAUUAUGUAUGAUUGUGGGAAAAGUAAGUGCAGUUAGAAUCUAAUACUAAAUUUAAUACUGCUUAAAUAUGUGACUAAAACUAAGAAAUUAAAAACUACAAAAGUUGUAGCAACAUAUAGAAUUAUAAACCGCAAAACUAUAAACAUAUCAAAUUGUACCUUUUCGGAAGAGAAGAUCCCAUAAUAGUGUCUAUUUUACUUCUUAUUGCUCUCACUAUCUAUAUAUUCGGUAUUACAAGCUCUCAUAUUUAUAACCAAAACAGAGUUAUGGGCAUUAUUAAUUGUCUCCAUAAUGUAUUUUGCUGUUUUCUCCAUACUGCUAUUAAUAUUGAUGACAGAGAGAUGGGAGUUGCAGAGGAGAGAGAAAAGAUACAAGAUGUCUUCCUUUAACCAAAUGCAAAUGCAAUAAAAUUUCACUACACACUCCCUGCAGAAAAAAAAUAUUUAACAAUUUUUUUUUUUUUUUUUAAUAUUUUUUAAUUUGGAAUCUAUCUAUUAGUUUAUAGACUUUUACCCCCAAAAGUUUAUUUUAAAGCACUUUUAGUCCAAAAAAAGACUUUUUUUUCUUUUCUAAAAUGACCCCAUAAUCUAGCCCCCAAACAAAAAAUCUAUGGGUCCGUCCCUGUAGACACUGUUAUAGCUUGGGAUUUAAAAAAUUAACAUUGAUGUCAAAUUGUCAUCACAGGUCCACCACCGGUCCACCAGGUUGUCCCGUUUUUUUUUCUUACUCAGUCCAAUAUGUACCGUAUUUGUACCUACUGUAACGAGUGAUUAUAUACAUUGGGUGGAUUUGAAUUGUAUAUUUGAUUUAAUAACUAUCUACUGGUCCUACGUACAUAUAAUCACACACAGGGGCGGAACCACCUUGUGACUUGGGGGGCUCCCGCCCCUGCAGGAAAAAAAUUUUGAUCAUUUUUUUAAUGGUUUUUUAUUUUAUAUUAUUAUUUAUCUACUAAUUUUUAUGCUAUAGCCCCCCAAAAAAAAUUUUUAGCCCCCCCUACCAGUAGGCUCUGGGUCCGCCCGUGAUCACACACACCCAAGGGCGGGCGGACCCAUGUGUAGCCUUGGGCAAAAAAAUUUAGCAAUUUUCUAUUAAUUUUUUUUAUUUUAUUUUGGUAUUUAUCUAUUAAUUUACAGACUUUGGCCUCCUAAAUUUAAAUUUUGUAUAUUUUAGCUCAUGAAAAAUAUUUUUUCUUCUCUUAAUUCACACCCAAAUUUUCGCCCCUUCACCAAAAACCCCCUAGGUCCGCCGACUCACUCAUGUGUAUGUGUGCGUAGUAGAUACUUGUUUAAUCAAAUCUACAAUUCAAAUUCACUCAGUGUAAAUAAAAGGUGUAGCAUCUAACUUCCUUUACUGUAAUUAAGAACAAGGGAGUUUUAGCCAAAAAAAAUUCCAUAAAAUUAGAUGAGUUUGUUGAAGAAUAAACAAUUGAAAUACAUAGUAACACAAUGAACUGUAACAAUGUUCUUAUAAUUAGGCUCUUACUCAUCAAGAUAAAUGCACUUUAAGUGAUGCCUAUAUAAUAUAUAUGCAUCAAAAGAAGCUAAAAAUCUUAUUCAUAAAACACAAUAAAUAACCACCAAGUUAAAAAAUUACAUGUUCAUAAAUUGAAAUCACUCCACAUCUAAAAAGAAAUUAAUAAUUUUCAAAUGCAUCCAAGAACUCAGCAUCACUUUCCAUUGCCUGCAUUGUCUCCGCCGCUAAGCAAACUUCCACGUCGAUCCCGCCAUCUUCCGCCGCCGGAAAAGUCGUCAUCUUCCCGUCAAAUUUCUGGCUUUUCCCACUCCUCACCGCUAUCGGUUUCCCCCAUCCAAAAUCGUUGCCGUACACAUUAUGCCUCGGCGAACUUGUUAUAGCUAAAGUACAGUUACCAAUACUCCCCUUUCUCACUAUUGUUGGCUUUUCAAUCCAAUCUUCCACAAAUUUGACCACUUCUUCUCGAUUUUGACUAGCAACAAACUCAUUGAUUUUCAUCCCUAAAUACCCUAAUCCCUUCCCCAAAAGCUCGGUUUCGCUAAUCGAAGUUUUCGCAAUGUAGGUUCCAUUCCCAAAGUAGCCAUCACCUAAUGGGAUUCUUGCUCUUGCACCAACUACAAAUAGCAUGAUGCAACAAACUUCUUCUUCUUGCGUAUUAAUUUGCGGUGUUCGACGAUUGCGGUUUUUGUUACGCGCAAUGCUCCGCCACAAGUGAGCCGAGACAACUUGUAAAGACGAUAUAAUUAUUUUGUCGCUACCGGCUUCUGAAUUGGCCUUGGCUUUGAGCUUAGCAACACUUUCUUUGCUAAAGUGGAAAACCCUUUGAAGCAAUUGAGGCAUCAUCACGUGGCGUUUGGGCAAGAGAUUAUUUUGCUCCAAUGGAGGAAGAAGAAUAAGACCAUCAUUGCAAUUGCUCGGAAACCAUUUUUCGAAUAGUGGCAUUUUUGAUAUUUUAUCGAAACCACGGGAUAUCUCGGACCAAGAGUUGAAGAAAUGCCAGAAAGAUGUUCCGUCUAUUAUAGCAUGAUUCGCCGUGCAGCUUAUAAAGAAUCCAUCCACAAGCUCAGUCACUUGCACACCGAACAAAGGCUUCGAAAUUCCGUCGAUAUUCGAAACACCGUUAAGUGGGAAAAAGGACGACACUAUCUCCGGUAUGUAGUUUGGUUCCGAGAUGUCGGAAACGCAAACUUCAGCGGCGACCGCGUGAGUAAACUCGGCACCGGCAUUGUUGCAGUCGACGAAAUAAGAAACAUUGUUAUCGCCGUUUCCAACGACGGCGGUGCCGAGGCGGCCGGCGAGCGGCGGAAAGAAGCUUAGUGUGCGUGAGAGUGUGUUCUUGAGGUGGUCGAUAAUCGUGUUUCGGAGUUGUUGCGAUUCGGGCUUGUGAAACAAGAUUCCCUUUUGAAUCGGGUCGAGUAGGAGGAAUUGAAGAUCCCAUGGAGUUAGAUCCAUUCUUGACAUGGAUUUAUUAUUGCCAUUGCUUGCCAUUUGAACAAGGCAUGAAGAUUUGAUAUCAAUUUUUUCCAUUGAUAUAUUUGAAUUCAAGAAAGGAAAUGAAAAUGAGUGGAGAAAAAAGGCUGAAGAAAUUGUAGCUUAAUAAUCAGGUUGAGGAAAUGGUAGCUUAAACCAUUAUAUAACGAAACGGUCAGGUAGAUGCUACGUCUGGAUAUUUACUUCUGGUGAAUUUGAACCGUAAAUUUGAUUAAAUAACUACUGACUAAGUAUACAUAUUAGUUUGUGUCUGAUUAUAUAUGGAACUACGAUUCAAAUCCACUCAACCUAAAUAAUUAGGUGUAGCAUUUAAUUCACAUAAACCGCAAAGUCAAUUUUCUUACCUAGAAUAAUGAAAGCAUCUUGUUUAAAUAACUUUAUUGCGUUACCCGAAGUGAUAUAGUAUAAUAAUUAUCUGAAACCCUCACAUGUUGAGAUUGUGUUGUAACCAUCAAGAUAUUGUGCUUCAAUUCGUAGUAGGGCCUUGUGAGUAGACAUACCGUAUCGUAUAAGCAAGGAACAUGUGUGAUCUACGGCUCUAAACGAGUUGAUCCGAUUCGUGAGCCUCAUCAUAUUUCUCGACAAAAGUUCGAGUUCCAGCUCGAGCUCAACUUUUCUCGGGGGUCAAGUUUGAGCUCAUUUUACCUGCUCGAACUAGGCAGUUGGUUUACACACUGUAAUUUGGGUAUGAUAAACAUAAUUCACUCAAUGGAUCGUUAAUCCAGAAUUAUAAUUGGACCUUAGGUAGACAGACUUAGAGGUAAGCAAGUCGGAUCCAUUAACCCGUCAAAUCAAUUAAAAAUCAUUCCGUAGAACCGGACAUAUAGAUCAAUCAAUAGAAUUGGGUUCUGAAAUGAAGAAGAUUCGGGUUUUGGUCUAAGAUGGAUUCAAUGUUUUUAAUACUCGUAAAACAUGUCUUGGCCCACUAUACAAAACGACACCAUUUUGUUUAUACGAUGUAGUAUGAUAAUUUAAUAAUAUAUAAUGAAUAAAUAAACUAUCUCUUGUAUAUAAAAUACACAAAUAAACUACACGAUAAUGGCGUUGGUUUUGCUUGCUGCUGACAAUGCUAUAGUUAUUUAUUUUAUUUUAAAUUGUGUUUUAUAAACUUUUAAUUAGUUAGUCUUUACAAUAGAUUUUAUGGUUAAUAUUUAUAUUAAUUUUUAUUUACUUGCAAUAUUUACCAUUAUACAUGUUGAUUUAGUUUAAUAAUUAGGAGAAUUGCAUAUAAUCAAAAGAGGAGGACUUGAAUGUACAUGGGUUCACUUCAAACCAAAAUCAACUUCCCAAAUAUACUCAUUCCCAUGUCUUUUUUUCUAAAAUACCCCUUAUCAUUGAUAAAUUUAAAUCAUUUUCAUCCAUUAAACUUUAACUUUAUCAAUAUGGUACACUAACCCCAAAUUUAUCAAAUAUAUCGCAUUCACCCCCAUUUUCACACAAAAAUUAGAAAAUGUUUUUUUUUCCCGGUCAAUCAUCGGCAUGGACUUUUUUUUCCCCCCAAAAAAAAUAUUUUGGACGGUCUUCAGGUUUGAUUUUUAUUUUUAACAACCAACUCAGUAAUUUUACUAUUUGUACAAUUAUUGUGUGAAAAAGUACAAUUAUUGUCUCAUACAAUACAAUUAUUGUCCGAGACAACAGUAUUGCAGUAUUGCAGGUUGUGACAACAAAAUUAUUGUUUCAAAUAGUUAAAUUACUGUUUGAGACUGUAAUAUUGCAAGACAAUAAUAUUAUCAACACAUAAUAUUACUGUAUGAGACACAUUAAUAUUAACACAUAAUAUGGGAUAAUUUCAGUUUUGGUCCGUAUAUUUAUUAUACACCAUUUUUUAUUUUGGUCCUUUAAUUGUUUUUGGCACAAAAUUGGUACUUUAACUUUUUUUGGCACGAAAUCGGUCCUCAAAUAAUCAGUUUUUUUACAUUUUUUUUUACCACCAUUUGAAAUUGCGAUUAGAUUGGACGGAAACGUCAUGUGCGAGGCACAUGACCAUGCACAUUAACCCCUCAUGUUUACCUAUAUUAUUAAUUUAACCCCAAUAUCACUUUAUUUUUACAAUUUUAUCCAAAUUAAAUUAUAUACGAGAAAUGUACUAAAAUGUUAAAUGACAAAAAUACCAUAGAAGGGUUUCUAGGAAUUAGUACAUUUUAUUUUAUUCACAAAUAUUAUUAUUUUGUUUUUCUCGAAAACACUAUAACCAAUUUGACUAUACCAAAUUUUAUUAAAGAGUUUUUUUUUCAAUUUUAUUAAAAUGUAAAAAAUAAUUAAGCAUAUAUUGUAAUUUCAUAAACAAAAAAUCCUCGUUUAUACAAUAAAAUCAAUUUUGCCUAAUCUUAUGGAUUUUAUUGUAUUUUUAUUAUUCUUUAAUAAAUUUUUAAUAGUAUUUCGAUUUUCAAUAAAAGUGCAAGACAAUUAAACAUCAUUUCAAUUAAAAAAAGGGACAAAAAUGUAAAGUUGGUGGCUCGGCGGCGGAGGUGAAAAUGGCAGAUGGGGCGGAGCUGGGGCAUUCGGAACAAAUUGUUGAGGAGUUGAUUUUUUUUUUGGACGAAUUAAUAAUAAUAAAGUAAAUUGGGUCAAAUAAAAAAUAAAGGUAAGACCGGAGGGUAGAAGUGGAUGAUUACAUACCUCGCACGUGACUUUCCGUCCAAACUAACAACAAUUUAAAACGGAGGACGGAAAUAAAAAAAAAAAAAAAAAAAAAAAAAAAAAACAAAACCUGGUUUAUUUGAAGACCAAUUUAGUGCCAGAAUAAUUUAAGGACCAAAAAAAAAAAAAUUGUAUAAUAUAGGAAUGCCUACAUAAUAUACUAUAGUACUACUAAAAUCUCUUUUGGUUGGACAUAUUAGGCUGGAUGGGACUAAUUGUACCGAUUAAUUCAUUGUUUGGUUAUCGUGUUAGACCUCCUCUUGAUUAUGCGGCGCACGGAUGCAAUUAGCUACUAUUGGUCAAGCCAUCAUCAGUUAAUCCCGCCAUCUGGCCAUGUGUGUAACGACGAUAAUAAAACCCUUCCAAAAAUAAACUAAUUACCAAAUUAUUAUAUAUAAAUACUUAUGUUCUUCAAAAAAUCCUUACCGCCGAGCCCUAAUCAACCAACAUGUACGCUUUGUUGAUUUCUCUAUCUUAAAAAAAGUUAUAAACACCUUUGUUACUGGUAGAACAAAUCAUUGGCUAACUUAUAAAGAUGCAAACUUACGCGUCGGUAUUGCAUAUAAAAAAGAAGAGAGAUAGAAUAUUUCUUGGAGAAUCGUAAGCGUCGGGAUCAUGGUUCGCCGGAAUGGAAGAGUGCAUUGUCGCGAACACUGCCGUUCCAGUUCCAUUGCAACGUCGCGACUACAUCUCGGCCGAACGAACACAUUUUAAUUAAAUUUGCUAAAAACAUACAAUAUAUUUCAAAUAUGUUUUAAUAACAAUAUUACAAUACAAUAAUAUGCAAAAUAUUAUUACAAUUUAAAAAAAUAAAUAUACAAAGAACAUAAUAAAAAUACAAGCAAUAUUAAUACCACGUAGAAUGUCGAGCUGGAAUUAUGUAAGCUAUAAUUGAAGAGUGAAUCCAAACAUCCGUGAUUCAGGAGAAUCUUCAUUCUCCAACGUGGCCACCACCAUCUUAUUAUUUCCUUUUUUUUCGUUUAUGUUUUUUUCCUUAUUUUUUAGUCAAAUUAGUCAUAUUUAUAUGGUGUUGUCAUUCGUUGAAAGAAGAGGUCCGGUUGCAUAACUCUUAAGAAAACGGGUCAAUUACUAGUUUUUGGUCUAUAUGAGGAGUAUGUGACACCUGGGCAGUGCAACAUGUUGGGAUGUGAAGCCCAAGAUUCAAUGAAAAUUCGCAAGAGGUUCUAGAUUAGCCGGUUUUAAUUUUAUUAACAUCCUUUGAUUAGAUUCGUUUAAUGCGGAAUAAAUCUAAUCUAGCAACCUACAGUUUUCGUGAGCAGAUCCGUUUCUAUCUUCGGCGCACGAACGAGGAUCCACACCAAGCCUUCAAUCCUCGAAGAACUGUUGUCCAGAAAUUUCCAGUCUUCUUCCUUCACCAAUAUCUCCGCGACCGUUGAAUCGAUCGAGAAACCCUUCAGACGAUUUUAGAUCUAAGGGUUAGGAAGUUACUGUAUAAAUUUCGAGCAUAUCCGACUAACAGUUGAUUUAUGGUGAUUUUCUUCGCAGGACUGCUCAGAAAAUUCGUGAAUUAUAGUUUGCUCUAAAAACCUACAAUCUUCUAUUGUAUAUCCCGGAUUAAUAAUUCUUUUACAAGGGUGGACUUGUACUUGAAGAAAUCUAAAUCUAUAAUCGAGAAACUUAGAGAGAAAAGAAGAAAUAGGCGUGUAGAAUCAUCGUGAAAUAGGCGUGUAGAAUCAUCAUCUCUCAUCAACUUAAUCUCUAUUAUAUAUAACACAAGGAAUUAGAGUCACACAUAGAGAGGAUUACAUGGGAACAAAAUACCACUCCUUCUAUAACUCUAUAUAGUUUAAAAUUGCAGUCCAAUGGGGACUUAAUUUUUGGCUAUAUUAAUUCCAAUAUAUAAUAUUGGUUGAACUUUAUUUUCUCGAUUAAUUAGAAAAUCCAUUGGGCUACAACAGAGACUAUAGGAGAAAAUAUAAACCGGACAACUAAUAGUUAAUUAAAUCACCAAAUAAUUUAUUCACUACUAAAUAAAUUAAAGGGGUAAUAUGCUAGGAGUCCCUCCAAGCAAACCUAAUUUGGACUAAAUGACAAGUCAACAUUCAAUCUUUUAAUUAAAUCCUUAUUUUGAAACAAUAUAUGAUAUAUAUCCCUAAUUUAUUUUUAUCCCUCUAUUGCCCUUAUACCUUAAAUAGUUUAACCUACAUAUUUAACGUUUCUUCUACCAGAUUAUUUAUUUUUGUUCUUCUCUCUUUCUUUUCCUCUGCCCCCUCCCCUCCGUCUCUGUCUUUUUUUUUCUCCCUCUCUUUUUCUCCCCCUCUUUGUCUCUCGCUUUCUUUCUAUCUUUCUCGAUCGAUCUUCACAUAGCUAUCUUUUUUUUGUUAAGGCACGAAUAUUGUGCCCCUAUGCUCAGAGACGCGACGGUGGUGGCUGCGAUUUUGAAGGUGGCGGCGGUGGAUCUGAGAGAGGCGACGGAGCGGGUAGCGGAGUGGCGUUGGAUCUGAAGGCGACGACGAUGUGGGUAGCGGAUGCGACAUCGUUUUUGGGAAGAGAUGAAUCCAGGUAUAUGUGAGUUGAAUGAACGUGGUGGUGGCCGAUUAUGUGGGGAUGGUUAUCGGAGGCGGUGGUUAUGACGUUGGCGGCGAUGGUGCCAGAUCUAGGGUUUUCAUAAUGAAUAAAGACGGUUAUGUGGAGGCAGAUCUAGGGUUUCAUAGUGAAUAAAGGCGGCCUUGGUGGCUAGGGUUAGGUGGUUGCGAGAGCGGCGGCUGCUAGUUAGGGUUUGGCGACGGCUGGGAGUUAUGUUGCUUUUAGGGUUUCGAACAGUAAACCAUAGUAGACCAUAGUACACUGUAGUACACCAUAACCAUAGUAUAUCAUAGUAUAUCAUAGUACACCAUAGUGUUUCAUAGCCUACUACAAUUUUAACAACAGAUAAAAUUAAAAAAUGUAAAUUGAAUAAAAAAACGAAAAAAUAGUUUUUUUUUUUUUUAUAAUUUUCAAUAUUAUGUAGGAAAAAAAAGAUUUUUUUUAUGUUUUUUAUAAUAGUGUAAAAAUGAUAUAAUUAGAUUUUUAUAAUAAUGAAAACAAUACGACAUGAAAAAAAAAAGAAAAAAGAAAAAGAGAAAUAUGUAGAAAAAAGAAAAAGAGAAAUAUGUUCUACGUAAAAAAAAAAUGCUAGAUGAAAAAAUGAAAAUGAUAAAUGCAGUUAAAAUAUAUAUUAUUUGAUGUAUAUUUCAAUUUUUAUUUGUCAAGGGCAUUUUUGGAAUGAAAUUUAUAAAGGAUGUGAAGCAAAGAUUUAGUUAGACUUGUCAUUUAGUUCUAAUAAGUUUUGUCACUAGGGACCUAUAUCUUAAGACCCCUAAAUUAAAUGGUUUCUUUUCAUGAGUCUUGCCCGCUUUACUUAUUUGAGUAUGUCGGAUACGAAAUCCACCUGGCCAGGACUUGACAUAAACAAAUCUUAUAAGCUACUCAAGGGUUAUUAUCAAUCUCAUAUUUCAGAGAUGUGGAUUCCUUUCGAUAAUUAAUGUCCACCUAUUAAUUCUUAAUGUCUCUACCCAACGCACCGGGGGCCAUAACUCAAUAUAGGAAUCUAUCCCAUUGUGAUAUCAAAGUAGAGAUCAUCAAUUAAAUAUGUACGUUAAUUAUUUAGGGAUUAAGAGAGUAAGUAAUUUACUGUCAACUAUAAAUAAUACAGUUUCAUUUAUGAACAAUGAUGAAACAAUUAUUUCAAUUUGUCCGGUUCAACACAUGCCGGGUGUGCUAGCACAAUAAGUCAAAACAAUAACAACAAAAGUUAUUCUCUGUUUACUGUGAUCAAGAUCAAUCACUUAAAUAUUGUGCUACAAUCUUUUACCAAUGGUUAGUUCAUUUCCAUCUAGAUUGUGAACGUUUAUCUUUAUAUUCUAAACGAACUUUCAAAAUGAUCUUUCUGUGUGCCGUAGCACACCAUUUCGAAUACUAUUAGAAUAUUAGACUUAUGCUUUUAAUUAAUUGACAAACAAUCAAUUCAAUGCAUUGAAUACCCUAGUGCAGAUUCUCAUAAAACGAUAAUAAGUUAUUUUAUUAAUUCAAUAAUAAAACUAUGUAACAAAAAUCGAAACUUUUAGUCUACUAUUCUAACACAACAUGGUUGUUGAGAGGUGGGUCGAUUAUCUCAUCGAUCGAGGCAUUUAAGGAAUUAUUGCUUUUCAAUCGAGACUAUAUACUAAAUUUUUCUUUCACAUUUUUUAUGUGCCUUUGAUGCAUUUAAUUGAGAGGUGUGUGUUCUUUUUUGAGGUAAGAGUUAGAGAGGACAAUAAGUGAGAAGUCAUGGCUACUUUGACACAGUUCAAGUUAUUAUGUAUUUCUGGUUUUCAGCAUUCAUGCUUAAAAUGUUAGUUUUAUUUUAUUUAAUGGUCCAUUAACCUUUGUAUUUAAUUAAUUAAUUGUGGGUAAUUCAAUUAUGUAAUUAAUGCUGAUUUUAUGGUAAUUGAUUUGUAACGGUGAUGGCAAUAAAAGACCAUGAUGGGUGGGAUUUGUCUUCUACCGUUACAAAUCAAUCAUGACACUCUUCUCUCGUCUAUAAAAGAAUCCACAACUCUUCUCCACAACCAUCAGACGUAAUCUGAGAAUUCCAUCACUUACAGAAUAUUUACGAGUUGUGAUAUUGGAGAGAUAGAGAGAAGAAGGUGUGUCUACGAAUAAGGUUCUCAUAAGGAGAUUUAGGGAGGCCUAGCUAGGUUCGGCUUGUAGAUUGCUAUCGUUAAUCGUUCAUCGUCUCUAUCGAAAUCCAUGGCGAACGGUAUGUCGAUAAUCCCAAUUAUGUGCUUAUGUUCUUAAGAUGAAUUUAAUUUCAAGAUUCUGUGAUUAAGGUUUUCCGCAUAAAGUUAAACAAAAGUCUUUCAUAAAAUACAGUUAGUGUGAUUUUUAUAAAGACAUGAACAUUUGUAGCACUUUAUCUAUUGCUCAUUGUUUUAAAGGCCACAAAUGUAUGGUUGUAUAGUUUUUGAGUAUUGGUUCCUCAUAAGGAUUUGGAAUAUUAUGUUGUCUCCAUUUUUUCAGAAAAAAAAAUUGUUACUAAAAAUCUAGUGAUAUAAAAGUUACGAAAACAUAUAGCCAAAGACCUUAUCAAAUACUAACAGAUCCAUUGUACAAUAAAGUUCUUUGUAAAUGUGUUAACCAUCAUAGCCAAACAAUUUUACCAAUAAUCAAAACAUUAAAAAUUAAAUACAGCAUGGGUAAGUACGAAAUGUCUCUACAUCUAACAAUAAAAUAAGGAUGACAAAUACAAUGCCGAAGAGCACAAAUUAACCGUGCAAAUUCGACGAAAAAACAAGGUUUUGCAAACUCAUGAAACAAUAGUAGAAUCUUUUCUGUAAUGUCAUUGGAGAAGAUGAAAGAAAACAUAAGGGAAUGACACGUGUUUCCGUUGGACAUGCUUGUUGGCGGCUCCCUCGAUCCUACACUCGGUGAAAAACACCGGGUGGGUCUUUUGCUGUCACGUGUCCCUUUUUUUAUUUUUCUAAAACCCCUUAAGGUAAACCCUAGCGGGAAAUAUAUUAUAAAAUACAAAAAAGAGACACGUGGCAGCAGAAGACCCACCCGGUGUUUAUCACCGGGUGUAGGGUCGAACAAAUCCUUGAUGGCCGAAAAAUGUUUUAUACGGGGAAGAGAGGGGCUGGUGUAAUUCUUAGUCGAAGCAAGGGGUGUUCUAGGAAUUGUAUCGAAGAUAGGGAAUGUAGUGCAUUGUAAACGAAACUUAAAAGAAGAGUGCAUAGUUCAACAAAACGUAUGCGGAUUGAAUAAAACUUAUAUAACUGCUUUAUAGAUAUUUAGUAGCAAAUAAUCCAAAAAUAAAAUAAAGAACAACUCAAAACUCUAAAUACUUUUUCAGAAGACAUGCAUCAUAUAUAUAUAUAUAUAUAUAUAUAUAUAUAUAUAUAUAUAUAUAUAUAUAUAUAUAUAUAUAUAUAUAUAUAUAUAUAUAUAUAUAUAUAUAUAUAUAUAUAUAUAUAUUAAUGAUGUGUCUAAUCAUAAUUAGGCCCAUAAACCUAAUUAAGAUUAGGCCCAAAUUGCCCUAAUUAAUCUAAUUGUGUGUAAAAACUCAAUUAGAUUACUUUUUACCUUUAAAUGACAACACAUUGUCCCACAUCGAAUUUCUACAAAAGUCCUACCUAUUCAUCCACCUAUAAAUGUAUGUUUCAUUUCACAUAGGAAUGUACACUCUAAUUUGGCAAUUAAUUAUUAUUAUUUGCUUAUAUUAUUACGUCUUUUGACUUGAGCGUCGGAGAAUAAUCACCGGGCCAAACCCGACGUGUCAUCUAGUGUUUAAAUUGUUUUGUAGGUUAACGAACGGAGCAGUCCCUUCGACUACCUCGGGCACGUGGCAGUGACUCUCGGCAUUCUCUACCUUUGUGGGCUCAAGGACUCUUGGGUUGCCCAAUUGACAUUUGAGCAGCAUCAUUUUGGCGCCGUCUGUGGGAAUGCAAACUCGAUCACGUGACACGGGAGGAGGUGGUCAAGGUAGUCUCAAUCCGUCUCAGCAAGGAGCCGGCGGCGGGAUCCCGGAUCCGCCUCGAAGAAAGAGGACGGCAGGAGCAACCAACACGGCGGGACCUUCAGUGCCAAUCAUCCAGAUGACGACGGAAGAAUUGCAAGCGAUGAUGGACGAGACCGCAGCCAAGGCAGCGGCUUGGGCGGCGGCAGCGGACGCAGUAGCUCAAUACAUCAGCGCUCAAGGCCAUAGUGAUUUUGAAGAGUCGAUUCUAUCAGAAAGCGAUCCCACGGAUCCCGCUCACGUCCAUGUGGCCCCGCCCAGCAUAGAACUCCACGACUCUGAAGAAAGGGUGUCGCUCAGCGGCCGAAGCCUUUCUUCAGAACGGGCUCCCCGAAGGUAUGCUCAGCCCCGGUCGCAUCAGCAUAGCUCGGCCUUGGACCAGGCUCCUCGAAGAGAAACGCGUGGUCGAUCACCACGACCCCUAAGGCAACGGGCUCCUUCAAGGGACAGAGCGGCGCGAUAUCGCCGAGAGAGGAGUGGAUCCUCUCGGCCGAGUGUUCCACGCCAUGAGCCUCGAGACGAUAGACAUCGCGGACGUUCCUUUCGCCGAGGCAACUCCUCUCGAGACGAAUAUGGGAGUAGAUACUCUCAGCCGGAAGAGACGAGAACGCACUGCGAGAAUUUUAACAGUCGUAAUUCGAGAAGCCCACGACGAGAAACUUCGAGAUCAGCCGCUCGCUUUGGAGCGCUCCCCGCCCGAAUAAGCCCCUUUAUUCCGGCCAUUAUGGAGGAAGUUUUACUGCUCGGAUUUAGGAUCCCCAAUCUUCCCCAAUUCGAUGGAACCGGAGAUCCCCAAAGUCACCUUAACAAUUUCUUCGCUAAGAUCGACCUUUACAGCCUCAGCGACGCCGCCUACUGCAAAAUUUUCCAAACUACCUUGACUGAUCAAGCACAAACUUGGUUCAACGAUCUACCUGGAGGGUCAUUGGAUGGCUUGAGCCAACUAUCAGAAUGUUUCCUUAGCCAGUAUUCCAUCAAUAAGAGAUACGCCAAAACCGGAUCGUACCUCUUCAAAGUCAAACAACGCGAAUGAGAACCGUUAAGGGACUAUGUACAACGGUUCGUCAAAGCUGUGCACGAGGUGCCCAAUGUUAACCACGACCUGCUGGCCGAUAUACUGCACCAUAAUAUGGGGAUUGUUGUUAAUUUUGUUAACAUGAGAACUUUUUCAACAAUACGAAAUAACACAGGGGGUGUCUCGGGCUUUACAUAUAAUUUAUAGUUUCAUGGGAAAUGUAUAGAUUAAGAACAAACUCCGACAAAAAUUUCUCCAUUCCACUCAAAUUAUUUUUGAGAACUUCUUUAUUUUUCCCUAAUACUUCUCAAAUAUGAAUUGGACAACUCAACAGUCUUUGAGCUCGCAAUGAUAGAGAAUGUUGAAGGUCACUGUCACGUGUCUCGAGGUAGUCAAUGAAUCCUCCUGUUAAUCCUACAAAAUAGUUGAAAACACUAGAUGACACGUUGGGAUUGGCCCAACAAUUAUCCUCUGACGCUCAUGUCAGAAGCUAUAAUAAUAUAAACAAAUAAUAAUUAUUAAUUGCCAAAUUAGCGUGUACCUUGUUGUGUGAAAUGAAACACAUAUAAUUUAUAGUUUCAUGGAAAAUGUAUAGAUUAAGAACAAACUCCAACAAAAUUUUCUCCAUUCUACUCAAAUUAUUUUAAAAACUUCUCUAUUUUUCUCUAAUACUGCUCAAAUAUGAAUUGGACAACUCAACAGUCUUUAAGCUCGCAAUGAUAGAGAAUGUCGAAUGUCACUGCCACGUGUCUCGAGGUAGUCAAUGAAUCCUCCUGUUAAUCCUACAAAAUAGUUGAAAACACUAGAUGACACGUCGGGAUUGGCCCAACGAUUAUCCUCCGACGCUCCUGUCAGAAGCUAUAAUAAUAUAAGCAAAUAAUAAUAAUUAAUUGUCAAAUUAGCGUGUACCUUGUUGUGUGAAAUGAAACACAUAUUUAUAGGUGAAUGAAUAUGUAUAACUUUUGUAGAAAACCGAUGUGGAACAAUGUGUUGUCAUUUAAAAGUAAAAAUGGUGCUAAUUGGGUCUUCAUAAACAAUUAAAUUAAUUUGGGCCGUUUGGGCCUAGUCUUAAUUAGGCUUUUGGAGCUAAUUCUAAUUAGGCACAUCAUUAAGCCCCCCACUUCCAAGUUGUGUCACGGGCGGUGAGCCUACUUGGAAGUAAUAUAUAAGCCCCACCAUACACUUGUAGGGUUUUUUUUGUUUUUUUUUUGAGGUCUCUUUUUCCGGAAUUGUGCUACCGAAGUUUAAGGAUAUUUGACAUUCUCCCAAAGGUAUAAAUAUCUUCUGCGAAUCUUCUAACUUUAUUUAUUCUAAUUAUUGUGCCGCUGGUUGAAUCCCCUCUUUAGUGUUUGGAGUUUCAAAAUUGCAUUGACAAAAGCAUAGAUUUUGGAUGAGUCUAGUGACAAACUAACUAGAGUUAAUUCGGAUUCCGACAAUGACAAACUUGAGAUUCUAAAAAUCUUUAUAGUCGAGGCCUAAUUAAGAUUAGGCCCAAACGGCCCAAAUUAAAUUAAUUUGGGCAGUUUGCGCCUAUAAUUUGGGCCGUUUGGACCUAAUCUUAAUUAGACUUUUGGGCCUAAUUCUAAUUAGGAACAUUAUUCUCUCUUGUUUUUUUCGCUUCUAUCACCACAGCACCACCUCCUAUGACUUCGCAAUGUCGUUCCUAGCGAUGGAAAAUCAUCAGAAAGAACGAAAAUUGUAAAAACGGUAAAAGUAAUAUAUAAUAUAAUUUCGAGGGAUUUUAAAUGAAAAUUCAUAAAAAAAAUGAGAAUACUUGGCUGAAAAUUCUGGAGGACUUCCGAACACGUGUGUAAAAACUAAAAAGAAAAAGAAAAAGCAUGUUAAUGUUCAGAAAUUGAGUAUAUAUUGCCUUGGGGUUCUUCAAACGAAUAGUGCCUAGAGAAUUUAUAUAAAUAAAAUGAUUGAGGGAUUUGAAAAGAAAUUUCAAAUCUGGUAUUCUCCUUUUAAGUUGUAUUUGGAGAGAUUGUGGAGAUUUCAAAUGACUCAAAUUGGAGUUUUUUCAAAUCUUUCUUCUACUUCCCUAAAUCAAAUAUUUCCAAAUCAAAUCCUUCCAUCAAAAUAGACCCGAAUAUAAUUAGGGCAAACUGCAAAAAUAUAUAUGUUAAUGAAACUUCAUUAAAAAAGAUAGGGUUAGAGACAAAAACACCCAUGUACUAUGGACUUUGUAUUAUAUACCCAUGUAUUACACAUAAAUACAAAAACUUCCCUACCAUUACAUUUUUUCCAAAAUCAGAUGAAAAUACCCCUACUAAAGCUUAUAUAUAAGGGCUUGUUUGAGUCAUUUUCCACUAUAUGUUUUAACAUUUCCAUUCAAUUUUACUUGGGAAAUUUUGGUAUUUUUAUUUUUUACUCAAAAACAUCUAAUUGCUUGGAUUUUUUUUUUUAUUUUAUGUAUAAAACAUUUUAUUCUCGACUAGCACAAUCAUAAUCCACUACCACUAUAUCUACUAGCCCAAAUUUCAUUUCAGGGGACAAUUUUUCUUUAAAACCAGAUGAUCCUAGUGCUGAAGUUGAACAAGAGUGUUAUGAGAUACUUCCGAUAAAUAAUGGCGUAGAUACUAUAGAUGUUAUUGAUGGAUAUUCUUUUUAUUUAUAUUUAUGCAUGUUUAAUUAAUUUUGAAUUUAAUUCAUUUACAUGCACAUAUGUAGAGUUUAGUUCAUAUUUAUGCAUCUCGUCAUUUAAUUUAUAUUUAUGCAUGUUUAAUUAAUGUAGAUCUUAUUUCCUUUUUAAUUUAUAUUUAUGCAUGUUUAAUUUAUGUAGAUAUUAUUUUCUGUUCAGGUGACCUAGGUGUUUACGAUGUCGGAGAAAGGUAAGGACAGGGCUACUGUUAUGGAGUUUGAUGAUAAGGGUAUUCCGGUUGAGCCCGGGAGGACAAAAUUGGUAAAUGAGCUUGCUAAACAGGUUACACAUUGUGACCUCUUUAAUCCGUGUAUUUCAUGGCCCACACACAAAAAGGAUGGACGUGUGGAUGAAUUUUGGGCACGAUUCAAGGUAAAUGGUAUUAAAAUUCUCGUAUAACAAUCGACAAAAUUAUUGUUUCAAAUUACCUAAUUUUAUUUUUAUUUUUCUUAGGAUAAAUAUAAUCUUCCCGAUAAUGAUGCUACAAAGAAGUGGUUCAACAAGACUACAAAUGCUCGUUGGAAGGACUUCAAGUCUAGGGGUUUAAAGGCACAUUUUGAUCGCAUGCCCGACCCCGAAACUGCAAGACAAACUCGUCCGGAGGGAUUUAUUAGCAAUGAUUUAUGGGGUCAAUUGUGCGAUCAAUUUAUUGCUAUGAAUGAGUCAGAGAGUGAUGGGAAUGAAAUUUGUAAUUCUUAUUAAUUAAUAUCAUUAUAUGAUUUAUGCAUUGCAUCAAAAUAUAGUAACUUAUGUGCUAUUAUUAUUAGUCCAAAUCUCAAAAAUGCCGCGAAGCACGAAAGUCAAUUGCAACCGAACACCAUUGGGGCCGAACUAGUAUCACCGGUUGGUCUCAUAAACAUGUAAGUGAUCUUGUAUAUGUGUGAUUGUAUAUAUUUUAAGAUUUAUUAUAAGGGUGUAAUUACUUUUAUAUUAUUUAUACAGAUUCUGAAAUUUGGCAAGGUUCCUACCGUGGCAGCUAAAUUCAGAAAAGACUACAUAAGCAUCGGUGCAUUAAAGGAAUCGGAGACUUUACUUGUUGAUGGUUGUGAUAGUGAGAUUGGUGGGGGUGAUGGUGAGCGACAACUAGAUCAGACAGGAAAGCCCGAACUACGUGCCAUUGCAGUAAGUUAUUAUUUUAGUUGUAUUGAUGCUUUAUUUGCUAUUUUGAACAUGUUUGGGUGGUAUUGCAGUUGAUGGAUUAUGGAUUUAUUCCGUACUUAGGUAUCGAUGAAUUGUGUAAUGUAGUUGGUGGAUCUUUACGUGAAUUGAGCAAUUGUGUAUAUUGAGUUCUCUAAUGAAGUUGAUGCUUAUUUUUGUUGAAUUGUUAUUUUAUUUUCUAGUUGAGCAUAUUUUGGUUGUUAAUGUAGUUGGUCAAUCUUUAUACAUGAAUUAUUGUGUUUUUGUUUAUUGAACAUCUUUGGGUUGAGCAAUGUAGUUGGUAUAUUUACAUAUGUUACGUUGGUUGUUUAAUGUAGUUGGUCGAUCUUUAUAUAUGAAUUAUUGUGUUUUUGUUUAUUUGAACAUCUUUGGGUUGAGCAAUGUAGUUGGUAUAUUUAUAUAUGUUGGUUGUUUAUGUAGGUUGUUUAAUGUAGUUGGUCGAUCUUUAUAUAUGAAUUAUUGUGUUUUUGUUUACUUGAACAUCUUUGGGGUGAGCAAUUUAGUUGGUAUAUUUUUAUUUGAAUUAUUAUUUUAUUUUAUACUUCGUAUCAAGUAAUUAGUAAUUAGUGUUAAUACACUUUUUUAUAUUAUUCAGGCGGAUUUGGACAGAGUCUAUCAAGAAUGUAUGUCUGAUGGGAGUGAUGAAAGCACCGCCAACACGAUAGCUUGCGAACGAGUACUAGGAAAAACUAAGAGACUAGGACUUGGUUGUUCAAGUUCAAAGAAAGGGGCGAGGUCCAACUUAAAGAAGACAAUCAGACUUUAAAGGACGAGAUAAAUCAAAUAAAGAGUACUAUUAUAGCCAUGGUCAAAUAUUUUAGGGCUCAAGGUGUCGAGUUCCAUACCCAGAAUCCACCCGGCGACGGCAACUAGUUUCCUCAACAACAAUGGUUUUGGGUACUUUUAUUUCAUGUUUGGAUGAUUUAAGUUGUUAUUUGGAUUAUCUUGUGUUUCAAUAGAAUUUUUGGAUUAUUUUGUGUUAGAUGAUUUUGUGUUUUGGAAUGUUUCGAUGAUUUUAUGUUUUGGAAGAAUGUUUUGGAUUAUUUAAUUUAAGCGAGUUGUUUAAUAUUUUUGUAUAUUUAAUUAUAUUGGAAUUGUUUGUUAUUACAUGUCAAAUAAAAAUUAAAAUAAAAAUCAGUAAAAUGUUAAAAAAAAAAUAUUUAUAUAUUUGCGACGUUCUUAGAAUAUUAGUCGCAAUCGCAGAAAAAAAAAAAAAAAAAAAAAAAAAAAAAGCGACAAUAGCUAUAUAUUUGUCGCAAUGUCUCAACAAAAACUGUGCGACUUUAGUUCAAAAAAAAGACGCAAAGCGAAAAAAAAUUGCGACGAAAUCUUUUCGGAAAAUAUAGUCGCAACACCUUUGCGACGAUAUAUAUGUGUCGCGGUUGGAAGACGAAAUGGGCGACGUAUAGUCAAAUUUGUCGCAAUAAAUCAGCAGACGAAAAAAUUACAACAUUGCGACGGUUAUAAUAAAUCGUCGCAAACAGUUGCGACUUUAACUGCAAAACGUCGCAAAUAUUUGCGACGGUCACUUUUUUAACUUUUUUCCCGCGAAUUUCGACCCAAAUUAAACGUCGCAAAAUUACAAAUUCCGUCGCAAAAUUACAAAUUCCGUCGCAAACGAGGUUUUUGCGUUGCAAUAAAACGUCGCCUGAAAUGCGUUAUGGCGUAGUGAUCUUUUAAUUGUUAUUAUUAUUUUUAUCUCUUUUUUUUCCCGCCUAUUUUCUCUAAUUUUCUUUGCUUCAUUUAAUGAUACAUUUUUUAUACUAUGACUCCUCUAAACAAAUGUCACAUUAUGACAAUUAAGUUUAUAUAUAUAUUUUUUAAAUGAGUUUGUAUUAUUAAAUUUGUAUAAAUGUUGAUGUAGUUACCGAUAUCACUAAUACAUUUUAUUAUAAUUUUUAUUAAAAUAAUCAUUAUUUUUACUUUUGAAAUGUUAUCUCGUGCAUUGCACGAAGAAAAAUGUUAGUAUUUAUAAUUGAAACACCUUUUCUAAGGUUUUUAUAAAUAGAAAUUAGGAACCUUCAUUUUUCAUUUUGGAAAAAUAUUAUAUCAUAACACAUCUACUCUUGAAACAUGUACUUAUUUAUAUUUUUAUAAUUUUGCUAGGAAGUGUUAUAUGCUACAUUGGGUUAUUUACAUCCGUGUUUGUUAAUUAACUGGAAAUGUAAUUAAACAUAUAUACACGUGACUGUGUAUGAUUAUGUGCGGAUUAACAAAUGUCCGAAAAAUAACCGGACCUAACUAGAAUUGAUCCAUAGAUUUUCCUAAGGGUGUUGCUAUUUGCAGUAGUAUUAAUAAUGAAUACAGCGGAAUCUCAUUCAUUUGAUUUUUGAUUUUAUUUUUUCAAAAUUGUAUCUCCCUCUCCCAAACUCUCUCAACACAUUCAACAUCCGAAAAAACUUCAGCCUUCAAUCCGUACCAAACGAGUCUCGACUCCGUUAUUUUUUUUCAUAUCCUUAUACUUUCAAUCAAUUUGAUGUACACCUUAGGUAAAAACGCACGAUUAUGAUUAGAUCUAGGUAAUUUUUGAAAAAUAAAAUAAAAAUUGAAUCCCCGUGCCCCACCCCUCCUCUUUUUUUGAGUUCUUACCUCGUAAUUGUAAUCCGGAUCUGCCAUUGAAGGAAGUGGUUGUUGUUGCUCGGCAGCAAAUUUAUCAAACGACCUUCAGAUUCAAAGAUUUCAAUUAUAGUUAGUUGAGUUAGAAAAUUUGGAAAAUGAGAAAUGAGAUUGUCGCUGCAAAUAAAUCAAUUUCAGUAAAAAUGUCGCUGCAAUUAGCAUUUCAGUUUUUGGGCAAAACCAAAAGCUUAACCCCACAUUCCGGACGACGUGGCCGAACAAGAGCCACUUGAAAACAUCCCAAAUGAGUCCCAUACAUCUCAACACACUCUACUAAAGUUUACUUUACUCCUUACUCCAAACGGGAAUUGACGAUACAAACAAAGCAAAAAUCUUACCCCCAUUAUCCUCAAUCAAUCUCCACCGUUCAUUUCAUCCCAUCCUACGGCCCUCCCCUCCUCAAAAUCCCCAAACCAUAUCCUACAAAAAUCACUCCUAAUUCACUCUUAAAUCUUCACACCACCACACUCUCCACUCUCAGCCACUGAUUCUUCAAGAAUCUAUCAACCCACCACCACCACCACCACCACCAUGGCGGCUUCCAUCGCCCUCAAAACCUUCAUCGGCCUCCGCCAGUCCACGCCGGAGAACAAUGCUAUUGUUCUCUCCAAUCCCACCGCCGUCGCCACCUCGCCCCGCCGCAGGCUCCGUAUAAAUGCCUCGAAGUCCAGCCCAAGGGUCACCGGCCGCAACCUCAGAGUGGCGGUGGUGGGUGGUGGCCCGGCCGGCGGCUGCGCGGCGGAGACGCUCGCCAAAGGGGGUAUCGAGACGUUCCUCAUCGAGCGGAAGAUGGACAACUGCAAGCCCUGCGGCGGCGCAAUCCCGCUCUGCAUGGUCGGAGAAUUCGACCUCCCGCUCGACAUCAUCGACCGGAGGGUGACCAAGAUGAAGAUGAUCUCGCCGUCGAAUGUGGCCGUCGACAUCGGCAGAACCCUGAAGCCGCAUGAGUACAUCGGGAUGGUCCGCCGCGAGGUCCUCGACGCCUACCUCCGGGAGCGCGCCUCCACCGCCGGCGCCACCGUGAUCAACGGCCUCUUCCUGAAGAUGGACCUCCCCCAGUCGAAGAACGCGCCGUACGUCCUCCACUACAGCGACUACAACACCAAGACCGGCGCCGCC
rnacentral:lncRNA from 1 species